UGUGUGAAUGUUUCGAGGGCAUUUUUCUUUGUGUCUUCCAAUUUCAACUUCAAGGACUCUAACUCUUUGCUCCGACUUUUUGCUUUAAGAGCUUGCUUCACCUCUCCAGCGUAUGCUUUGUUCAACUUGUUGGCCAAGUUUCCCAUAACUUGGCCAUGAAUAUCGCACUUACUCUCCCACCAAUCCGUUGCCUUUGACAUAUAUUGGAGGUGGUGCUUGACGGCGGAGAUUUUGUCAAGCGGAUCAUGAGUGUCAGCCUCACUUCCAGAUGAAGUGGGAUCAUGAUUGGGAGUCCGAGGUGGAGAUGGGAAUGGCACAUGCCAGGGCUGGUCCCCCGGGUAACUCACAUGCUCGUUAGGAGGGCGUACAUCUGACAUGUUGAAGUAUUACUGGGGACAAUUCACAGCUGUUGCCUGCAACCAAACAAAUAGAGGUACAUUCAGUCUCCAGUUGUAAACGACUAUAUGGUUAGGUUGAGUGGAGAAUAUUUGCCUUUCAGUAAGACUAAUUACCUUUCCCGUUAAGAAGGUGCCUCUGUUGCAGUUCUAUAUAGGAAGGUUCAGUUAUAUGUACGAACUUAUAUGAGGUAAAUUGGGUUUUGUGUUGGUGCAUUAAAUUGAUGGGAUUCAAAACUACACCAUUAACUCCUUGGCUGUAAGUUACAGCAGUACAACAUGACAUUAACAACAAUAAAAUUGUAUCUCUAUGUAUUUUUGGCAACUGGGCAAAAAUAAUGUUGACGAGUGGGUUCAGAUUCUCCUCCUAAACGUAUUUUUGGCAACUGGGCAGCUGUGUUCAAGCACCCCAAAUUAGGAGGGGCAGAGUACACUUACACUUCAUUUCUUUCAGUACCAUUAUCACCACCAUGCAUCUCCUCCACCUCGCUAAAAUCAAUCAUAUCCAUAAAAUCUGUCCCUACUUCACCUCCCAAAUCAGUGACAUUUGUAUUAUUCCAAGUUACUUCAUUGCUUUCAACAAUGGCAACUGAAGAAUGACCCAUCCGACUACUAUCUGUCGUGAUAUGCAUACUAUGAACUACAUCAUUUGUCAGUCCUUUAUCUUCUAUACUCAUGAGUAAGGGAGCUAGUUUUGAAGGUGUUACCUCGGAAUUGUACUUCAUAAAAAAAUUGACAUCAUCAUCGUCCUCAAUCUUUAUGCACUUCCACUCAUUCGAGGCCACCAAAACUGAGAAUUUUAAGCAAACCUUGUCUUCCCUGCUGUUUGUAUUACCAAUCUGAUGCACACGGUCUAACAGUUCAGCAAAAUUGAUGGUCCGUGGAACUAUUAAGCCUUUUGAGUCACCCCCUUCGUAUUUGCACAUCUUCUUCGAGGUGACCCAUUUUCCAUUGUAGCACACGAGAAUAACAAUUGUCUCCAUUUCUGACCAUGACAAAACAACAUUUCAUUCACACAAUAUAACCACAAUAACCAUACAAUACAAUAGCAAUAUAACCACAAUAUAACAGCAAUAUAUAGGCAAUAUAAUGGCAAUAUAACAGCAAUACGACUGUAAAAUAAGAGGAACACAUCAGAAUCACACUAUACAGAUCUACUACAUCAAAUAGAAAUUCCCAAGUUUCAAGAUUCACAUAUCCAGACCAAUCUAAAUGCAAUUGGUACAAACCCAGAUGAAUGAGCAUGAAUAUUCAACAAAACCUAACCCAAAUAAAUUAAAGCCAAAACGAAUUUAACACAAACCCAAACAAUCAAACUAUAACCCAUUUCACAUAAUACUGAUAUUAAGAAAAUAACCAUCAACACUACCUUUUCGAGGUCGGCAAUCCAGUAGAGCUUCAAGGUUGCAAGCAGCUAUUCAGAAGACAUAGCUAAAGGGAGGGGUUCGCGAUUCCAAACAGAGAGCAAGAGAUCGAAUAGGGGAGAAAGGGACAUAACGAAGCUAGAGAGAGACAGCUGCGCUAUGAGAAACAGAGCAAAGAGAGAGACAGAGAGUUGUGCUAGAGAGACAGAGAGAGAGCCAAGAGAGAGAGAGCCAAGAGCGAGAGAGCCAAGAUAGAGAGAGCCAAGAGAGACACAGAGAGCUGUGAUAGACAGAUACCAAAGAGAAAGAGAGCUGUGCCAGAGAGAGAGAGAGAGCUGUGUGAGCUUCUUCUCUCCAAAAUUUCUGAACUUGUGAAAAAUCAGCAAUAAGUGGGCAAUAAUUUUAUAUUUAUAGGUGAUAGUUGUACAAAAAUUGGGAAGGGAUGGUAUUUUUAAUUAAAAUUAUGAAAUGGGUGUCAUUUAGGGCUAUUUCCCAAAAUUAAAAGCUAAAGAAGCAGUCUUGGCAAGAAAAUCGAACUCAGAAAAUCGUGGGCUCUCUUUCUCCUCUUAAGAGAAAUUGAAAAUCUGACCCAAAAAAGAAAGAGAAAUUGAAAACAAUAUAUAUAUAUAUUAUAAAAGAUCGCCCCAACCGUGGGUCAUUACGGUCAUUAUAAUCCUUAUAGAGAAGGUAAAACUACCUCGGAAGACUCGAGGUCAAUCAAGGGUCAAACUACCCCAACUGGUCAACGGGCCCACGACCUCCAAAUUCUGAUCCAAAGUUUCUAUGAGUUCUACAAAGUAUAGGACACUUGUCCUGCAAGUUGGUCCAGAUCGACGGUCGGAUCGCUCACGAUCGCAUGAUCUGACGGUUAUUNNNNNNNNNNNNNNNNNNNNNNNNNNNNNNNNNNNNNNNNNNNNNNNNNNNNNNNNNNNNNNNNNNNNNNNNNNNNNNNNNNNNNNNNNNNNNNNNNNNNCCUUGCGCUCUACCAACUGAGCUAAGCUUGCGCGCUUUGUUGUCAACGUUCGUUUUAUAUUGAUAACAUAAUUUCUCAAACAGCUUAAUGAAGAUUUCAUCGUGGAGGAACAGGUAGAAAAUAGAUUAUCAGUAUAAACGAACAUUGAGCAAGCAACAAAGCCCGUCUAGCUCAGUUGGUAGAGCGCAAGGCUCUUAACCUUGUGGUCGUGGGUUCGAGCCCCACGGUGGGCGACAAUGCUUCACAUUAAUUUUUUCUUUCAUCUUUUUAAUUCACUACUACCGUGUGCUUUGUUUGGUUUGAAUGCAAAACAAAUAAUAAAUCCUUUUUGAAAACUUUGUCCCUUUUUCUGGGUUCCAAUUCAAUCAUUCCUUUUGCUUGCCUUGUAAUUUUGUUCUUCCAUAAAAAUAAAAAUCAUUGUUCUUUCUUGUGGAGGAGGCAAACUGUUAGCUUCCGUUUGAAUGGAGGUAUUUGAAAGAAAGGAUUUGGAUUUGACAACAAAGCUAUAAAUUUGUUAAAAGAAAUUAGAAAUGAAGCAAAUAAAUGGAUAUAUAAUGUAUCCUAGAUUUGGAAUCGCUCCAUCCAAAUGGACUUGUAAUGCUAAUACAUACAAGCUCCCGCCUUUUCUUUCUCUCUGUUCUCCGUUUUCUUUUUUUCAGCAAGAUUUUGUAGAUGAUACUUCUUUGUAAAUUAAUAAACAAAAAAUAAUUUACAAGUACAUAAAAAAUUGGAUACAAGUUACAACAUGCUUUGAAUAAAAGAACAUAACUUUAAUUAUUUAUUUUCCCCUAGCAAGUGUGAUGUUUUACAGAAAUCUACAACGCCAGGUCUGACAUUUCAUCGCUUGGGGAGCAUAGAGGUAGGACCCCUCAUUUUGUGUUAUCAUGUUAGUAACUAUGAAUAUCAAAAACCAAGGAAUUCCCCUAAUUCAACGAGAAAGCUCCAUUGCAGUACCUGCACAACUCAAAGAAAUUAGCAAACCAGUAAAUUAUAAAAGCAAAUCUGUAUUCGUUAAUACAAGUUUGAAAGAUUGUCCACAUAGACAAACACUGCACAAACAACUUGCAGGCAUCCAAGGAAAUAUACACUAACCUGUUGCUGAACUUUUCAACAGCAUCAGAGGCAUAAAGAAGGGUUUCAUUGGCUUUCUCCAGAACCAUAUAAAGUUCCUUCCCUCUUGUAACCCGAGCAAUAACCCAAGCAUUGUUUUUCGCCCGGAUGCUAACUUCCAAUUCUUUCUCUUGACCAGCAUUAUUUGAUUGUGCUUUACUCUUUUCCAAAUCAACUUCUUCUCUAAGCUUACUUAAGGCAAGUAAGGAAUCCUGCCACAGAACAUGAAAAAUGAAUUUCUUGGACAUCAAUUCAUAAAAGCAAUAAAUUGACAUUAAAAUGAUGAGAUCUAGUCUGAUCAGUGACCACUAAGCCUAUCUUUUGCAGCAAACACAUGCAUUAGGCCAAGCCGCCACAGAGAACACCCAAGGUAAAAGAAAUGCACUGAGAAUGCAACCUAGUCUAGCUGGAGACUUGUGAACAUGGCACCAGUCAUAUAAAUAGAAAACUGAAAAAGAAAAUGAUUAUAGGCAGCUAGGUUUUCUUCCAUAAUUCCUUAGCUGCUGCAGGGGAGUAUAUUUAUACAAUAUUUGAUGCAGGUAAACAAGGUGAACAUCCUCAACCAAAUGGCCACGUUUUAACACGUAUUGUGCAGAACAAGAGAGCAAGCCAAACUGUGGUGGAAUGCUUUACCUUAGUAAGGGUUGUGACCUUUCCUGGUGGAGAAGCCCUAGAUACAUUUCUGUCUCCGUCCACUAGUAAAUAUCGAUAUCCACUAACAUGAUAUGCAUUCUCACCAACCCAUCCUUUUGAUAGUUUCUCUUCAACUCUCAACAGCUUUAGGGAUACCUGGAAAAUAGUAAAUAAAAACAUAAAAUUCAAACAAUGGCACUCCAGCUUUCAUCUCAAGAAAACUUCUACAAUACAGCUAAUAGCAUGAAUCAGAAUCAAUGAUUAUUGCACCAGUAAAAUUCCAAAUAAUUUAUUACAGGAAAUUAGCGAUUAAGUAGACAUUUUAUUUCAUUAGGAAUCAAUGAGACAACGUAUGUUGAGGACAUGAAAAAGGAUAUAGAGGAUAUUACAAAACUAAUUUUUUCCUGUCGAUGAAUAUAAAGGAUAUGAGUACAUUAAACCAAAUUAAAUCAAUAAAAAUUUAAAUAGGGAAAGAUAUGAGAAAGACAUUAAAAUGUUGCUUCAACACAUCUAACAAGAAAUUUGGUUUUGGUAGAGAACCAAUAUAAAUAGGAUUUCUAUUGUGGACCUCUAUUGAUUUAGGGUAACGAUUUCCACAUGACAGUGCUAAUGACAAGUUUAAAAUGUAAAGAAGCAGUUUGAUAGCAUAAGCAUUAGAGUUGCUAGCAGGGCUAGGAAGCUAACAUUUUCAAGAACUUGCUGCUUCACCGCAGAAACACCUUGAUCCCCAAUUAGCACUGAAGAAACAGGAAUGAGAAAAAUUAAGGUAAGGCUCUUAUGCUGAUGGGCACACAGAUACAUUCUCUCCUCUGUCUGAUGGAGCAAAACUGUUGGAGUGGCAGAAAUCAAGUUACUAGCCUCUGCACCCCAAAUAUCAGUGACAAGAAAACCAUCCUUCCCUUUGGACCACUUAUCCUGCUGCAAGGGCCGUAUGACACGAUAAUUGUUAUCUCCAGCAGGAGAGUUGACAUCUGAGCCUUGAAAUUGUUCUGGAACACCACCAGGACGGGCCAAGAUAGAACUUGAGGAUACAUGGGAUGUAGCUCCUUUGCGUAAAUAGGACCAGGAACUUACUCCAGAGGAUAAAGCACGGGGAGUCAGCCUUAAAACAGCAUAUGCAAAUAGGUUUACGGUGUCAUCCUAACAAAGGAAAAACAAAAUUCACGAAAGUUAGCAUUUGACAAAAUAAAUGCACUCAGCACCUCUUUCUAUGAAAAUUCUACGCAAGAAAAAUGUAACUCAGUUCUUAAGCUUCUCCUGAACUUUAAGACUAAAACACAAUGGCAUAUGAAUGAUUUAAAAACAGUUAAAACGCCUAGAAGAUCAAACCAUACAGGAGAAAGUGUUGUGGACACCAACAGGUCCUGAAACAAGAUCAGUGAGUGACAGGGUAUGUUCCCAGCACAAGAUUCGAGCACCCUUACAAGCGACUGCAAAGAAAAAUGAAACCAUUCAAAACAUACACAAAAGAAAAAUUGUAUAACAUUGCACUAACAAGUAAAAGACUAAAAUUAGGAGAUUCAGGUAGAACUUAGAAGUCAGGUCGGAACAAGGGUGAUUAUAAAAGCCCACAUGUAUGCAGAAAUGCACAGUUUUGUAGAAUACAAGUGGGCAAGAAAGAAGAUAAUAGGACAGUUAGUGAUGAUAGACAGGCUUAAUACUAAUGAAGCAUUGCAUUAUAAGUUAAGGUAAAAAAAUUAGUAAGGUAUGUCUAUAAAACUUAUAAGGAAAAUGGAUAAGAAAAGUAGAGAAUAAACAUAAUACCAGUACAUGUACUACAACCAUCUUUCCAAAUUACACCACAAUAUGGAAGCUGAAAAAAAAAUCAACCAUGGAGAGGAACUCAUGGACCCAAUGAGCAUCUAAACAACUAAUACACCAAACCUAGAACAAGUUUAUGACUAGGACAUACUAAAACAUCAAUAACUUCCAAGGAAGAAUCUUGAAUAAAAAUGUAGCAUUAAAUAAGCAGAAAAUUUCAGCAAAACUGUUCUGGCCUACUCCACUAACAUAUGAUUAAUUUAUAUUCUGAAAACAAACCUGUACUUCAAUUGCUGCUUCCCGCCCUACAGUAAGCAUCUGUACGGUUCCACGCUCCUUUAAACAGUCACGGAAUGAUGGUAACAGUAGUUUCUUCCCGACCAGAAAAUCUGCCCCAGAGAGUAAAACCAUACAAUGAGAUACAGCAACUUCAGCAUUACUUAGGUAGAAAAAUCCAAUCGAGAGGGCAUGAUACAGCAACUUCAGUAUUACCCCAGCAGCACCCAUCGAAUGGAGACCGCUUUUGAAAUGCUGGCAAUUAGUGAUUUUACAAUGAAAUUUGAACCAAGGACAAUAUAAAACUAGACUUCAGUGUAAUUAGUAGGUAUACGACUGUAUGAUGACUUACCACCAAGAUAGUCCAUGAUGAAAUAGUACAAAUGAGAUCGAGUUAGUCCUCCACCAGGGUCUUUGUCAAGCAACGCUCUUAUAGAUCCAUGAAACAUCACAAAAAGAUAAUGGACUUCCUUAAGAACCUUUCUCAAUGCAUCACUUCUCCAAAUAGCUUCAAACUCCUUGCUUUUCUCCACUACCUACAACAAGGUGAAGCAAUGAUUUGAAACUACUUCAAAAUAGCAUUGCCUACAACUGCAUUCUAAAAAAAAAUUAGUUUAGCUACGAGAAACAAAAAUGUGAGCAUCAGGGGCCUAAAACAUUAGUUCUGAAAAAGCCCAUAAGUUAUAACAUGCUACCAACAAUAUAUGAACAUUAUCUAAACACAUAAUUGAAAAGGACUAACAAUGACAGGAAUGUUUGUAAGGAAAACAGAGCUCACCAUCACCAUCCAGAUAUCUGGUUCCGCCUCAUAAAAAACAUGCGAAUGCCUCUCUGCUUCAAUGGCUUCACAAGCAGCCUCUGGAGAGAAGAUUCUGCACAAAAUAUAUACAAGUUCUUAUAAAAAUCAAAAAACACUUGUAUAAAAUUUAUGUAAGAAAAAGGGAUAGAAAGUAGAAACCUGGUAAAUGUGAUAAGUCCUUCACUGAGCCCAAUCACAGAGAAUUGUGCUGAGAAGGGCAAAUCGGCAGGGAAGAAAAACAAUAUCUUGUCCAAUUCUUGCCCUUCAUUUUGACCCCUCCUCAAAUCAAAUAUGCACAAUUGCAGUCCUUCUGGGGUUGCACUGGCCGUGGUACUAGCAGACGACAAACCCAUAAUUUCUUCCUGCAACAAUGGUACAAUCAAACAAUUUGCAUAACAAAUUGAACCCUAAAUUUCGUUAGCCGCUGAAAGGAGAAGGAAUUGCGAGAUUGGAACGACUUACUUGCAGCACAGCGAAGCUUCUUGUUGGGCUUUGAUUUUGAUUUUGGUACCAAAUAAGGUUUAUUAGAUUAGAUGGAAGGAAUUUGCUCCGCCAUUAGGCACUGAUCCUUUUUUUCAAAGUUUGAAUGGUAGGUAACUGCGUGGAGGAAUUUCACUAAUUACUGUGUCGGCCUGUUUGCUUAAUUGCUGUUUUUUCCUGCAUUUUCACUCUUGCAGUUUUAUCCUUUUAAAAAAAUAUAUAUAUAUAAGUGAUAGUGAGGGGAAGGAUUUGAACACAUGACUUUCAAGGUAGGGUCUUGUUGAUAUAGCAUGAAUACUUUGGUAAUAUGCAACUAUUAAACAUUUUAAAAUUCAAUUUAGAGAAAAAUUAAAAAACUUUAAAGAUGCCAACUGGUCUUGUGCAGGGGAAGGACGCUUGACUUGCAGACUCAGGUUCGAAGUUCGCUACCUUGACAGUAUGUGUGAGCAGGGAAAUGCUAGCAACUCUGUUUUAGACUUUCUCUCUUCUUCUCAUAAUAAGUGUCACUUUCCUUAUACUUAAAACAAUGUCAUUAAUACAUCACACAAAUUAGUUUUUGUUUUCCAAGUUUACCCUUAUUGAAUGUAUUAGCUUUUAUACAUUUAAUAACAAACUAGCUUGUUAUUAAAAAUAGUUAAUACAUUUAAUAAGGGUAAACUUGAAAAACAAAAUCUAACUUGUGUGAUGCAUUAAUGAUAUUGUAUUUAAGUGUAAGGAAAGUGACACUUGUCAUGAGUAGAAGGGAGAAGAUCUAAAGGAGAAGGUUGGAGAGAAAGUUGCUAGUAUUCCUUGUGUGGGAAAACCUCAUCUCUCAACAUCGAUUGUAUCAAACCAAUGGGGUGUUUUAUAUGAUUUAAUGUAUAAUUUUAUUUUUAAAAAGACAAUAGAAAUUGUAAGUACAAAAGAAAAUGAUUAUUAGAUUUUUAAGCUAAUAACUUUAGCUAGCCCACCCGUUAAUAAAUUCUUGAUUCCGCCCUUGCCCUCUCUCAAUAUUGCCUUUAUAAAAUUUUUUAAAUAAAUACAACGAUCCCAACCCAGCCUGCAGGCACCUUUUUUUAUAAAAUUAAAAAUAAAAAAAAGUGAAUUUCAAAUUUUUUUUAAUAAUUAAAGUUACCAUAAUAUAACAGAGUUGACGGGGCAACAUGAGACAUAGAGUGAAAGCACAACGGCCAGAAUGGGUCAAUUGAGAAUACAAGUGAAAAGUGAGAUUUGAGUGGAAAAUACACGGAGCAAAACAAGGAAGCCGGACAGAAAUCUACUCCUUUUUUUAACAGAAUUCUCCAAUUUUGUAUACUUUUCAUCUCAUAGUUUAUAUUCAAUAUUUAAAGCAUGAAAAAAUGAGGAGGCAGUACAAGUGUAUCAAAUAGAGAGUGUGAAUCGGGUAUAGACCAGAUUGUACUUGCAUACCUUCUUCAAUAAGUUACAAGGAAUCAUGUAUAGACUUUUUCUUUUUCUUUUUUAAUACAAGCGAUAGUUUAAACAUUAAACAUUAAUGAGAGGUUCUUACACACACAUUACCAAGGUACCAUAAGGACGUGAGCGGCCACAAGGGUCACUUAACUUUCCUUGAUAAAAUUUCUAGUUUCGCCACUACAUGAAAAUUUGAACUUGAGACCACUAGUCUGUAACCCUUUUUUUAUUUGGCUAGACUCCAUUGGCAGAAAUCUGGUAUAUACUUUAGCGGUGAAAUGAAUUAACCCUAAAUAAAACCACUUAUAGAAAAAUUGCCAUCAAAGUCGGUAGUUGGUAUUAACACAUCAAUUGGAGAUCGUAUUAGGAUGACUAUGUAUUAAACAAUCACCAAAUAGGUUUCUUUCUAGGUUGAUUGGGGAAGGCACCUCCUUCACAUGCACCUAUAUGAAUGUGUCAGGUCAACAGAAAAAACACAAUCUACGGAUCUGAUUACCAAACUUGACUCUUUCUUUUUUUUUUCUUUUUUUAAAUAUGCAGGAGUAAGUAAACCAAAUCGCAAAUGGUUUUUUAUGAUUCAAUUCAAAGGGUCACUUUCAUUUUUGAAUUGAUCCUAAUAUUGGCACACGACUGCAAACGCAGCAUAUCCCACUUUGGAAACUUUGGCCUCAAAUUAAUUUCACAUUUCACGCUUAGCAGUUUCAUAUUGCAUAGGCGUGAGAAUACGAGCAAUGACAAUACAAGCAAUGCUAGCAUCAGUCGCACGCGUGGGUGAUUAUGGAUGGCAAGGGUAAUCAAUACUUAAAUGAGAAAAGGAUGCAAAAGGAAAAUGAAUCAGAUAGCAACAUCACAAGCUUAUACAGGAGGAAAGAUCAGGGGAAGAGGAAACUUACAAGGAAAGGAAACGAGGAACAAGAUCAAACCAAAUUCUGAAGCAUUAUUAUAUCAAAAGCUAUAUGUAGCGAGCAAAUACAGCUAUACCACACCAGUCCACUAGAAAACAUGCAUAAAGAACUAGAUAUUACAUUAACCUCUAAACCCAGAAUUCCAGAAAAUCUGUUGACAUCCUAUGCAAUGAGGAAAGGCAGCACAGUCAACAUGAAGUCCUCAUAGCUGAAAGUUCCAGUACCGGUGUACGCUUUGUCCUUCUCCUUAAAUUUUUCGGUUAAACCCUGCAAGACACAAGAACAACAAAACAAAUAAGUGCCAAAAGAAAAUCUCCAUUUUAGAGCUGUACUUAAAGCCAUUUUUCGAAGUUCUUAAUACUGGUAAAACUACAUGAUUCAGUAAUGUACAAUAAAAAUUGCGGAUAUCCCAGUUGAAAAAAUCAAGCAAAGAAAGAAAGGGCUAUUUUUCUUCUCUUGUUAAGCAGGUUUUGAACUAACUGCAGCAAUACAUUCUUGUUCUGAAUUCCCAACCAUAUAAAGUAAGCAGGGAUCGAAAAACUUGUGCUUAUGCUCUUAGCAUAGAAAGAAUAGAUAAAGAAUGCUGAAUUAGAAAGUAAAACGGAAAGCCAAGUGACGAAGACGAAGAAGCUCCCAAGUUAAAACUAUAAAUUGAGUGCCCAAAAUCAUGGUAAAUAGAUUUAGUCACAAGUAAACUGACCUUAACAGUAAGACAGCACCUGCAUUUAAUCACAACAAAGAAAAAAUAUAUAUAUUAAGAGAUUGAUAAAAGCAAACACAAUGUGAAACAAACCAUAAAGAAAAUGAAUGUAAAAUAUGAAAGGAAAAGGGAAACGUACUCGAUGAAAUUGUCAUAUUCAAUGGCCCUGUGUUUGCCUCCGGUCUUGUCGAAUUUAGAGACCAGCAGAUCCAAAACCGUAGGUGACACGGAAAAACCCAGACUCAGCAGUGCAUCUCUCAGCUCAGUUGCAUCAAUGUGCCCACUUCUAUCCCUGUCGAACCUCUCAAAUAUUCCCUGAUCCGUUGUCACACAAAUUAUUAAUCACAAAACCAAAUUUUACUCAAAAGGAAAAAAAAAGAAUUUAUAUUUAAAAAUUUAAGUUUUAAAAAAAAAAUUGGGAAUUACCCUCCAACUCUGAAGACUGUAGAACACUGCAGUGAAUUCCUUAGGCCCUGUUUUCACAAUUUACCCAGAAAAAGAAAUCAAUACGAAUUACCGUUUCAUUGAAUUAAUAGCGAUAUUUAUUGAAUUUAUUGAAUAACGUUAAAAAACUAAGCUGCAGAAUACAAAUUAUAGCAUGGGAAAUAUUCCAUAGCUUUCAAAAGACCAGAAAGCAGAGAUAUCUCAAACGAAGACGCGGGACCCACUGAAGCACAACGUGUAGUCACAUUAAGAUCCAACGGUCCACAAACCAUGACUACCACACAUUCGCAUUCAACGCAAACACUGACACGUUAACACAACACGGACACGUGAAAUACCAUUCAACGACAGCACUAUCAACCACUAAAUAGAAAGAGAAGAAGGGCAUGGCGGACAUUUCGCCUGCAUGCCCCUAGCAGCCACUCCGCGUCCGGUCACUGACUGGGAGGAACAAUGCCAGAACGACAUCGUCUGGAUUGCGCCGAUCAAAAUCACAGAACGCACCGUUAACUCUAAGAAUCGCAGUUGUCUAAUUUCCCAAUUUGACGAGAAAGAACUCAGAGAUACACACGCUUAUGGAGAACAGAGAGAGUUAGGGUUUGUGAAACGUUACCGAUCUUCCUGGUGUUGGUUUGGGUGAAGAGGUACAUGAGAAGAUGAACAGUCCUCAAGCUGAAGCUCUGAUUGUAUGACGACAGAGCUCUCUGCAACUCCUUGUCGUCGAUGAAGCCACUGCCGUCCUGAUCCGCCAUCUGAAAGCACGCCACCACAUUCGGGUCCGUACCGGGUGGGAACGACGAUGGCACCAGAGCCGCGAACGGGCUUCCGUAGCCCGGAGCCGACGGCGGGUAUCCACCCCCGCUGCUUCCGUGGCUCUGGUGAGGCUUCUCUGGCGCGUACGGCGCGGCGUACGGUGCCGAUGGUGCGCCGUAGGGUGCAGACGGCGCGCCAUAAGGUGCAGCCGGCGCUCCGUACGGUUGCGCUUGGUGUUGGUGGGGCUGGCCGGGUUGGCCUGGCUGGCCUGGCUGCGGCGCGGCGUAGGGUUUGCCUGGUGGAGGCGUGCUGCCGUAGCCGUAGCCGGGGGGCGGGUGUGGGUAUCCAGACAUUUUUAAUUUUGUUUUCUAGUAGAAUAGAAGCUUUUUGAAGAUGAGAAAAUGUUCUGAGAAUUUCAGAGAGGGCUUUGAGCUGAUGGAAAACAGAUCUAUAUAUAACUGAAGUUGAAAUCUCGGACCCGAAGAACUGAGUAAUUACAUCGUUGCCCUUGGCUUUAAAUGUAAUAAUAAAAAGAAUUUAAUUUUUUAAUUAAUUUUAAAACAACUAAUUUAAUUUUAAAAUAAGUAUUCUAUCUUAUUUAAUUAGCUAGGACUAAUCUUCAUGAUUAAGGUCUAAAGUUUGGAUUGUGAAACAAUUUGAUUAGUAAAAAAAAUUAAAACCAUGUGCUUGCCUGGAUUAAAACAAGGGUUAAAUGUUAAAAUGGUCCAUGUGUUAUAGUUAUUUGGCAAAUUUAGUCCAUUUGUUUUUAAUUUGGCCAAUUUAGUCCAUGUGUUUUACUCUGUUAGCCAAUAUUGUCCAUUAGGUCAAAUUACCAUUAAAAAAUUCAUUGAAAUUUUUAUAAGUAAUAAAAAAAAUUAUUAAGUUCAAUUUAUAAAAUUAAAAAAAUUUGGAAUCCUAACAACCUCUAUGCCCUUCUUCUCUCAUGCCGUCACCACCACCACACCCAUCAUGGCAACCACCAUGAGCAGUCCCAACCACCACCUAUUCUCUCUCUCUCUCUCUCUCUCUCUCUCUCUCUCUCAUACCAGAACAAAUGGAUAUAAACCGUAAAGUUAUUAAAAGAGAAUAUUAUCAACUUCAUCUCAAACAACCUCAACAUUGAAAUCCUUAUUGAGCUUCUUCUAGGGAGGUGAAGAUGAUUUCAUGGCAUCAAGCCAACCGUUGGACUAACAUCAUCGAGCUUUCCUUGCUUUUUCCUGGGGAUGUAUCUGUACUUGCCAGAGGAGAAUGAUGCUCCUUGCUGUGAGUAUGGCAACAAACUAGAAUGGAGGCCUAGUCUUGAUUUAGCUCUCGGUGGAGGCGGCAUGAGAGAACGACAUAGAGGCUAUUGGGUUUCCAGAUUUUUUAUUAUGUAAUUAUAUUUAAUUCUGUUAUUUGUGUUUAUAAUUUUUAUUUAUUUGUAAACUGAACUCAAUAAUUUUUUAUUAUUUUUUAAAGCUUUAAUGAAUGUUUUAACUUAAUUUGACGGCAUGGACAACAUUUACUAACGGAAUAGAACACGGGAAUUAAAUUGGUCAAAUUAAAAAUACGGGGAUUAAAUUGGCCAAGUGAGUAAAACACAGAGACCAUUUUAGCAUUUAAGCCUUAAAACAAUAUUGUUUUCUCUUUUUUUCUAUUAACAAAAAUAAAAAGAAAUGGGAGAAAUCCUCAAAUUAAUUUUUUUGUAAUAAUUACAAGGAACUUAGGUUCCAUUCAGUUCAUGAGAAAGGAAGUUUGGGUAUGAGAAAUCAAUUGCUUUCUCAUGUUUGGUAAGUCUAUGUAUAGGAAAUGGUUGCCGUCACAUGAAAAAGUAGGGAGAAAGUGAAGCCCUCCUCUCAACUUAGGUUUUGUUUUCGCUUAUCAUAGGAAUGUUUGGGAAAAUGAGCCAACAUUAAAUGCAUAUUUUUCACGAUCAUUUUGUCCCCAUUAACAAUUUAGAAUUACAAUAUAUCAUUAAAUUCAUUUUUUUAUUUGUCUUAAUGCUUAACAUAAGAGAUGUUAUAAUUGUGAAUGAAUGGGAAAGUGUUUGCCAGCUUUAUUUUCUAGUUUUGGCCUUUCUUCCGGCUCUACAUCUCUUAUGUUAAGCAUCAAGACAAAAGGUAAUAAUGAUUAUUUUUUGAGAACCUCGACGGAACGAGGGAAACUUUAUUGAUAAAGCGAAGAAUGACAACGGGGGGGACAAUGUGUCUGACCCCGACUUAACACAUCACACAAUAGGGCGUCCUGAAUAAGAUCAGGGGGCACCUCAAACCAAAUAAAGUUGUCCACAUUAUGCAAACCAAAACGAGCAAGUCGGUGUGCAACACCAUUUGCUUCCCUAGGAGUAAAUUGAAAAAGAGAGCUAGGAAACUGUUGCUGAAGAUGCUUUACAUCUUCAACAAUGGUACCAAUGUUUGAAUAAUCCUGUCCUGCUCGCUUUAUUGCUGAAACCACCACAGCAGAGUCCCCUUCGAAGAUGGGAGAUGCAGUCCCAAGUGAGAGAGCAAGAGCCACCCCUUCACGAGCUGCAAGAAUUUCUGCAUGUUCAGCCGACAGCACUUCCCCAACUGAUUUUGCCACUGCCGCCACAAAACCUCCAUCCGCGUCUCUGGCAACAACCCCAACAGCCCCUCUACCCGAAGUAGGAUCAAAUGCUCCAUCAAAGUUAAAUUUGAGGCGGCCUGACGGUGGUGCUGCCCAACGCACUGGAUCCCGCACCCGAUCAGUUACUUUGGACGGAGUAUCAUUUGCCGUAAUAAAUUCAUGCACAUACUGUUGAGCAAAACCCACGACCUCAUGUGGAGAACGCUGGACUCCCUGCCACAACAGUGCAUUUCGAUUUCCCCAUAUAGCCCAUAACAAAGUGAUAAUAUGAUCCCGUUGCGCUUUACUUGUACCCUCCAGCAUUUCUCUCAGCCAGUCCUUCAUUGUAUGACAACGUACCUGAUGAGCAUGCCUUGUCAACAAAGAAAUAUUCCAAGUAGCCACUGCAAAAGGACACAUAGCAAGAACAUGCAGAGCACUUUCAGUGAUGUCACCACAAAACAUGCACAUGUCUUGCAUAUCAACCCCCUUCUUAAUUAAGUUUGCCUUGGUAGGAAGAAUAUCAUGGGCUACACGCCAUGCAAAAAUUUUAAGCUUUGUAGGUACAGUGGCAUUCCAAAUAUGUCUCCAUAGCAUACCAGUAUCUGAAUUGGAUGAAGAAGACUCGUCCUCAUCACCAGAAGUAACUCGCAAGGCCACUCUGUAUGCACUCUUUACCGUGAAUAGACCAUGUUUAUCAUAAUUCCAUACAAUCCGGUCUGGUGGUGCCCGAAUACUCAGGGGGAUUCGUACAAUGUCAACCACAUCCACAGGUAAAAAAAGAUUAUUGAGUUUCUGGAGAUCCCAUUGUGGAGAGCCCUCAUUACAAAUCAACUCACUCACCUUGGUAUUCUCCAUACCAUCUAGGGGGGAAGUGAUCACAGCAAAAGUGGCAGGCCUGGGCACCCAUUUAUCCCCCCAAAUUCGUACUGAUUUUCCAUCACCUAUUUGAAAUCUUGAUCCCAUUUCCAACACUUUUCGAGCCGUCCAUAUACUCUUCCAAACACAAGAUGGCCUUGACCCCAGUGUAGCUUCCCAAAAGUUGGUCUGUGGAAAAUAUUUGGCUUUGAGAAGUCUGCUCGCCAAUGAGUGGGGAUUAUGAACCAAACGCCAACCUUGCUUGGCUAGCAUUGCCAUAUUAAAAGCCUGCAAACACCUAAAGCCCAUACCACCUUCAGUCUUCGCUUUGCAUAAUCUCUCCCAGCGCAUCCAAUGAAUUUUCCUAUUUUCCCCUUGUUGACCCCACCAAAAACGUGCCAUCAUUUGUUCUAUCUCAUGACAUAACCCCUGAGGCAAAAGGAAACAGCUCAUAACAUAUAAGGGAAUAGAUUGGGCAACUACCUUCAACAAUACCUCUUUUCCUGCAAUGCUCAAAGUCUGUUCACGCCAACCUUGUAAUUUUUUCCAGACCCUUUCCUUCAGGUAUCGAAAACAAACGGUUUUAUUUCUACCUAACAUCAUUGGGAGGCCAAGGUACGUUGCAUGAGAGUCAACCCGAGGAACCCCUAAUACACUAGCCAAGCGGCUUUGGGUAUCCAUAUGAAUAUUGGCACUAAAAGCCACACAACUUUUUUGACAAUUUAUCUGUUGACCAGAAGCAUGCUCAUACACUUCAAAAAUGUGCUUUAACACCCCACAAUUAUUAUCAGUCGCCUUUGCAAACACAAAACUGUCAUCUGCAAAAAAUAAGUGGCUGACUGUAGGAGCUCCCCUACAAAUAACGAUCCCUUGCAGCUGCCCUUGGCGUUCUGCCUUUGAUAGCAACGUGGUAAAACCUUCCGCACAAAGAAGAAACAAGUAAGGCGAUAAAGGGUCACCUUGCCUUAAUCCCCGUGUUGGGUAUAAAAUCCGAGUAGGUUCACCAUUCACCAAGAAUGAGUAGGAUACAGUUGUCACACAAUCCAUAACCAUCCUUACCCACAGAAUAGGAAAACCCAUAGCCAACAUCAUUUUCUCCAAGAACUCCCAUUCCACACGAUCAUAUGCUUUACUCAUGUCCAAUUUCAGGGCCAAACUCCCCUUCCGUCCUCGUCUCCUUUGUUUCAAAAAAUGAGCGAUCUCAAAAGCCACUAUAGAAUUAUCUGUAAUCAACCGUCCAGGGACAAAAGCACUCUGACUUUCUGAAAUAACGCUCUGCAUAACAAACUUCAUACGAUUCGCUAAAGUUUUUGCUCCAAUACGAUACAGAACAUUACAUAGACUUAUGGGGCGCAACUGAGCCAUGGUUCGUGGCUCCUUAACUUUUGGUAUCAAAGUCACGAAAGUAUGGUUUAGUUGUCGUAACAUCUCAUUGGAUUGUAAAAAAGCUCUAACAGCAGCCACUACAUCAUCUCCUACAAUUCUCCAAUAUUUUUGAUAAAACAAAGGAGGGAGACCAUCUGGACCAGGUGCUUUUGAAGGUUGCAUUUGAAAAACUGCAUCUUUAAUCUCCUGAUACGAGAAAUCUGCUAUUAGUACCUGUUGCAUAUCUGCCGUCACUUUAGGCUCCAAGGCAGAAAGAAUUUCCUCCAUCAUACUUGACCCACUGGAGCGGAACAAAUCUCCAAAAUAAUCAAUUACAAUGGAUGUUAUUCCUUGUCGAGACGUACGCCAGCAACCGUUGCUAUCCUCCAACCCCUUGAUAAUAUUUCUUCUUCGUCUAUUAGUUGCCUUUUGGUGAAAAUAGCUAGUAUUUUUGUCCCCCGCCUUUAACCAAUUUUCUCUAGAUCUUUGACACCAGUAUAAUUCAUUCUUCGCCAACAGCUCAUCAAGGGAUUUUUGCACAACCCUUCGAUCCUCUUCCACCCUUUCAGAGUAAGGGGCCUGAAAUAAACUAGCCAAUUUUGCACGCAGCACUCGAGUUUCCUCCUUGAUAUGUCCAAAGGUACUUUUACUCCAUCUUUGGAGCACCCAAGUCAUCUGCUUUAUCUUUUUGUCCAAGCCCACCAUAGGAUCAAGAUUACCCACAGACUCCCACACCUGUUUUAUUGUUUUUUCACAAUCCACAUGAGUGGUCCACAUUGCUUCAAAGUGAAAACGACGAUAUCGGCUUUUUUGGCACGUUGCAUGCCUUAUUCUCACUAAAAUGGGGAGAUGGUCUGAACGGCUUGGGUCUAAAUGCUGAACGGAAAAACCCGGAAAGAGAUUUUGCCAAGAUGUUGUAGCCAACGCACGAUCCAGCCGCACUCUAACGAAACCAUCUCCAAAGCGGCACUUCCAAGUAAACUUGUACCCAUUAAAGCCCAAAUCUCGGAAACCCAAUUUAUCCACAAUGUUUCUAAAACCUUGCAUCUGUCUGUUAUUUCUUAAAGGACCACCUUCUUUUUCAUCCGUGCUAAGAAUUUCAUUAAAAUCUCCUACACAUAACCAGGGCAGUUGAUUAUGGUGCCCUAAUUGAUCCAAUAAUAUCCAUGACUUCUCCCUAUCUUGCACCGCUGGAAAGCCAUAAAAAACAGUCAAUCGCCAUCGAUCUCCACCUCCAUUAGAACCAAUUUGUACAUCUAUAAAAUGAUCAGAAAAAGCACAAACAUGGACAUCCACCUCUUCCUUCCAUAACAAUGCCAAACCUCCCGAAUAACCUCUACUACUCACACUUGUCACGCCCCUAAAACCAAGUUGUUUUGAUAGUUUCGCCAUGUGAGCACUAUUACAACGAGUUUCACAUAGAAAAACAAUCUUGGGAACUUCUUCACGAAUGAUACUUUUCAACCCAUUAACUGUCGAGGGGUUCCCAAGCCCCUGACAGUUCCAGCUUAGUAGAUUCAUGGCUUCCGGCGGGGCUGAAACGAGUCAGCCACCGCCGAUCCCACAGAGCUUGAAGAAAGAUCCGAAAAACAUCUUCUUUUUUGAGCCGGUAAAACAUCUCCAAACACCACUGCCUUGGGGUCCCUCUUCCUACCUCGACCUUCAGGUUGUGUGAUCUUACCUCUCACACGGUUCGCACUCCGUCCCCGACCCUUAGCACCAUAACUAGUCCUCCCAUGCCGUCUUUCAUUCCCUGCCUGUCUAGUGGCUUUAGACUGCAUGACUUGCCUGAUUAUAGGACUCAACCCAAAAGGAUCAGAAUCUUGUUGGGUUCCAACCAUGUCUAAGCCCACACCCUUCCUCCCAUCAUGUGUUGAAAUAAGCCCACUCCCUUCAUUGGGCCAACUUUUACUCCCAAUACCCCUAUCAUCAGCAAGUCCAAGGCCCCCAUUUAACUCCACGUCAUUGAUAAUUGGAAGCAAAUCAGUACAAUUCCAAUUAGUCCCACAAUCAUGCUGCUCAUUUAAAGCUAACGUUAGCUGCCUAUUAGAAUCCGCAAUACACUCAUGAUUGGGCUCCCAAUCAAUCCCCAAAUUAAGGCUGAGAUUUAAAUCCGGUAAUACAGGGCGACUCAAAUUUUCCAUAACGUGCAAGUUAGAAUUACUAGCCAUAAUUGGAGCAUUUAAUGGCUGUAAAACUUCCCCAGUAAGAUUCUCUUUGUCCAAUCCAACACCGCCGCCAUGACCGUCGUGAGCCACCUCUACGAACUCCUCCACCUCCUCUUCCAUAUCUAUUGGUGCCUUCAUAGACCAUCCAGGAGGGUCAGAGAUCCCAAAUCGCCUUCCCAGGGGUCUACGAUAUUCAGGUCCAAGAAUGUCUUCCUGAAACCAUCGCCCAUAGGGUUUUGCCACAUCGUCUACUUGUUCUCCCUGAAACUUGUGGCAUUGACUUUCAAUAUGAUCGAAGCAUCCACACAGGUAGCAAACGUGCGGGAGUUUUUCAUAUCGAAGGUCAACCCAUUCCACCUUACCCUCUUGCAACUGAAUCGGCAAACAACGCCUUAGUGGUUUGGUAAUAUCUAAGACAACUCGGAUUCGCAAAUAGCUUCCAAAACAUUGGCCCCGCUUGCUUUGAUCUGUGACCACAUACUCCCCGAUCUGUUGCCCGAUCAUCUUACCCAUCUCUCGAGUCAUGUAGAUUAAAGGCAGACCUUUCACUUGAACCCAGAACUCUUGUUGGCAUAACGGAAUCCUCGUCGAGUGCACCAAGUCAUCUGCUUCAGCAAGAACUAGCAGGAAAUGAUUAAAUGUCCAUGGACCUCCCCGUAAUAUUGUCGCCCUAGCCGCAUUCGUCUUAAAAGAGAACACAAAUAAAUCUGCCUCCAAGUCUGCAAUGUCCACCUCCGCCUUUGGCCGCCACAGCAUAUGCAUGGUUCGUUUAAAGGCUUCUUUAUUGAUCGAUUGUCUCGACAGAACUUUACCCACUAGUAGGAACCUUGGUGUUUUCAACGUUCCUGCUUUGUCUGGCUCCACAACCAGUGCCUGUUGCUCCUCCUCAGUGAGAGAAAAGCGAGAAGCAAAGUUUUGCAGCAUAUUCUCCAUGGUCGUGAAAAGGAGAGCCAACAGUGCUCCUCCCCUAUCCGCACACCACACUGCCUGUUGCAAUCCUCGCCAACAGCAGUCUCGUAUCAUACAGAGGUACUACAAUCACCACCGAGAAAACCAGCCGUCUUCUCGGUCCGCCGCCUCCCUGGUGUUUUUAACUCUCCUAAAGAAACCUAGAGACCCGUAAUUGUCAUAUUAUUCUUACAUGAAAUGCAUAUAUUUAUUUUAUGUAUUUAAUGAUUAUAUUAUCAAUGGUAUCGAGAUAUUAGACACCUCUUACUUAUAAAAAAAAUUAUAAAAUAUGAUGUGAUUGUCGUCACACUCUUAUGUCGUGUUACAAACUAAUUCACGUGUUAUAAAAUUUAAGCUACGGUUUUGGCAAGACCAACUUUUGUUUCCAUUUGCAAAAGUCUUUGUGAAGGUAUCAUAUCAUUUCGACCUUAUAGAAUUGCAAGUUGAAUUCAGAACCAGUUCUCCACCUUAAUUCUUAAGCCAUGGAAUUUUUUUCAAUUACAUAAAGCAAUAAUAUUAAUAUCCGUUGAGAGUCGUGACCCACUAACUCCAUCUUCAGCCAAAUAACCUUUCCUUUGCUUCUGAACACGUGUCAUUGACCCUCCUCCAGCCAAAGAAGGAAAACAGUACAGAUGUUAUAAAGAUUAUAUCCUAAAUUUGCUAAAGAGUCUGCAAUCAUAUUUGUUUCCUACAAAUUAUGGGCAAAUUAUAACGACUUGAAAAUCUUAAAGGAGGAAAUUAAAUUAAUUACCAAUUUGGAUUGCUGUCACUUUUUUAAAAGCUGCUUCUGUUAUAUUUUGAAAAUAAUCAACUAUAAACUAAAGUAGUUUCAGGUUUGGUAUAAAAAUUAGUGUAAAACAGUUUGGUAAUGUCAUUUAAAAUAAUUUAUGAUGGUAUUACAUGAAUUGAAAAAAUAUUUACCCUUCAUUUGGAUAGAGGAAAAUAACUCGGGAUUUAGCUAAAAGUCAGGAAUUGAAAAGAAGAAAUUGAUAUUUUCAUUGUUUGGCAACUUAAACAUGAAACUUAUUAAAUGACGCACGGAAAAAAUCGUGGAAAUUGGGGAUUGAGAUUCUUGAAUUUAAUUUCCAUCAAAAGAGUCGUCAUUUCACAAUUCCAAUUGAUCAGGAAUUUGUUUUCACUAUAAUUUUUUUUAUUUACAAAAUUCAACAUAUAUAAAUCCUCGAGAUCUCCUUCAAUUAUAUAAUUGAAAUGCUAAUUUUCAAUUUAGGAUUGCUGUUACUUUUUAAAAAAGCUACUUCUACUAUGUUUUGAAAAUAAUCAGUUAUAAAGUAAAAUAGUUCCACGUUUAAUAUAAAAAUUAAUGUCAAACAAUUUGAUAAAUUUUAGUAUAAAACUAUUGUAAUUGUAGAUAACGAUUAAAAUGAUCAUAAUAUUGAAAGUGGCGGUGGUAGAGAUUGAGGUAAUAGUGGUGGUGACGAUGUUAUUGAAAUUUUUUGUUAUUAAAAAUAAAUAAUUAAACUUUAUAUACGCAAGAAUAAUAGAAUUAGAUUAACAUACUAUUCCACUUUUGAAAACCACUUCCUGUUACUUCUUACGUCUGUAAUUGUGGAUUAAAGGAUUUGCUAGAAAUUUUAUCGAGUCUAGUGUUAAAGUGCUUUAUUUUUUUCUUCUUUUUGGUGAAAAGAGGAUAGACUUUGCCAAUAAAAAAAACCAAAAAGCAACACACUUUACGGGCAAAAAACAAACAUGGAUGCUAAGCGAUUAGAGGAGAGGAUUUGCUCAAAGCAAAAGGCAAGUCUGGUGGGCCAUAUAGAUUAUUUUUUUUUUUCGAAGCUUACUUGGGUUACAGCCAUAGCCCUCCCUGUAGUUUCCUCAGUGCUCCCCUCUCUCCUUCUCUCUUUCCCCAUUUUCAGUGACAUAAGAUUUUUAUUUAUUGUCUUCGUUUUGUUAUGAUUUUUCUCCACCCAUAAUAAGUGGCUGCGUCUCGACGUUGAAUCUCCACCUGUAAUAAUAUGUGAAAAUUUUAUUUUAAAAGUAAAUAUAUUACGUUGGUCCCAAAAUUCAAACAAGUGGUAAAAAAAAAAAAAACUAUUUCAGAAGAGAGGAUAAAAAGUAGACCAAUUAGAACAAAUCCAAUCAAUAAGAUCAUAAUUAGUUUGAGGUCCCUUAAGUCUUAAAGAAGAAAGUUGAUUCCAAAGGUAAAAAUGAUAUAAUUAAUGCAUGAUUUGAUCAUGAUGUGCGUAAAAUGAUAAAUUAUGUAAAAUAAUUCGUACCAUGAUCUUUAUAUAUAUAAAAAAGAGGCUGCUAAGACUUUGAAGUGGCCAGAGGCUCUAGUGCGAACCACUAAAUGAGAAUCUUAAAUGAGGAUUAGUCUGAGUCGUCCAAAUUGAUCUGAACGGAUGAACAUGUAAAAUUAAGCUUUCAGUAGAGGCGCUGCCAAUGGCAUCUUCCUGGCAAAGAAGAAGACUCAGGUGCGAUUCGUUUCAUCACGUCUGGUUUCAUAUAAAACUACGUGGUUUUGUUUAUAAAGUCUUUUAUUUUAACAAAAUUCUGUGUUUUGAUUGUUUUAGUAUGAAAAAGAGUUGAAUACAUUUUUGAUUGGGUUUUACAUGAAAAUUUAAUUUGGUCACUGAGAAUUUUUUUAAGCCAAAUAGGUUACUGUGUUUCCUAAAGUUUAUAAUUUAAAGACAUUCCAUAUCUUCUGUUAAGUGCAGUUCUUCCUCUAAGGCCUAGUUUAGGAUUUCUGCCGCUUUAAAAAAAAGCUGCUCUUGCUGUGCUUCAAAAAGAAUUAAAGGUAAAGUAAAGCAAUUAAACGUUUGGUAAACUGUAAUUUUAAAAGUGUUGUGAGUAUGAAAAGUUUGGUAAAAUUUUACUGUAAAAGUGUUGUAACUAUUUAUAAUGACUAAAAUGAACAUGAUGCUGAAAGUGCUUUUUACUAAUCUGUUUGGUAAAAAAUAAAACUGUAAAGUGCUUUUAUACUUUUCUCCCUAAAAAUUAUAUUAAUCUUUAUUUAAAGAAAAGUAAAAAUUCAAAUUCAAAUUCAGAGAGAACAACAUUAAAAACUAUUACACAUGUUUCAUUUAAUUAUAAUAAACAAACAACAUUAAAAAAUAUUAAUAACAUACCUCAAUUUUGUCAUGCCACAAUUCAUCAAAAGCAUCAAUAGUCCCAAGUUUGGAAUUCCACCAAAGACCAGUUUCCUUUCCAAUUCUUUCUAUAUUUUCCACUAUUCUUUAAGUGCAUCCCACUUAUUUAUCAAUUGUGAUUUAUCGUACUCGGCUCUUGUAUCUUUACUCAAGCUAAUCCUCACAUUUUCCCAUCUUUCUUUCUUAAAGUGAGUACAAGGAUGAUUUCCUGCCUCCACCUCCUUGAUACACAUGUUACAAAAUAUAGUUGUAUUGUGAUUAUUACAUAUAGCCGGAACUCAUGAUCCACUAGCCACAUUAUUAUUUUUCACCAUCUAUGCAUGUCCUUAUAUAAAUAUGUAUGUAUUGGGAGAUGAACAUGUUAUAGCAAACAAUGUUUUUACUAAAAACAUACAUAAUGCCUAAGUAAUUACCUAUAGGAAAACUGGGGCAAUAAGCCCCUUAAGCCGUAAUUUAAACUUGAAGACAAUUCGACUCCUACCAAAUUUUCGGUAAAGUCUUCUCUGUAAUUAAAACAUUUUUCAAAUUACAGUACCCUUAAACGAGCAUAGAAAUAAUCCUAACAGGUAAGGGCACACAUAACAGUUAAGACUAUUGAAAUGGGCAUCCUGCCCUCUACCUGAACUUAAAGACGAGCAACUAAGAGCAACUAAAAAAUUUAAAUUUACAACCUGGGAAUAAAGACAAUGGGUUAUGAAGGAAGUCCUACGGUGUGGACAACGGGGAUGCCUCGACGUAGUGGUCUCAACCUCAGAUAUCUAGAACUUUGGGGGCACAAAACAGAAAAUGUGAGUAGACGAAAAUAAAGCUUGAACAUAAAUUAUACUCAACAUAAUAACCCCCUCUGUUUUAGAAAAUAAUGCCAAAACACCAUGCAAUAGAUUUCUUCAGCAAAAGUACAUAAUGUCAUCCGAUAUUAGAAAAUAUUUCAAUUCAGUAAAAUUAAUAUCAUAACGUACAAUAAGGAAAACCAUAUAAUCAAUACUUCUCAAAUUAUUGGAAAACAAUGUAAACUUAUUAAUUUAAUCCUAUAGGGACUUUUUCGUUCAAGCAGCUGCAAAUGGGCCUGGGCUGCUAUAAAGAGCAAAUGGAUAUAGUUGCCCCUGUGCCAAGUUUAAGAAUCAGGCCCCAAGAGUGCUUUGAAAAGUUUGUGGAGCCUUAGGAAGCACUUUGGUUCUUUCACCAACAAGACAAACAACUGUUUACAAAUCAAUAUUAUGGCUUGGCCUGAGGAGCUUGUGGCAUUCAAGCUAAGCCUCUAUGAGUUUAGCAUUAGAGAGAGAAAGCUUGGAUUUCUUUUGGGAAGCAGAGUUUUAGAGCAAGUGGAUAGGAAAAUUUGGGAAGAUUUGAUGAGAGAAGAGAGGGAGAGAUGAGGGUGAAAGAAUGAGUGGCUUGAUUAGGUUUUCCAACAGCUUGAUGAUUGCUUGGUCGUGCUUUAGAUGGUUGUCUCGCUGGGUAGGAGGUGCCUCCUUCUAUAGGCGCUGAAAGCCCUUUUUGGUUCAAGAACCCUAGCUAACUUUCCCCCAAAUUUUGUCAAGUCCUUUCCUCUAUUUCCCUUCACUUCCUUCGAUUCAAUCCCUUUGGGUGAGAAUUCCUUAAUCUAAGCACAUUGAGAUAGAACAUUUUCGGACUCCAAGGUUUUCCUGCAGCUGAUUUCUUCCAUCUUGGGUGAGGUGCCUCUUGCAUUUCCUCUUGGUUUUCCUACUAGAACUUGCAGAGGAAAGAACGAGUAAGGGUGUUGGUCUAAAAUGUGUCUUACUUCCAGCAACCCGUGCACAUGGGUUUUGCUUGGUUUUAACGAUGGCUUGGGUUUGAUUUGGUUUUAAUAGGGUGCUGGGAUAUUUUCUAAGAUGCUAGGUGUAAGGUUUUUUUCGUUAUGGCAGCUACUGAUAAGUCUGGGCUGUUGUAAAGAGCCAAAUGUGUGAAAUUGCCCCUUGAGUCUGAGUUCAAGGAUCAGACCCUAAGAGUGUUUCGAAAGGGUAGCUGAGCAUUAGGAAACACCUUGGUCCCUUUCACCAAUGAAACCAACAGUUGCUUACAGAUAAAUUCUUGGCUUGGCAUGAGAAGCUUGUGGCAUGAGAGCUGACCAUUCAUGAGUUUAGCAUGAGAGAGAGAAAGAGCUACGAUUUCCUAUGAGAAACAGCAUUUUUAAGGCAAGGGGGAAGAGAUUAUAAAGGGGUUCGUUGAAGAGAGAGUGAUGGGGGAAAUAACAAUAGGUGUGUUAAGUAGUUUUCGGCAGCUUGACGAAAGCUCUGUCAAGCUCUGGAACGAUUUACCAUAGGAGAAAAUGGGAGAAGAUAGAGAAAUGAGGCUCGAAAUUGCAGAGGUUUAAGGGAUGAGAGAUGAAGCUUACUCUCUGGAUAUGGGUUGCUUGCCUUUUUUUUAAGUUUAUCGGAAAGAGAGAAAGAAGAUAGAAGCAUGCGUGGCUUUAACAGAUUUCCAGCAGCUUGACGAAAGCCUCGUCAGGCUCCUAGGUUGCUUGACAGAAGAGAAAAUGGGAAGAGAUAGAGGAAUAGGGCUAGAAAUUGAAGUGUUCCAGGGAUGAGAGGUGAUGCUUGCUCUCUCUAGAUGUGGGUUCUAGAGGGGAUGCUUGCCUUCGAUGAGUUGAAGAUGACUUGGGUAGAAAGUGCCUCCCUUUAUAGACGAUGGAACACUCAAUUUUAUCAAACAACCCUCUCCCAUUUUCCUUUACUUUCUUCCAUUCCAUCUUAUUUGGUGAAACUUUCCCAGCUUGAGCAUGUAAGCAUGAAGCUUUUUGGAGUUCCAAGCCCUUCACGCAGCUGGACUUCUCCAUGUGGGUGAGGCACCACUCACUUUUCCUUCUUGUUUUCUCACCAAAGCUUGCAGAGGAAAGAAUGGGUAAAAGUGCUAGUCAAAAGGUGAUUUACUUCCAUCAGCACAUGGGUUUGCUUAGUUUUGGUGGUUUAGCUUCAAUCUGGUUUUAACAAAGAUGCUGGAUAUUUCCACGACGUUGGAUAUUUUAUAAGGUGCUGGGCUAUUUUGUUUCCAGCGGCUUGUGAUUCCUUUUGAUUUUGUCAAGCUGCUGGAAGCUUUGGCUGAUGUGGGAUUUUUUCAUGUGUUAUAGGCCUUUUCUUAAGGUGAUGGGCUAUUAGGUUUUCUCUCUCAUGCUUAACCAUAUGUUUAGGCUCAAGGAAUGGGCUUGAAUUUUGAUGCUCCCAAGUAGCCCAAAACUUCCACUCCUUGGACCAUCAAUGGGCCUCGUGAAUACUCUUAACUAUUCAUGCCACAACCCGUUCAGUAAGCCCCAAGCAUUAGCGUGGCUUGGACCCACUUAAGCUUGUAGCGUGGUGUGUUGCUUAUUUGCUUGGCGUGGCAUGUGUGCAAGAGCAUAUGACAAACUCUUGCGUACCCAAGUUGGGUUUCUUCCCAAGUUAGGUGUCAUACUGAGCUAGAAAUAUAUUUGGGCCCAGCCUUUGAUUUUUUGGGCCUCAACACUGGGCCAUUUCUCUAAGGUGUUGGGCCAUUUCUUUAAGGUGCUGGGCUGUUUUUUCUCUCUUAUGCUUACCCAUAUAUUUGGGCUCAAGAAAUAGGCAUGAAUUUGGUGCUCCCAUGCAACCCAAAAUUUCCACUUCUUGGACCAUCAAUGGGCCUUAUGAACACUUGUAACCAUCCAUACCACAAUUUGCUUAGCAAGCCCUAGGCAUUUGCGUGGCUUGGACUCACUUAAGCUUGUAGCAUGGCUCGAUAUUAAAAUAAAGGUUAUCUUCGCUCGACGUUGUGUGUCAUUUGGCGUGUUUGUGCUCAGGCUCUGCCUCAUUGUAACGGGAUAUGGCUGGGCCCAGUAGUGCUUGACAGGACAAUGAGCGUGGAUUCUUGGCGUGGCAUACAGAUCAUAACUUAUGUACACAUAUACGACAAAUUCCUGUGUACCCCUAUCGGGCUUCUUUCUCGAUUAAGUGUUAUACCGUGCUAGAAACAUAUUUAUGCCCAACCUUAGAUUUUACGGGCCUCAACAAAUCCUUAUUGUAAAAUUGUAUAUUCAAAUAUUCAUAUAUGUGCAAAGUACUCUCAAUACACAUGCUCAAGAAACCUCAACAUGGAAAUAAAUCCACACAUAUAUCCACACACACACACACAAACUUCACCAUCCUUAUUUACCGGGGAAAAACAAUUCAAUACAGGGACUAUUUUUAACUAGACCACAUGGCAGAAUCCUCAAUACAUAUAUGGUUAGGUACAAGCGGUCUAACCGAGACUAUUGCUCCCCAGACAAGCACUACAUAAUCCUCAAUACACGUGCAGUUGAAAUAAGUCUUAUGCUGGCAGACUGCUCGUUAAGGGCCUACGGCGCAUCCCACCAAGGAUGCCCGGGUUUCAGAGGGUAAAGUGAGACUCAAAUUAAGUUUCAGGGGACAUAUCAAUAAUUAAGCAUUUCUUUUUCAAUAGACAUUCACAUCUGAUCUUGGCUCAUAGACAUUUCAUCCCUCUUUUUGAUUAUUUAUUGUCUUGAUGGAUCCUCCACUCUCUUUAGACUAGGGCUGUCUUUCGGCCGGAUCGGAUCGGAAACAGCAAUUCCAAUUCCAAUCCAAUAUCUUUCGGAAUUCAAUAUAGAGUUCCGAUUCCGAUUCCGAAAAAAUUUGGAAAUUUUCGGAAGAUUCCGAUUCCAAAUAGGUUGUACUUUUAAGUCCCUACACAAAAUGACUGAGUUUGAAGAUAUUUAUAAAUGACUAAACACCUGAAGUUUAUUCUUGCAGUCGAUAUGGGACUCCAAGAAGAAAUGAGAGUGCAACUUCUCUCUCCACUCUUUUCUUGAUUUCUACUUGGUUACUCAUCCAUCACUUCUCCUCUCUCUUCCGUUUCUUCCUUUCUAAUCCAUGAAUGCCAACCUUCAUUUUCUUUCUUACUUAAAACUCUUCAGAUAUGGAACAAUAUGUACGGAUCCCGUUAGGAAAAAAACAAAAACACUUCUCCAACCAAAAAAGAAAUCAUUCUUCAAUUCUUUAUCUCUACUGUUUCUUCUCUUGCAUUUUUAUUUUUCUGGGUUUGCACUAAAUCAUUUAUCCAAUGUAUAUGUUCUCCAUUGAAUCCUCAUUGGAGCUCUUCCCUUGUUGCAAUACCCCAUACCAUCCAGAUUUUUUCUUUAUCAUUUAUUUUUCUGUUUCUGCACAAAUUCAUUACUUUUUUGGUAUUGAGAUGGAAUGAAAACCUUUAAUUAAGAAAGAAAGAAAAUCAAAGAAUGAGUUUUAAAAAUUUAGAAAUGUUUCAUUCUUUUUGUCGUCACUUCAAUUCAAUGUAGGAUUGGAAAAAAAACGCAGAUGGUUUUUUUUUAAAGUUAUAAUUGCCUUGGACCUCCUCUUUCUGAUUAUCCUUGGAACCUAUUAUAAUUGCCCAAGGCAUAGCUUAUUUUGAAAAUUAUAGCAUGUUUGAAUUCACCUUAUAUAUAUAUAACAAUCUAUUAUUAUAUAUACAACAAUCUAUAUAGUAUAUUGAUUAUUAAUCAAAGUAAUUUGUCCUACAUAUUAUAUAUUUAUAUUUUGUUCAUGUGAAUCAAAUUUUUUUGAUUCCAUGCUAAAGAUGGAUUCACAUUCAUCAAUUGAUGCUCAAGACUCAAGUUAUAGCCGAGUGACUAUCACAUUGGUUUUAGAUUCUAGUGGGUCAUGAACAUGUAUAAAGAGUGUUAGACGUUAAUCAUGCUCUAGACAAUUGUAAUACUACAAUUUUCAGGUUGGAAUACUACAAUUGUUAAAGCUCCAAUUAAUAUACGCACAUUAUAUGUGGUGUUUCAUGUAUAAAAUGAUUUUAUAAUUAAAAGUUUAAUUGAAGAUAGUUUAUAAUUUUAAAAAUACAUACAUAAAUAUAAAAUGAAAUAGUAUAAUACUUCCUACAUUUACCAUAUAUGUACAUAGUACAUAUGGAUAUAACAAGCACACAUAUGCACCUUUUUGUUAUAUUAAAUCAAGCAUAUUUGCCAAAUAUAUAUAUAGUCUUAAAGUUACAUACUACUAUGUUUAGUUUUUUUUUUUUUUUUUUGUCAAGCCUAUAUUUAGUAUGUACAAAUAUUUGUAUGUGGGUACUAAAACUUAACAAAUAAGAAAUGAAAAAUAUAUAAGACCUAUAAACUAAAAAUAAUGCAAUUAUACUUAGAAACUCGGAAUUUUUCGGAAAAAAAUUGGAAAAAUCGGAUCGGAAUGGAUUCGGAGAACUUCGGAAUUUUUCGGAUCGGAAUUUCGGAAUGUUCGGCAUUUAUCGGAAUUUUCGGAUUUCGGCAUUUUCGGAUAUCGGAUUUAUCGGAGUCGGAUUUUUUUGGAAAAAAUCGGACCGGAAUCGGUCGGAAUCGGAUUUUCCAAUCCAACUUACACCCCUACUUUAGACAAUAGGAUAAUAAUUUUGUUUCAAGUUGUUGGCGGAGCAAUACGAAAAUAUAAACUUCAGGUUUAAUUAUUGAUGUGCCCCUUGUGCUUUACCGAAAAUCCCACUUUACCCCCUACAUUUCAAACUAGGUCACUAUACCCUAUGUGCUUUAUUUCGUCAAUUGGUUAGUAAAACCGUUAACUUGCUGACGUGACAUAAAUAUUUUAGUAAUUUUAGCUAUUAAAAAAAUUUCAAAAUCUAAUUUAAAUAUAAAAAAUAAUUUUUUAAUUUUUUAAUAAUAUUUAAUAAGAUUAGAAAGAUUAAAUUUUUUAAAAAAAAACUCCAGCACCCGAAUAGCCCCACCACCACACCUCCCACCAUAACCCAAUCCAACCCACCUAGCCACCCAUGGUCAUCAUUCCACCAUGGUUCAAAUAUGAUCUCCUUACCUAAGUGAUAUACCCACCCCAAAACAUUGAUAACACUCCCUCCAAUCCACCUAGCCAUCUUCACCCCUUAGCCAUACUCACCCUUAGCCGCCACCCCAAAUUCACACCCAACCUCAAUAAUCCAAUGUGCCCCCAAGCCGUAGCCAUCCCAAUAGAGUACCCAAACACCAAAACCCCAAGCUGCAACUUCUCUUUCCUUUUCCAACUGGGUUUGUGUUUACCCUUUUUAUUUUUGAGCAUGUGGAAACCUUUAAGUAAAAAAUUUCAUUGACCUUUUGACCAUUAAUGGUCUCGAGAAUCAACUUUCUUUUAUGUGAGCGUGCCACUGUCAGCAGCUUAUAGUUGUAACAGAUUUGAAUGACUUUAUAUACUUGCGCCCUAAGUAAUAGACUUUAAACAAAUGAUUAUGAUUUUGGGUGGGGAAACCUCCCGAGAGAGUUCUUUACUACGCCUCAGACUGGUGAGGACGUCACAAUUUAUCUACAUAAAAAUGGUAAGUAAAGCAAAAUACACAAAUUCAUGAAAGACAUAACAAACUAAUUCAGGCAGAACUGCCCAAAAUACAAAGCAUAAAAUGAAUUGUUAAGUCUGGAUAAGCCUAAGAAUUUUUAGACUUUGACUUCUGCUUAAAAAUAUAGUCACAACGGUGGUUUAAGAUUAGACUAGAUUGGGUCUCUUCUGAUUGGACUGGAUGUUUCUGCACUGGAAUUGCACAUCAGCAUCUUCAACUAAUAGAGAUUAGCUGGAAAUCGAUACUAAUAUUGAGAUUGGCAGAGUUAUAAACAAGUUGAACAUAUAGAGGUUGACAAGGUGAGCAGAACUGCAAGCUGGUACUUGUUCUUGCUGAUUUUGAAUGAUCUGGUAGCCUUCUAGACAAUUUUAAAGCGUCAAUGUGUCUUUCUUAAUUUUGUUCAGGUUCUCAUAUGAUGAAAUACCUGACUUCUAUAUAUUUUAUCUAAUUUUCUGAUCAAAAUUUAUAAGCGAAAUUAAUCUAUUUUGAAUUAUGUCUGAUUUACCUUAUCUAGAUUGCGAGGGAAAUCUUGUUUUCUUCUUGGUUUUAUGAACUUCUUCUUGAUCUGGAUUGCUUAUGAAGGAAGAUUGCUUGCUUGCUUUUGUUGGUUGCAAGAUCGUGUGAUCUUUGAUUUCUUUUGAUCAAUCUGGAUUGACUGUUGGGUUUUUGCUUGAUUGGUUGGUUGGGUGUCCGUUUCUCCAAUCCAGAUACUCUUGUAUUUAUAGGAGAAAAUGUGAUGAUGAAUAAUGCUGGAUAUUUCCGAUUUUGGACUAAUCCCUCAGCAAUGCACAAGUGGCAAAAGUUUUGUCAAAUAACGCAUUGAUCAUUUUUGGCAUCUACUCAUAUAUGUUCCUAAAUGCCUCCUUAUCAUUUCUUUUGCAACAACCAAACUGAAGUGAGCAAUAAUGCCCAGAUUCUUCCAAUGUUAGUACCAUAAAUAUCUAAAUAUCCUUGUGGUAAAAAAAAAUCCUCCCAUCUUGUAAUAAAUAGCCGUGAUUUCCAACAAAAGUAAGUCUGAAUUCACUUUACAGCUUUCAUAGUCAUCAAUUUUAUUUGGAGUCUAGUUAUCAAUGGUGAGGAGUCUUUCUGACAUAUCUUAACAACUAAGAAUUUGUGAACUUUGUGCUAAAACUAACUCAAAUAAUUUGAUCCUUGGAUUAAAUCACCAUUGGUGGUAACUUAAUUCUCGAUUAUCAAAAUAUUGUGAAUUAAUUUAAAUUAAUCCCCCUUUUGUUUGAAUAGUAUGAGUCAUUCGCCAUUUUUUGGUAAAAUAAAGCCCAAUAUCAAUUUGAAAAGUGAACCCAAUACUUGUUUCAGGUUGGCGUGUAUAUUUCAGGCCCAAACAAUUUGUUUUCAUGCCUGUCCUUUUCCCAUAUUCUUUGUGCAGUCAUGAAGAACUUUAUUUUAUUUUUCAAAAUUUUUUUACCACAGCAGAGGAGAAACCGGGGUGCGCGUGAUGGGGGAGGGAGGGGAGGAUGGCCAUGCGUUAGGGGUGAUAGUUGGUGAUGGGAUGGGGAAAGGUUGGAUUAUUGUGGGAGGUGUGGUAGCUAUUCGGGUGCUCGUUUUUUAGAUUUUUAUUUAUCUUUCUAAUCUUAUUUAUGAUUAAAGUAUUUUAAAAUUAUUUUUAAAAUUUAAUUUAGAUUUUGAAAUUUUUUAAUAGCUAAAAUUACUAAAGUAUCUAUACCAUGUCAGCAAAUUAACAGUUUUACUAACCAAAUUGAUGGAAUGAGAGAACGGGGGACACGCCAAUAAAGCACAAAGGGCAUAUUGACCCAGUUUGAAAUGUAAGGAAUAAAGUGGGAUUUUUAGUAAAGCACAAGGGGCACAUCGAUAAUUAAGCAUAAAAUUUAAUAAUAACAAUAGUUAUCUUUUUGUUUUGGUGAGAUAUGAGGAAUCCUCAGAAAACAACAACUAAACACCGCACAUGAGUCGAGGCCUAGUAAGACAAAGUAAGUCAUCCAUCAACAGAGAGCUAACCCAGACAGGAGCCUUAUCAAAAAAGCAAAUUCCAGGUCCAUAUUAUAACUCUAGUUUGCCAAAUAAUCAGCAACACAAUUCUUUUCCCUUUAAAUGUGGAUAAGGUGAUAAUUUCCAAUUUGUCUCAUAAGAUCACAACAACUAUGCACCAAAGCAGCAAGAGGAUGACAUUGCAAUGAAUUGAUUUGUUGAACAAAUGAGAUAGCAACAACAACAUCCAUUUCAAUAGCAAGGUUAGUGAUACCUUUCUCAACAGCAAGCUUUAGACCAAAAUAUAGGCCCCGAACCUCAGCCUCCAAGAUAUGACCUUGGCCCAAAUUCACAACAAAAUCGGCAAUCCAGCCACUUGAGGAGACUUGAAUAACACCUCCUGCACCAAUAAUAUUAGUGGCAGCCUUUCUAGAACCAUCCACAUUCAGCUUAAGUUGGCCAAUUGUACGAGGUUUCCAAGCCAAAAAAACAUGUACUCUAUCAGGUUUCUUGCCAAAGCCAUUAGCGGCUUUAACCCAUUCAACAACCGCAGUAAAGAUGGUUUUCCUAGGAUUAAAAGGCAAAUCCACUUCAACGUUAAAAAUCGGCUUGUUACGCCAAUUCCAGAUAUACCAACAAGUAAUGGCAAAAAUAAUAUUCCAACCAAUACCAUUAGGGCUUUUAACCUUAGAGAGCAGAUUGCCUAAGAACUAAGGUUUUAGCUCAAAUAGGAAGAAGUGAGGAGAAGAAUAUAAAUUUAAAACAAAAUUCCAUACCAUCAUAGCCCUGGGAUAGUCCCUAAGAAUAUGAAUAACGGAUUCAGUUUGCCAACCACAAAGAAGACAAGAAGGAUCAAAAGUUAGAUUCCUCUUGGUUCUUUGCUCAUUGAACAAGAUUUUAGCUUGAUAAGCCAGCCAAAUGAAGAUAUGAAUUUCGGGAGGGAUUUUCAUUCUCCAUAAGUCCUUCCAAAAGGGAUCAACAUCUCCCAAUUCUCUAAAAAAAAAAUAGAGUAUGCAGAUUUAACAGAGAAUAAGCCAUUUGAAGACAAACCCCAAAUUUGAGCAUCAUGUACAGAGUUCCCAAACCCAAUAGGAACAACAGUGAUUUUUUGAACCAAAUCUUCAGUAAGAGCAUUCCUCAGCUAGUCUACAUUCCACCAACCAUUCCUAAAAAACCUGUCAAAACUGCAAUUCAAUUCUUGGAUAUUCAACACUCCAUUAUGUUGCAUUAGAGGUGUAUCAAAUAGUCAUUUAUCUGUCCAAAAUUUAGCCAAAUCACCCUUUCCAACCCUCUAGGUCAUUCCCUUUGCAAGCAAUUCAACUCCAAAAAGAAGACUAUUCCAAGUUAAGGAGUACAAAUGUCUUGUUUUCAAAUUAUGAUCAAUAAUAGAGUAACCCUUGAGGUUUUUCUUUUCAAAAAUCUGAGCCCAUAAGCCAUUAUCUUUGUUGUGCAUCCUCCAACCGAUUUUAGCCAACAAAGCCUGAUUCAUGUCCUAGCCUUCUUGAAACCCAAACCACCUUUGUUUUUAGGUCUACACAGUAGAUUCCAUUGGAAGAGGUGGACUUUCUUCUUCCUAUCACUUCCUUCCUAGAAGAAUUUUCUAUUUAACCUAUCCAAUCUUCACAAAUACUAACAUGUAAUUUUGUGGUCUGCAUAGAAUAUAUGGGAAUAGCAUAUGUGAUAACAUAGAUUAGGGUGGCCCCUCCCAGCUGAAGAAAUCAACUUACUUUUCCAAUUGGCAAGCCUGCAAUGAACCUUACUAAGCAAACUGCUUUAAGUGGAUCGAGUUACCCUAGAGUGCAAGAUAGGCAUCCCCAAGAAUUUUCCUAAGUUGUCUGUUGAAGGGGAGCCACAAAUGAAACUGAUCUCUUGAGCUAACGCCCUGCUGGUAUUAGGAGAACAAAAUACAGAAGACUUGUCAAAGUUGACAGUUUGACCAGAGGCUUGACAAAAUAAAUCCAAGCAUCAUUUCAUCACCCUAGCUUGUUGCGUACUAGCUUCAGUGAAAAGGAUUAAGUCAUCAGCAAAAAACAAAUGCGAUACAACAGGACCAGUUUGGGAGGACCUAACAUGUUUCCAUUUCCCCUAUUGAUAGCAUCAAAGAUGAUAUGAGAUAGCUUUUCAAUGCAAACAACAUAGAGGUAGGGAGAUAGGGGAUUUCCUUGUCUAAUACCAUUCUUUGGAAUAAAGGUAGAGAGAGCUCGUCAUUAACACAAACUUGAUAUCUGACAGAAGAAACACAACUCAUAACCAGCUGAAUGAAGUUACUGGGCAUGCCAAUUUCACCAAGGACCUUUACAAUAAACUUCAAAUUUAAUCUAUCAUAGGCUUUAGAUAGAUCAAUUUUUCAGGCAAUGAAGCCCUUCUUACCCUUAGAACAUUUGAACUUAUGCAUCAAUUCCUGAGCAAUAAGGAUGUUAUCUGUGAUUUGUCUUCUAGAGAUGAAACUAACCUGAUUAGGAUUCAUGAUUUUAGGCAAAAUAGGCCUUAAUCGAGUAACUAGUAAUUUAGAAAUUACCUUAUAAAGAGUGCAACAAAGACUGAUGGGUCUGAACUUGCACCAUGAAGUUGGGGGGGGAGGGGUGGGUGGGUUCUCAACCUUGGGGAUCAGAGUGAUUAGGGUACUCAUGAGUUGCUCACGGACAUAAAAUUCAUGAAAAGCCUUACGAACCAUGGCGAAGAUGUCAUCAGCACAAUUAUAGUUAUAACACUCAAAUAUGAGAAUAAACGUACAUGAAUCAAGGGGAAUUGUGUCAGAUUACAAAAGGGGAGAAAAUGGGGAACAAAAUGGAAAAAGAAAAAGAAAAAGAAAAAGAAACAUAGGUUAAUAAAUACUUCCAAUAUUAUUUGAUGACAAUCAGACAAAAAAGGCGAGUGGGCUGGGUGGUGCAUGAUGAGUUUUGUUUGCUAGUAUGAACUGAUGGAAUGGGGAAUUUAUGGUGCCAGUCAGCAUUAAUGACAGAGGUCCUAGCUAUUCGGGAGGCGUUGAUGGUAAGCUCAAAUGAGGGCUGGAGGGAUCUUGAAGUGAAAUCUGAUUCAAAAACAUUUCAUUGCCAUUUGGUAGCUGCUUUUGUUUCUAGAGUAGGUAAGGAGCAUUCUUGGGACUGCAUUGGUACAUAAUGGCUCUUAGAUUGUCUAGCUAGUGAUGUAAACAUUAGCAUUAAUUCGUAUUUUAAUAAAAUCUCCCAACUUUUUGACCAAAAAAAAAAAAAGACAAAAAAUUCUAACUUAAGUAGGAUAAAUUUGUCCUUAGAAGUCAUUUUAUAAAAGGAUAAAUUUGUCUUUAAAAUUCUGAAGAUGUGAGAAAAUAGGAUAAGAGGGUGAAAAUAGCAACAUUCAUAAAUAAUUAAGCCAAGCCAGUGGGGUUCAACUGCGGUCGUUUGGCAGCAAUUUUCCCCCCUUUCCCCCAUAUUGGCACCCAGGUUCGAUGCUUGAUAUUGGCAAAAAUUUGUAGAGAACCAAUUUAACUGAUAUCCCCCCUCCCCCUUCCAACGAUUGGCCAAAAUAAUAAUAAAUAAUUAAGCCAAAAAGAAAAUAGGUAUUACUUCUUAAAAUGGGUCAAGGAUUCAAAUGGAUUCGACUUCUAAAUCGUCUUUUAGGAUGCCGUUAAGGGCCGGUUUGGUAUUGUUGUGCUGUGAAAAUAACCACUCUCAGAUUUGCUGUGACAGAUAUCAGCUAUUACAUAAAGUAGUUGGGCGUUUGGUAAUAUUUUUGUUAAAAAUGAUUUUGGUACUAUAAUCAGUUUCUCAGUGUUUGGCAAAUGUUUAUGUAAAAGUGCUGUGAGUUGUGUACAAUGACUAAAAAUGACACUAUGUUGAAAUGACUUUUCUAUUCAAGUGUUUGGUAAAAAGAAAAUAAUUUUACUUUCACUUAUGUAAUUCUUGUGUUAAAUAUGUUUUUUCAAUCAUGACACCCUAAAAAUUAUUUUAAUCAUAAAAUAAAUAAUAUGUGGAAAACUAUUUUCACUGCACUAAAAUUCCACACUAUUUUAACUUUAAUAAUGUAAGAAAAUUUCCAUAAUUUUAAAUUUUUAAUAGAACAAUAUUUUUUGGUCUGAAAACCAAUAUUGGACUUUGGGACUUUAUGCAAUCAAUCUAGCAUUGCCAAGCUAUUGGACGGCCAAAAGAAAUGAAAGAGUCACAACAUGUGGAAUAGAAAAUAGAAAAGAGGGCAUUUAAAAGAAAUAAGGCUUUGUUGGGUAGUUUACAAAAAUUCAUUAAUGUCCUGAUUGUUCCAACCUGAUUAUCGAGAAAGUGAAAACCAAAAUCACCUCAACUUAUGCUUUUUCAAACUGUUAUCGUUGACAUAGAAUUUCUCAAAUAAUUACGUUAUACUAUUUUUACCGAAUACGCUAACACACGCAUCACUUUCAAAGAAAAUAAUUUUCCUCUAAAUAAUGAAAUUAUCAAACGGGUACUAAAUGUAAGCCAGCACAUUAUUCAAAUAGUGCUCAUGCUAAAAAUUCAUAAUCUCCACAACUAAACGUCCAAAAUGUAAAUUUCUUUUUAAAUAAAGGUCCAAAAUAAUAUUAGUCGAACAGAAAUUUGCCACGUGGUUCUUCAAGCAGAGCUCCAUCCUAACGCAGCCGUAGACAACCGCAACAGGCCAGCACCCUCUCCCAAAACGCCGAUUAAUCCAGAGACAGCAAAACCCGAAAAACAGACCAAUUUCAUACAAAAAAAUUUGAGAAAAAAUAGGAAAAUUUUAAAAAGUGCCCCAAAGGGGUGCGCACGCUAACAAAUGUCACCCGGCCAGAGCAGGUUAGCGCCUCCCGAUGCUUCCUGCACUGUCUGUGACUACUACGAGACCUUCCCUUUCUCUCUCUACCCGCCUUAUCCUACGCAGCCUCUCGUUAUCACCACAGCUUCUCUAGGGUUAGGGCUAAAUUCUCAUUCGCUUCCUCUCUCUCUUUCUCGCUUUCUUUUCGCCCAAUUCUUCAUGCGCUUCGGAGAACUAGGGUUUUAUGAUCUUCUAAGGGUAGCUUCACAUUCUGUUCGACCCAAACGCACAUGGACCACAGGAGGCAAUCCAAGGAUUCUCUCUCAUACUCAAACCUCUUCAAUCUUGAGGUAUGUCUUUGUUUUCUCAAAUUGUUGCCUUGCUUAGCCCUUUUUGGUUUUGCUCUGAUUUGGCAAGUUUUGUGCUUUAUGUUUGUAAUUCAUAUGUUUGAAUUGGGAACCUUGAAUGUUUCUGAACUGAAGUGUAUUUUCUUGCAUAUUGAGAUUGAGAAUUUGAUUGUGAUUUUUUAUUUUUUCUUUAUUUUCUUUAUUGUUGUGUUGUAGUCUUUGAUGAACUUUCAAGUUCCACAACCAGAUGACGAUUUUGAUUAUUAUGGCAAUAGUAGUCAGGAUGAGAGCAGAGGUAGCCAAGGUAGGCAAUUUGUCUUAAUAUUUCGACUCGAGCUUAGUAUGACCAAUUUGAUUUUUUUUUUUUUUUUCUCUUUCUUGUAAAUGUAUUUCUACACUGCAUGCUACUAGAGUAUCUCUAUGCAUAUAUGUUAUAUAUUUAGAUAUAGGUGUUGGUUGGAAGGAAAACUUGGGCAAGGGAUUUGUGGUCUUAUAGAUGCACAUUGUUUGUGCUUUGUGGCUGGUUGCAUGUGUAGGUGGAGCCACUGGUAAUGGGCUAAUGCCUGACAGAGAAUUGAAUUCAGUGAAGAAAAGAAGGCGAUCUCAAAAUAGUGACUACGAGGACGAGGACAGUUAUUACCGGACACACAUUACAGAAGAAAGGUAUCGAUCAAUGCUUGGAGAACACAUUCAGAAGUAUAAAAGGAGGUUCAAGGAUUCCUCGUCAAGUCCUGCACCAACACAGAUGGGGAUUCCAGUUCCAAAGGGUAAUAAGGGUUUAAAAUCCAGGAAACUGGCCAAUGAGCAACGAGGAGGGUUUUAUGAUAUGGAAACCACAUCAGAGUGGCUCAAUGAUUCUAAUACUCAGAAGCCAGGGAACCACCAUGAUGCAGAUUUUGCACCACAAAGUGGCACCAAUAGGUUUGCUUUCACCUCUGAUUUCCUUUUGAUCAUGGGCUAUUUUCAACCUAAGCAUUUAUUUGAUUAUAUUUCCUUCUCUGUAUUUCAUGCAGAAUAACGUAUGAACCUCCUUAUCUGGAUAUAGGAGAUGGUAUCACUUACAAGAUUCCACCAAUUUAUGAUAAGCUGGUGACAUCUUUGCACUUGCCUAGCUUUUCGGAUUUUCGGGUGGAGGAAGUUUACUUGAAAGGUACAUUGGACUUGGGAUCCUUGGCAGAAAUGAUGGCUAGUGACAAAAGGUUGGGGCCUAAAAACCGGGCAGGGAUGGGGGAGCCCCAGCCCCAGUAUGAAUCCCUUCAGGAUAGAUUAAAGGCAUCGUCCACAUCAAACUCAGCUCAAAAGUUCAGUCUCAAAGUCUCUGAUAUAGGGUUAAAUUCUUCUAUCCCAGAGGGGGCAGCUGGAAAUAUAAAGAGGUCUAUUUUGUCUGAAGGUGGUGUCUUACAGGUCUACUAUGUGAAAGUUUUGGAGAAGGGAGACACAUAUGAGGUUUGUUUUCCUUCACUUUAGAUUAUUUGGUUACUUAAUUUUUUUUUUUUGGGGUGGGUGUAGGGCGGGGGGUGUGUGUCUCCCUUUUUAUGUGGUAUUUGGGGUUGGUUGUUCACUCAUGGUUGUUCUGCAGAUCAUUGAACGAAGCCUACCCAAGAAGCAAAAGUUGAAGAAAGACCCUUCUGUGAUUGAGAGGGAGGAAAUGGAAAAGAUUGGAAAAGUUUGGGUAAACAUAGUAAGAAGAGACAUGCCAAAGCAUCAUAGGAUUUUUACAACUUUUCACCGGAAGCAACUAAUUGACGCUAAGAGGGUCUCAGAGAACUGUCAAAGAGAGGUACUUAUGAUGUGUAUGGCAUAUGUAGUGUUCUACUUCUUUCUGUUGUACUGCAUGUCAGAUGUGGAUUUUGAUAUUCAAACUUGGUGAUGGUUGAUUUUAUUAACCUGGAAUUUGUAGUACUUAUACUGAAGCUAUGGAUUUUUUUUAAGGUGAAAAUGAAGGUGAGUAGAUCACUUAAAUUGAUGAGGGGUGCUGCAAUUCGUACAAGGAAACUAGCCAGAGACAUGCUACUAUUUUGGAAGAGAAUAGAUAAAGAGAUGGUAUCCUUCCCUUCUCCUCUAUGAAAUGCCUUUUCAUCCUAUUGGUCUUCAAUUUAGUCAUCUUUAGUGAUUUGUAGUUGACAUGAAAUUUAUAAUCAUGUCCAAAGUUUCAUAAGUGUUUGGUCAAAUCAUGGAUCUUGAGAGUCUGUCUUGGAGAGAUUGUCAUUUGAAGAUCAUAUAUUUAUUUUUAUUUUUUUAUCUUUUGACAAAAACUCCAUCAAAUUUUAUUAAUUUUUUUAAAUAUUGAUACUGUUGCAGGCAGAAGUGAGGAAGAAAGAGGAGAAAGAAGCAGCUGAAGCUUUGAGGCGCGAACAGGAGCUUCGAGAAGCAAAGAGACAGCAGCAAAGGCUCAAUUUUCUUAUACAGCAAACUGAACUUUACAGUCACUUUAUGCAGAACAAGCCAAGUUCACAGCCAUCUGAAGAUCUGGCUGUCGGAGAUGAAAAACAAAACGACAAAGAAGCAUCUCUGAGCUCCUCAGAUGAUGAAGCUAUUGAGGAAGAAGACCCUGAGGAUGCUGAACUGAAAAAGGAGGCUUUUAAAGCUGCUCAAGAUGCAGUUUUAAAGCAGAAAAACUUAACUAGUAAAUUUGAUAAUGAGUAUAUGAAACUAUGUGAAGAUGCUGAACCUGAGGCAGCACAGGAGGUUGCUGGAGCUAGUAGCAUAGAUCUACAUAACCCGUCAGUCACUCUUUCCCUUCUUAUUUUUGAUCUUGUCUUUCUUCUGGAGUGUAUCAGGAAAUUGGAGGCAAAGCUUUUUCCAGUCAAAUUGAUGAAGUUUCUAUUAUUAUAUAUGCAGUUCCACCAUGCCUGUAACCUCAACAGUUCAGACACCGGAGUUGUUUAAAGGAUCCCUUAAAGAAUAUCAGCUAAAAGGCCUCCAGUGGCUGGUUAAUUGUUAUGAGCAGGUUGUUAGUCUGUACUCUGUACCCAAAUGGAUACACAUGAUAUGUGCACGCACAAUUUAACUCACCUGGAUUUAUUUUCUCUUGAUUGAUUAUUUAGAAGGUAUUUUUGCUGUCUAUCAGGGUUUAAAUGGCAUCCUUGCUGAUGAGAUGGGACUAGGAAAGACUAUUCAGGCCAUGGCGUUUUUGGCUCAUUUGGCUGAGGUAAUUGUUCAGCUUGGUUUGUUAUCAUAAUGAUUGUCUUUGAAGUAACUUGGAUUGCUUGUCCCAUUCAGGAGAAAAAUAUAUGGGGGCCUUUUCUGGUUGUUGCUCCUGCUUCUGUCUUGAACAAUUGGGCUGAUGAAAUUAGUCGUUUCUGCCCUGACUUGAAAACUCUUCCAUACUGGGGUGGUCUUCAGGAGCGUACGGUACUUAGGAAAAAGAUCACUGCUAAGAAACUUUACCGCAGGUAAUUUUCUUUGCCCUUGUUAUUUUAAAAUUUCAAGAACAACAAUGAUAAUUGGCCAGUAUUGGAAGUAACAUACUGCUUAAGACGCUGUUUGGGCCGACUUGAAACAAUACGAGGCCUUAGACGGAAAUUCCAGAUUAAGCUUCUUAUUAGUGCUGAUAAAGAAAAUAUUAACUUAGUUUUAUAUGCUAAAAGUUUCUCAUGUUUAAAUCCUAUUAUCUUGUAGACAUAGUUGCUAUUGAAAUAAACGUCUCAUUUGUGAUUGCAUGCACCCCAUAUCAUAUCUAGAAGGGACCUUUAUGAAAUAGAAGCUUAGAUGGUACACAGGCCUCCUACAAAUCAAGUACAUAUUGCCAUGGGUGUAGCUGAAGUUUUCAUUUUAUCUUGAGUUGGUCUGUUCUCUUGCUCCUUUUCUUUCCCUUUUCUUCACCAAGUAAAACUUUAGCGUGUGGUCAGAAUCCAAAUACACAGGAAGUAUACAAGAGUUGAUUAAAAAUGAAAAAGAAACAACAAAGUGAAAUAAAGAAUAAAAAGGAAAUGCAGAUUCCCCUGGAGACUGCUCAAGAGUUGAACUCAACUCUACUAAAGAAUGCUUCGCCGGCUGAAAAACACUUUUUUUCUUUGUUUACAAAAUUGAUAUAUUUUAGCAUGCUAGUUGUCCAUAUGAGAAAUACCAUGGCUCAUUUCCCACCAUUUUAUAAACUUUUGUUGUUGUUUUUGUCCUCAAACUUAUUGACAGGGAUGCGGGGUUUCAUAUUCUCAUUACCAGCUACCAGCUGCUAGUGGCCGAUGAGAAGUAUUUUCGACGUGUGAAAUGGCAGUAUAUGGUAUUAGAUGAAGCCCAAGCAAUCAAAAGUUCUAACAGGUUUGGACUUAAAUCUUCCUUGAUAUUUAUUUAUUAAGGAUUUUGGACAUGCUCCUACUCCUUGGUCUUCUUGACCUGUCUUUGUUACAAGUUAAUGGUUACUGACAUGAACUUUCCUCUUGAAAAUCAACAAUGGGAAUUAGCUCCAUUGAUAGGGCCAUUCUUGUGGUAAAUUGAAUGUGUUAAGUGAUACCAAGUGUCAUAAAGAUGAAACAAAUUUAAGAAACCUGAGAAGGAUAUUAUCAAAAUAAUUUUUAAAAUAAUAACCAUGUGUAAUAUUCUUGACAAAAUUGUCCACACCUUCUAAGCAAAUGAAGGUGUAUUAUUUCUAAGCAUCCAAAUAAGCGCCAGCAAGGGUGGACAUGAUGUGUCCUUACUCUUCAGGUGUCCCAACAUGGAAUCUUUUAUGGAAGUAGUCUCCUACAAACUAAUCGAUUUUACAUUAUUGUUAGGGUUGCAGCUGUAAUAAUAUUGUGGUUUAGUUCCCCUUGAUCCUAGACCCAACCAUUUAUAUUAAGAACUAUUCAACAACAAAUGCUAACGUUUGCAAAGUCUUUUAGAUUGCGAGUUCAUGUAUUUUAUUACGAUUUCUUAAAUCCUAUGUGUACUCAUAUAUCAUUGGAUAUUUUGAUUUGACAGUAUAAGAUGGAAGACACUGCUCAGCUUUAAUUGUCGAAAUCGUUUGCUGCUUACUGGUACACCUAUCCAGAAUAAUAUGGCAGAGUUGUGGGCUCUACUACAUUUCAUUAUGCCAACCUUAUUUGACAGCCAUGAACAAUUCAAUGAGUGGUUUUCAAAAGGGUAUGCAUUUGGAUCUGAAAUUCCUACCCACAAACAAAUAAAGUAUUCUUAUUAAAUGAAUUAUUUUUCAAAUAUUAACAGAAUUGAAAACCAUGCGGAACAUGGGGGUACUUUGAACGAGCACCAGCUUAACAGAUUGGUUAGUACCCUGACUCUGAUAAUUGUAUUCAUUAAUAAAUUUUACCUUGCUCUUUGGUCUAGUCUAACGUUCCCAAUAAAGUUCUAAUUUGAUUAUCCUUGGAAAUGUUUUGGUCUGUCAAAUUUCUCCUGCUAGCAAGACAUGUAAUUUGUGAAUGGAAAUAGCAUAUAUAGGACAAUUAUAUGCAGUUGUCAGUCCCGAAGCACAGACAUAAUGGGCUUUGAAAUGGUGGCGAUGAGUGGCUUCCUGGUUGGAUAUGGGCAAGUCAUCUUCCUUGCUCCUCAUCCAGGGUGUAUUCGAAAAUCCCAUAAAUAAUUUAGGCAACCCCAAAAAACCAAGAAUUUUAUGGAACAUUCUAGGUGGAGAAAAUCUGGUAAUGUUUUUCUUGACAAUAUUGACCCAAAUAUAACCUUCUGUGUUUAAGAAACCAUGAGGCUAAUAUGAUCCCAUUUCUUGUUUCAUUAUUCCAUCUCGCUGUAGCCAUCAACUGUACUUAAUGGGUAUGUGUGCUGGUUAAAACUCUCAUAAAUGAUCCCAGCCUUAUUUUUUUUCACCUCUCUGUUAAAACUUUCCUAGUUGUGAAUGGAAAUACCUAAUGGGAUGUGGAACAUUUCUGACUACUUCUGUUUUUCUCCUUACAGCAUUCCAUAUUAAAGCCAUUCAUGCUGCGUCGAGUUAAAACAGAUGUGAUUUCUGAGCUGACCCAGAAAACUGAGGUUACUGUGCACUGCAAGUUGAGUUCUCGACAACAAGCUUUUUAUCAAGCUAUCAAGAACAAAAUAUCUCUUGCUGAGUUGUUUGACAGCAAUCGUGGGCAUCUUAAUGAGAAGAAAAUUUUGAAUUUGAUGAAUAUUGUCAUUCAGCUGAGAAAGGUAGGCUAUCCUUACAUAGGUUUUUGUAGUCUAUAUGGUGGGAUGUAAUUAUUAUGAGAUUUCUUGAUUGUAUUCUUUAUUUUCUCAAAAUUUUCCAUAUAAAGUGUUUCAUUUGUGCAAUGUUAGGUAUGCAACCAUCCUGAGCUAUUUGAGAGGAGUGAAGGAAGCACAUAUCUGUACUUUGGUGAGAUACCAAAUUCUCUUCUUGCCCCUCCAUUUGGGGAGUUAGAGGACGUGCACUACUCAGGAGGUCAAAAUCCUAUAACAUACCCGGUACUUUCUUAACACCCUUUUCCCUCAUACAUAAUCAUAAGUCUUUUGUAGUGCAAAGGUGAGAUUAUCACUUUGCUCGUACCCUGCACACGACAUAUUAAUUGGUCAGUAACGAAAGGGGAGACAGAGAGGGAGGUAAGUAGGUGUGGUGGUGAGAGAUGGAGGAAAGAGUGAGUUAAACAGAGGGAGGCUUGAGGGAAAUUCUAUAAUUUGAUGGCAAUUUGCAUGUAUGGCACCACUAAUUACAUGCCAAUUUUCAGGCGCAACACAUGACCUGCACUUGUACUUUCCUUAUGUAAUUCAUGUUCUCAUUCUCUUAGAAAUUAUGUUCCUUUGAAUAAUUUGGAAUGCAUAUUGGACCUGCAUUUGGAAGUGGAUGUCUAUUAAUGCUUAUUUGAAGAGGAAAUUCAUGACAUGCUUCUAUUGGGAUGUAUACUAUUUAGAACAUUAAUUGCUUGUGUAUUCCAUAAGAGUAUUUCCAAUCUACUUUUUCACCUGAAGAAAUAAAUUAAACUAGCUGCUGUGUCCAAUCACAGACAUUUGUGCUUGCAUGUCCCUCUUCCCAUUAUUUGAUUUUGUGCUGUAGUUUCCAGUAACUUACCUACUGACUAAACUUUUAAACGGAAUUUCUUGUUUUUCCAGAUCCCUAAACUUUUCUAUCAAGAAAUUCUCCAGAGCUCUGAAAUUUUUUGCUCAGCAGUUCGACAUGGUGUCUACAGAGAAUCUUUCGAGAAAUACUUUAACAUAUUUUCACCGGAAAAUGUUCAUCGAUCAAUAUUCUUGCAAGAGAAUAGCUCGGAUGAGUUGUCCAUUAAUAGUGGAACGUUUGGUUUUACUCAUCUGAUAGAACUGUCCCCUGCAGAGGUUGCAUUUCUAGGAACUGGUUCUUUUAUGGAGAGACUAAUGUUUUCUAUUAUGAGAUGGGAUCGGCAAUUUUUGGAUGGAACUGUGGACUCACUGGUGGAAACCAUGAAGGAUGAUUUUGAAUGUAGUUAUCUUGACAGUGGAAAAGUGGGAGCGGUGACACGAAUGCUGCUCAUGCCUUCACGAUCUGUAACUAAUGUUCUUCAAAACAAACUGGCUACAGGACCUGGUGAUGCUCCAUUCGAGGCUCUAGUUGUCUUGCAUCGGGACAGGCUUCUUUCUAACACUAGGCUUCUCCAUUCAACAUACACAUUCAUACCACGAGCUAGAGCUCCCCCAGUAUGUUUUCAGUUAUUCAUUAUUUUUUUGGUUGUAAUUAUUGUAGUUGUGCAGCUCUAAAAGGAAAAGAAAGUUAUUGUCUUUGUUAACACUUUAUAUUGAUAAACUUAUGUCAAAAUAUUGUAUAAUGUGGACAGGUUAAUGCCCAUUGCUCAGACAGAAACUUUACUUACAAAAUGGUUGAAGAACAACAAUACCCUUGGGUGAAGAGGUUGUUCACUGGGUUUGCACGGACAUCUGACUUUAAUGGACCCAGGAAACCUGAGAGUCCUCAUCAUUUAAUACAAGAGAUUGAUUCUGAGCUGCCUGUUUCAUGUCCUGCUCUUCAGUUAACAUACAGGAUUUUUGGGUCUUGUCCUCCUAUGCAAAGCUUUGACCCAGCAAAAUUGCUCACUGUAAGACUGUUUAUCCUCUUUUGGUUUCCUUUUAUAUUCUUUAGUGACCACUUUUUUUUUUUAAAUUUUUUUUUAAAAAUUUCUUAAUUGCAAGUGUCGAAAGAUGAGCUUAUCUAUCUUUUCUAUAGGAUUCUGGGAAACUUCAGACCCUUGAUAUAUUGUUGAAACGCUUGAGGGCAGACAACCAUCGUGUUCUUUUGUUUGCACAAAUGACAAAGAUGCUGAAUAUUCUCGAGGUACUGAUUCAUUUCUUAUUAAACCUUCUUGAUUGCUCUAGGUUCAUGGGUUCACCUUGGGUUUUCAACUUGAUUUGAUUCCCAUUUCAGCCAUACCUAACUAUAUGUGAUCAUGACACUGUAAUUUUGAGAAUAGUGUGAUCAUGUCACUCAGUGCACGUGAGUCGUGUUCUUUAUGAGCAAGUAGUUAUUUGUGGCUUAAGAAAAAAGUUUUCUUAGGUUAGUUUUAGUAAAUGUUGUUUCCCUGUAGUGAUAUAUGUGUUAAUUGACUGAAGUAAGAUGUUUUGCCAAACUUUAAUUAGGUAUUCUAAUUAAUGCUUUAUUUAAUUGAGCUAUUUGCUGGUCAGAUUGUCAUUUUGGAAACUCUUAUUGCACCAAAGGACGACUUGUAUUCCAACUGUUUACCUAUCUUUUCUGGGUAUUUUUUUUUCUGGUGCUGAUAACCUAAAUGUACAGGACUACAUGAACUACAGGAAAUAUAAAUACCUGAGACUUGAUGGAUCCUCCACCAUAAUGGAUCGGCGAGAUAUGGUCAGAGACUUCCAGCAACGGUAUGAAUUUCAUUAUAAAGGCUUUGAAGAGCUGUGUGUGUUGUAGAUUCUUAUGAUUACAUACUAGUUCAUUAACGUAUUUAGAUGAUUGUGUUCUUGCAGGAGUGAUAUUUUUGUGUUCUUGCUGAGUACAAGAGCUGGUGGACUUGGCAUUAACUUGACAGCUGCUGAUACUGUCAUAUUUUAUGAAAGUGAUUGGAAUCCAACCCUGGAUCUACAGGCAAUGGAUAGAGCUCAUCGUCUGGGUCAGACAAGAGAUGUGAGUUUUUGUUUCCUGGAUCCAACCCUAGAUUUUGUGUUUUCUAAGUUUUGUGUUCGUUGAGAAAUUAAUAAAUGCUACUGUCUUCCAAAUCGCUUGACCAUUCUUUUAGUACAGCCAUUUGUUUGUAUGGUGCUUUGGAAUUAUCUUCUUGCUUUUAUGCAUCUUGAGAUGUAUUCUGCUUAGUUCAGUAUUAAAUUCUUAUAUUGUUUAAUUCUCACCUACUCAUGGUGUAGGUUACCGUCUACCGACUAAUUUGUAAAGAAACUGUUGAAGAGAAGAUUCUGCAAAGAGCAAGUCAGAAAAAUACUGUCCAGCAGCUUGUAAUGAUGGGUGGCCAUGUUCAGGGUGAUCUUUUGGCUCCUGAGGAUGUUGUAUCAUUACUUCUGGAUGAUGCUCAGUUGGAGCAGAAAUUAAGAGAAAUUCCAUUACAGGUGCAGGCAGUUUAAGUUGUUUAUCUGUCAAUUCCUUCUUCCAAAUAUUAGCUCAUUUCAGAUAGAGUUUUAGUGCAUUUUCCUUGGUACAAGCCUUUAUUCAUUUCAGAUAUUAGCUCAAUUCCUUAUUCCGACUUUGAGCUCAUUUAAGAUAGAGUUUAAAUGCAUUUUUCCUUGGUACAAUCUUUUAUUUAUUUCAGAUAUUAGCUCAAUUCCUUCUUCCAAAUACUCUCUCUCUCUCUCUCUCUCUCUCUCUCUCUCUCUCUCUCUCUCUCUCUCUCUCUCUCUCUUAUAUAUAUAUAUAUAUAUAUAUAUUCCCUAUCUCUUUAUCUCUCUAAAUUAUCUUAUUGUUUUGCCAGACCAAGGAUAAACAAAAGAAGAAACAAACAAAGGGUAUACGGGUAGACGCAGAAGGUGAUGCUUCUUUGGAAGAUUUAACAAACCCUGCAUCUGCACCUCAGGGUACUGGACACGAGGACUCUCCAGAUGUGGAAAAAUCAAAAUCCAACAAUAAAAAGGUACUGGAGCUUGUCUGGACUCCAUUGUACCAUUUACACCUAGCUUAACAGCUGGCAAAAUACUAAAUGCUAUCUACACUAUCUUUGUUCCUCUGAGUUGUGCUUAUUAAUAUCAUCGUAUCUGUGCACAGAGAAAAGCUGCAUCUGACAAACAAACUCUGAGGCCAAAGAAUCCGAAAAGCAUGGGCGGAUCUGAUAGCUAUGAGUUGGAUGACCCCCUACAAACUACUGAUCCACAAGCUGUGAAAGCCAAGAGGCCAAAGAGGUCAAAGAAGAGUGUAAACGAAAAUCUUGAGCCAGCAUUUACUGCGACACUCCCUCCAGUUCCAGAGCAGACCCAAUAUCCACCCCCACAUUAGUUUGGAUCCUGCUGGUUUCCGAGCUGAAACUGGGCAGGAUAUCUGAAUCCAAAGGCAGUUCAUUUUCUUGUUAAUAUAGUGGACAAGAUUGUAAUUGAUUGAGCAUGAGCAUCACUUCGAGGUCCUCUUGUCACUGGCCCCAUUGUGGCUGGGAAGAAAUUGGGACCAGAGUUGCAGAAUAUAUAGUCAGAGCUGUACGAUAGUUUGUAAAUAUUACUCAUAAUUUGUUUAGGGUUCAAUGGCCAUCAAAUUACUAGAUGGAUGGUAUAUAAAGGUUCGUUCCUUUUUGUGGUCCUCUCAGCUGUAUAAAGGGUAGAUGUCUUUCGUCCGUGGGCCUAAUCGCCGAACCUCUCCGGUUAAGGGACCUUGAGUGAGGGGAAUUGUAUAUGAAAUCAUCUGGCAGCUCUGCGUCACCUUGGAAUUGAAAUUUAAAUUCAGCCUGGUUUGGGUUAGCAUUAUUUAUGUAAAAGAUGUUAUGGACCCAACCAAUGUGGGAGUUAUGAUCUGUAGUCGGAUUUCGGCAAGACAGAUCUAAAUUCAUGUAAUUUAGUAUUUAUCCCAAAUAAUUUUUUGGCCAAUAAGAUCAGUAAAUUGAAUAAAAUCGCUGCUUUUGAAUAACGAGAAGGGUUUGGGAAUGUUCUAGGAGGCAUAAACGCUUUUAUUAGAAAAGACAUUGAAAUUUUCAUUAAAAUCCACGUCACUUGGGAGUCAGAAGCAAUUCCAAACAUGGCGUAAGUAAAUCGUUGAAGUGCUUAAUUAGCGAAUUCAUAUAUAUAUAGAUAUAUUUUUUUUUUCUUUCUUUCUUUGAUUCCUUGCAUGUCAACCUAUCGACCAAAAAGACAAAAAGGAGGGAAACCUGUCAGACAACCGUGCGACCACCCCAGACCAGUCACCCAGCUGAGAACGAUCCUCUACCGCUAAAUGAUUCCAAGGAACCACCAGAAGCUGUUAAUCACGCUCUGAUCACACGGUCAUGAUUCAUCCACCAGGUUGGGAUUCCUGUCUCCUUAGAAAUCAAGGAUACAGAGGUACGAUCCUAUAGAACAGAUCCUGUCCAAGUAAGGUCGUGCUCUGUGAUCCCAUGUUCAGCAAUAUAAACCAUUGCAGUAUUCUUUAUUUAUUCGAUGUGGGACAAUUAGCUUCUUUGGCUGUUUGGAAUUUAGACCAGACAGAGAUCACAAAAGAAUUGCACAUUUUCAUUGACAAGUCCUUGUCCUUAGCUUUCAAGAUUUUAUCCGAUUUCCAUGUUUUUCAACGUGUCCACUUCUUCUUCUCUCCUCCCUCAAAGCUUCCUAGCACAACCAAGCGCUCCCUCUUUCAAUUUCUUCAGGUUUGGUGCUGCAUUCAUGCCUGGACCUUCAGACCCUGAAGAUUGAGUUCUUCACAGACCCAUCAUUUGGUUCGGUGGUUUACUUUACUAAUGAUGGGUCAAUGUAUGCUAAAUUAGGUAAGGUACCCUUGACCAAGUCGAAGAUUUUUUCGGCGAACUUGAUCGAAGGAUGUUUCCUGGAACAUUUGUAUUUCCUUUUGUUCUUCUAGAGGGGAUGUCGCAAAAGUAAGAGAUUUGUUUCAUGAAAUGCAGGAUGAACUAGCACCCAACAGACAUUGACGUUGGUUAUAUCUGCAUUAACCAAAUCAAACAUGGGAUUCUUUCCCAAGCAUCUUUGUUGGACUUGUAUGCCAAGUGCGGAGAAUUGGGAAACUCAGUACUUGUGGUGCAAUGCACCCUGCUGGGACUGAGAUACUAAGAAGCCUUGUUGAUGCAUUUGCAAACCUAGGUGCUCUCAAGUUAGGAAAAGGAAUUCAUGGCUACCUUAUAAGGAAAUCAUUUUAUGAAGCUGACAAGUGCAAUACUCAUCUUGAAACAUCCAUAAUAAACAUGUACAUAAGAUGUGGUAGCAUAUCUACAGCUAGAGUAUGUUUCAGUAGAAUGUUGUUGAUCGGCACGGACAUCAAUGAUUGAGGGUUAUUAGGGGUGGCAAUUUCCGAUACGACCUGAUACACGACAGGAAGAUUACAAAACAGGAAGCCUUGAAACUGUUUGAUCUAAUGAUAAGAGAAGGAACAAGAACAUGAAGGUUACAAAACACCAACCCAGAGCACAGCUCAGUGGACUAACAAGUUACUCUCCCACAAAAACAAGUGACAUAACAGGAGGGCAGGGAAGCCCGUCAAAUUGUAAAACUCAAAAAAGAGACAAAGGAGGCCUACUGGCCCAGUGAUCCACACCCGCCGCUCGAACACCAAUCCUUGCAGCUUCAUGCGCUGCACGGUUCAGAUUGCGAGGAACCUACCUCACUUUCACAGAGUCAAAAUGAGAAGGAAAGUCUCCUAAUCUCAUUGAUAACCGGAAGAAUCGUCCACACCGUGUUACACAAAUUGCCUUUUAGACCAUCCACCAGAGAGACGGACCUAUGCACAUGCUAACCUGGGCUAUAGCUCAGGUGAUUUGAUUUUUUACAGCCCAACAUUAAUACCCCAGCCCAUCCAAGCGCACCUCACACACCCUCCUUUCAGGAGCUGCUUCACUCUCCUCAGCGCAGUUGCUAUAUCUACUCGCUCAUCAGCACCCAUGUACUCAACCAACAUUUGCUCAUCCAACGUUUAGUUUUUAAAAAGUAAUACUCACACUCAUUGAAGUUGCUCCAACUACUCAAGCAUGAUUCAAUACUAUUAGUGCAAUUAAUACCAAUGACAAAUUUUUGAAAAUUACUACUAACUUCAAUUUUCUUUCUUUUAAUUAAUAAAGCUUUUGUACUAUUCAAUAUUCCCUAUAAAAUCCACCUAUUUCUUCAAAAUUUUCACACCACCAAAAUCAUUUACAACUCUUUAAUUUUGCUUAAUUUUUUACUCACAAAAUUAUUUAUUAAUUGCUUGUAUAUUUUUUAUUAAUCUCUCCACAUCAUUAUGAAUAUAUUAUUUGUUAGUAUAUGUGUGUGUGAGAAACCUCCUCUCCCUUUAAACUAUCACUUGUAUUAAAAAAAAUUAACGGCUUUUUUCUUUUAGUUUAAUGUUGUUUUUAUUUAAGGUUGUGUUAGAUACAUUUUGAGGGGCUCAUUAUGUCCCCCUGUGUAUUUUUUGUUAUUAAUGAAAUUCACUCGUAUCGUUGAGUAAUAUAUCCUAGGUUUGUACGUAAGAUAAAUUUAGCCCACCUCAUUUUGAAAUCCUGAGUCUAUCCAUGCACCAGAGCACGAGAAUCCAACUCCAUCACAAUCUUAUGAUCAUCCUCCACUUCCGCCAUUAGAGUCAAACCACCUUUAUGGGGAUAAUCAAGUUUUUGGCGUUGACAGGGAUCCUGGGAGUUUACAAAUAAUCCCUAGCAAAGCGCCAAAAACUAUUGUCACCAAAUAGUGUGUUUUAAAUUUAUAAAUGCUGGAUUAUAAAUUUAAAACACACUAUAAAUUCUUUUAAGUUUUUGAUGCUGUUGUCGAGGAUUAUUUAUAAACUCACAAGCGAGAAUAAUCAAGUUUUUGACGCCGUUCCAAGGACCUUUGCGAGUUUAUAAGAAUGAGGUUGUACAUAUAAGGAUUGUGUGAAAAAGAUUAAAACUAAUUAAAACUCGAAUAAAUUCAAAUGCUAACCUAGUUGAUUAAAAGGUUGGUUGCUAGGUUGAAAAAGACAAUUAAAUUAAGCAUUAAAAAAUGAAAAUGACAAUAAAAUAAAAUAGAGAUGAAAUUAUUGAGAAAAAUUACUAAGGUAUUAGAAUCAAUAUUAUUCCAUAAAACUCUAAUUAUUUACCUAUCAAUUCGCAUGGAGUAGCAAUAAACUAAAAAUCAAUCUACUCUGAGAUAUAUCAAUUAGCAAUUUAAUAAAACUUCAUGUAAUCCCCAUUCCCUUUAUAAGUACAAAAUCUAAGUUUUGCAUGUAAACAAAAUUAUUUAACUACAAAGGAUCAAAGUUUUCUAAGCAUCCUAUGUGAAAAAGAUUCUUUGAAUCACAAGUGAUCGAAGGAAUUUGUAUGCUAAAAAUAUGAAAUCAAUGAUGCAUUACUAGAUUAACCCAGAUUCUUAACUACCACAAAUACAUUAUAGAGGCGGUGAAAAGAAAAUUAACCUAUAAACAUUGAGCAACAUAACCUUAAUCAAAGAAUUUAGCUAGACAUACUAACUAAAAUUGAAAUACAUAAAAAAAAAAAGUGAACUAAGAAAGGUGAAGAACAACUAAAAGAGAGCCAGAAUAGCUCUUGGUUCUCCCUCUCUAUCCUUGCUCUCUUUGCCUGAAGGCUUGGUGUCCCCUUCUUCUCUUGCUUAGCUCUCUAUUUAUAGAAACUGAAAGUAGCUAAAGCAUCAUCACAAUUUUUCAUCUUCACGUGCAGCCAUGUGCUGCUCUGUUGCUUUCGGUGGCUUGGAAAUUGGAAUCCCUCUUGCAAUGAUGGGAAGAAGACAACAUGGGUGACCUCUUUUUUGACCGGGUAUUAUUGUGGCUUCUUUUGGGCAUGUGGCUGUUUUUGGAUAUAUUUUCUCUUGGGUGUGAGAGUGAUCUUCACUGGUUUGAGAAAGCAUGUACGAGGGUAUAUCCUAUUGGAUACGGGCUCGGGUUUGGAUACAAAACUCUCGAGUAGUUAUUCCCGCGAGUCGGGGGAUUUGAGGCUCAGUCACCUUGUUAAGCCUAUUAUCUGCUUGUAGCCACUCUGGCCUUGCGACAGAAAGUGGUGAGGCUGAAGAAGGAUUUAUGGGUUUGUUUCUCGGGAUAUAUACACCAUCAAAGGGAGGCAAUUUAUCAAGUCUUGGAAUAUUUAAGUAGGAUGGCUAUGAAAGUAAAAGGAGCCAAGGGUAGAGGUAAGAAAAAAAGGUAAGGGCGGAGGGGCAUUGAGGGCUCAAGUAAGAUGGAUCUUUAGGUUUGUUUCUGGAGAUAGAUCUCACCAUCAAGUUGAGGCGAUUUAUAGAGUAUUGGGAUGCAAUUUAUCAACUUCUAGAGAGCUAAUAUUAUGUGCAGAGUGUAGUGAAAUAAUAGUUAACAUAAUGGACACUGAGAACUUCCACACACCAAUCAUAUCAUAUCAUGGAAUUUUAUUUAUAUAUACUCCGAAGAUCAACAUGUUUAUUCAGUCGAAGAAAAACCAGAUUGAGGGAGCACAUGGGAAAAUCAUAUAUGAUCCAAAGUUCAGACAAAGUAUAUUAAAAUUUUACGGUUUGGAUUCACAACGAACACAAGAUCAUUCAUGGCAGAUUAAGAGCUUGAGCAUGGUGACGGAUGUGAUCAUCUAUGAAGGUGGAAAUGAAAAAGUAUGAAUGAUCAUAACCGGGCUGCAACCGCAAAAGGAGUGGAACUUUAGCACUCCUGCAUGCUUCUUCAAACUUGUGUGGCAACAACUGAUCAUGCAAGAAUUUAUCAUCUCCCCCCUGCACAAAAAGCAUUAGCAUUGAGAUAAUAAGUUAAACAUUUUAAGAAAUAAAACCUAUAUUCAUCAAUUGGAAUACCGGACUAAGAUUCAUUCAGCAUCCCUGCUUGAAGGGGAUUAUUAAAAGAGUAACAUGUUACAUGCAGUUCUCUUGUAAAUCUAAAAUCACAUUUUUGUAAUGCAGAGGUGUCAACCUUUUAUACUUACUGCAAAAUAAGAAAAAGAACAAAAUUUUUUUUUUUUGAAUGGAGAGGAUAAGAAACUCAAAUCUUGUUCCCUUAUCUGCUAAGGUUCACAAAAGACCUUGAUUGUUCAGGAAGAGCUUUCACACCAUAGUUCUUGGGUUCAGCUCAAUUCCGAAAAAACACUUAUCCUGUAUUCCUUUGCCACUGUGUUCCUUGGUCAAAAUUCCAUAAAUUAUUUCUAAUUCAGGUAAUGGUCAAGGGGUUUAAUUCAUAUAUCCAUGUAUUCCUUAGCCACUAUAUCUCUUUUCUUUUCUUUUCAUUUCAUUGGGUGAAAAGGGGGAAGGGGGUUUCUACAGCCAAAAUAUGAAAUAUCAAUGCAUCCCAGCCUACCUGAAACGUAAUUUUGAGCGCUAAUGAUAAUCAUACACAAUGACAAAAUAUGUUACCCCAAGAUGUAUUAUGAAACAGCAAGGUGAUGCAGAACCGAGAAGAAAAACAGAAGAAAUAGAAAGAGUCAAAGGGAAAUUUCAAAGUUAGUAUUAUCAAUCAAUAUGACAAAGAUUUGAAAGCAAUAACAAUAAGCCCACUUAAUAGGUAAUCCCAAAAUAAUUCAAUUAAAACAAUAAUUGAACGUUUGAUUCAUGACCUUGCACCUAUGCCUACAAUAAUACUCUUAUCAGUUAGAAAAAUAAUUAAACCUUAGACUGGUCUGUUCAGACCAGUGUGUGUAGUCUGUUUCUUGGGGCUUUGCCCCCCUUCUUUAUCAAAAAAAAUAAAAAUAAACCUUAAGGUUUAAAUAGAUAAACUAGACAAAUUUUGACCCUUGCACCUACGCCUAAAAUAAGUAAGAAUUCCUUCUUGCGUUCACCAUCACUAGGUCAUAUAUUCUAUCCAACUCUUUUUGUUUAACAUUAUUAUUUUUUUAUGGGAAUGAUUACAUGACUUAUCCUAAUUUUAACCCUUUUUGUCACCCCCUUUUCACCUGGGGUAGCCUCAUGGGCUAUUCUAUGCAACAACUCUUAUAACAAGAAUCAGCCACCUAAAAGCAUAAAUUUUUGCGACUAUGUUGCGAUGAUCAAAAUUUUAAAUAGUUGGCUCACAGCCUAACAAGUAAGAACUUGAGGUUUUAGAAACAGUUGAAAACAACCAAAAUUAACAAUUGUCAUAACAACAAAAAUAACGAUGGUGAACAUUAGAUGACAACAAAUCUUACCUGAUCAAUCAAAAUGGUAGCUGAAACAUCAGUAAACUUCUUAAUCAGGCAAGUGGCAUCAUAUUCCUGCAUUUUUUCAUUCAAUUUGUUAAAACUAGGAAGCAGAACAUUAUAACUAAGAAUUGAAACGAUAGGAUUUCUCAAUUUACCUCCCAAUCAGUUUUAUUGCCACCUAGAUAAUUUGAGAAAGCUUUCUGGCCCCAGGGACAGUUUGUUGGAUUCACAAUGGGUGCAAAGGCAGAUACUGACUGGGAAAGGGAGUGAAAAACAAUAUAAAUUUCUCCUAUAACGACAAGGAGAUCUGUUCCAAAAAUUUCAUAAAGUUCCCUACAUCUAAGGAACUUUUACGGAAGAACCAAACUUUCCAAUGCUUUUAAAUAAAAUUCAACUUCUUUAAAAAAAGAAAAAAGAAAAAUCAACUUCUGGUGAAAUGUUUAGAUCUGUUACCUUAUACUUGUCCAGAUUUUUCAGGUAGAUUGUCAAAGCACCGUGCCCACCCAUAGAAUGACCAGAUAUAGAAGCUCGCGAUGUAUCAAGCUGUGGAAAAUUUUCAUUCAGAAGUUUCGGCAACUCCUUGACAACAUAAUCAUACAUACGCCAGUUCUUCCAUUUCUCUUGAGUAGCAUUGAGAUAAAAACCAGCACCUGUUUGAAAAACGCACGCACACACAAGCACACAAAAUUCAGUGAAGGCUCUUUACACCUGUAAGUACUCGCUCACGACCAAGCAAAGCUUGUCCUUCUUGCUAACUGAAAGGUGUUUGCAUGCAAUAAAUUGGUUGAUGAAAUAUAAUUAGUAACAUGUCAACGGAUUGGUAAUUACUAAUUAAUCAUUCACCCUCCACUAAAAAAAGAAAGUAACAAAACUUUCAUUUGGAAAUUCUGAAGAAAUCAGAAAAUUUGCUGGAAUGAAACCCCAGAUCCUUCAAAUAAACAUAAAUUAUAAAUUCCAUCAAAACAAUUACUCUUUCAUAUUAUUGAAUAUAAUAAUAGGGUGUCAGUCCAAUGAAGAUAGCGUAGAUGAAAUCUGUAAUUACUGAAACCAAUACCCUUGGGACUGGGUUUCAUUUUUCCUUCUUACUACCAGAAUCACUCAGCAUCUAACACAUCCCAUGUCAUAAUCUGAGUCAUCUAGGGAUUCAUGGUGGUUAUACUCUCUCCACGUUUAAGAUAUUAUUGACCAUUUUAGUUCCCCAUUUUAAAAUUUAAAACAAGUAGUGACUCCAUUGUCAACCAUUCAAAAUAAAAAAUAACUUAAUUUAAAAUACAAUUGCAAGAUAUGGGCUAUCCAUCUUGAGCAAAUUGGUAGGAUUCACAAAUUCCAUUGGGCGUGAAACAAUUUUCUAAUUACUGCUUCACAGAUUAAAAUAUAACAGUCCGGCGUUGCAUACCUACACCAAAAUCCCAGCUCUCCGCCUCUCCUUCUAUAGAUAAGCCUCCUAUUAAGAGAAUUUAGAUGAAGAAAUAAUUAGUACAGUAUGGACAUAAUAACAAAAGAUAUACGGUGGCUUUUAACGAAGCAACAGCCUAUCAUAAGAGAAGUAAAAGUAACCAUAUAACUAGAAGAAAUGAGGCUUAGCUACUCACAGCAAAUAAAUGGGUACAAGGGUUUUCCAUAAAUGUAUUUGUGACUCCUCAUUCCAAUUUCCUAAAUUUACACAUAAUCUUCCUCCCCAAUUUUUUUUCUUGGCUAAACAAUAAGACAACUAGAAUAUUAUAAAACUAAAUAAAUAAAAUUUCACAAGAGUAGUGCCGUGGAAUGAAAUCAAUUGAUUCACACUCAAGAUUAAUCAUUUAUAGAACCUACUGUUCGAUAAUUAUAGAAAAGUUGGGACUUGCAUGCAAAACGCCUUGUUUGAUUGUUCAUGUAUUUCUACCUCGUUUAUCAUUGUAUUCACUAGUUUAUAAUUUCUCUAUUUCCUUCUACCUCCCUCCCUUAGGAGGAGUCGUUUCUCAUUGAAAUCUCAAUUCGAAAAUUGAUGAGUAGUGCAACAUGAUAGUUUUAAUUUAAGUCCUUGUAAUUUUCAAGCAAAGAAGAAAUUCAAACAAUUCCAAAGACCGUUCAGUCUUUCUGGUGGUGGCACUAGCUGACAUCCUUUACUUUUAUUUUUUGUUGUGUGUGUUUGUAUUAGACAAUGAUGGAGGGUUUUCGGCUAGUGGUUUAGACAUACAACGUGGAACAAGGCGCAGCCCAAAUACAGACACAACUUAAAGUUAAAAUUCUUGGACAAGUUUAGGUUAGAAACCGGAAAACUUAUAUAUAACAAUUUUUAAGUUUUUUUAAUCAUUAUUAUCCAAGGAAAGCUAGCAACAAAGAGAACCCUGAAAUUUAGAGCUGCAGUCCAUGUAUACUAUAGGCUAACAAAUUCAAGUUAUUUGGAAGUUAACUGCUUAGAAUUGCAAAAUGGCACAGUAAUUAUAUCAAAUCACUUGAUUAUGAACACAUUCUAAAAAUUUGAUUACAUGAUCCAAACAGUCAUUUGGCCACCCUGGUCGCCCUCAGGUCUUUUUAAAGGUUGCCAACUAACAUCUGUCCUACUUCCCUGGAAUCUAGCCAAACAAAGGGCAACCUACAGAAUAAAUAUAUCUCUUGCAAAAGAUGCAAUUAAAACUGGCAUCUACAACUACCAUUAUGACCUUGAAAUUGAUUGAACAAGGGCUUCUGACUUACUUGGAGAUGUAUCAGGUGCAAUCAAAGCAACACCCUCACUUGAGGCAACACGUUGAGCUCCUGACUUAAUUAUAAAAUUCUCAUCUGUGCAGGUAAGGCCAGAGAGCCAGUAAAGUACCUGAUCAUCCAUGAAAACAAAAAGUUAGCAAAUUUGGUUAUGGCACAUUAUAAUACAAAAACUUUUACAGCAGCAUACUGGGAAACAAAUUUGGUAAAUAACUGUCAACUACUAUAGGAAGCAUGGAAAAGUAGUUUAUACUAACCAAACAAUGCCCAAGGAAAAUGAUUAUAUGAAAUUAAUUCAAGAAGUAUUACAUGCACCAACUAUUAUCCCAACUUUUUAAUACCGACUGAUGUGGCACAUAGCAUGGAAGCUUACUGGUUGUAACUAAAUCAGGUCCAAAAAGGGCCCACAAACAAAUGAAAUGCUUCCACAGCAGAUGGUAUUUAAAAAAAUGGGAUAUAAGUUAGUGCCCCUAUGACUAUUGAAUUAACAGCGUUUUAGCCAGUGAUGCAGAAAUAAUUGGUUACAAAAAGAAAAGAGAAAGCUUCGUUUUUCCCCAUCCAUGCACAAUUUUCUCUUUAGUUAAUUAUACAUUAGGAUAAUUCGCAUCACUACCUUUAAAUUCCUUGUCCAUAAUAGUACUAGGUGAUGACUAAGUUUGCAACUAUAAUGGUGCAUGUAAGUACCUGAGGAGAGAACUAAUUAUAGUUUUUCUGAAUUUGAUAAAUUAUUUGUCCUAUCAAGACUCGGGGAGACUAAAUUCAAAAUUCUACAGAAGUUAAAAUUCUUUUUUAAUAAAAAAUGAUAGAAUUAACCCUUUGGGAAACUAAAUUCCUAUUUUGAUCAAUUGGGUGUGUGCCAGUGCUUGUUCAUUCCAUCAAGAAAAUAUUGCAGAACAUAUGCAUCAAGAAUAGAACCUUAAUGAGCUAGAUACCAAAAGAGCAAAACCUUCAUCAAUCAAAACCCAAUAUUCACAAACACAAUAGAUUCCACCCACAUAACCCUAGGGUGUCAAAAUCAGAUAAAAACCCAGAUAAUAAAUUUAUUUGGAAAUGAAAUUUAAAAAGAAGUUGGAAAUGGGUAUGAGAGAGAGAGAGCGAGAGGACUUACAGGGAAUCGGUGGGAAGGAGAAGUAGAGGUAGAAGGAGGGAAAUAGAUGUGGAAGGUCAUGGAGCAGCCGAGAGUAGGACUGAAAUGCUUGUACCUCUUGUUGUACCCUCCAAACAUCUUCGAGCUGCUGAUCUCACUUGGCUUCGUCUCCAUUUCUCUCUGCACUUCUUUGCUCUGUGACUGGGGAUUUCGCUCAAACUCUAUACUCUAUAUACUGCGGUAGGGAGUAAGCUCCGGAGUGGCAAUUUUAACUUUAUAUAUAUUAAAAUUCACGUAUUAUAUAUGUAUUUACGUAUUUUAUUAUCCUUGUCUAUUGAGAACUUCUAUUGGAUAUGAAAUGGAUUUCAUUGUUUCGAUUAUUCACAUUUGAGGAGCGACUAUAAUUUCAUGUAUUUGUCCCAUUUGUUUUGAAAUUUUUUCUUAAAUUAGGACAAUUUUGGGUUAUUUGAAAAUUUAACCAAUCUUUUGUUAUAUUGCGUACACUAACCCGUUAAUAAGUUAUUAUGACACUAACUACUUGUAUGGACUUACUCCACAACGUCAUCUCAUGAUCUAAAUUAUUCAUUUUUUAAGGCAUAAUUCAAAGAUGACCCUUGCAAAAAUUAAUCAAAGUGAACAAUAUUGAACACCGAACUUUCAAAAAUGACAUUAAGGGCCACUUUUUUUUCAUAAAGAUUAUGACGUGAAAUAAUCAAGAGGCCAUGCUAUUUUACUGCAUCAAGGAUGAGAUUACUAUGAAUAUGCUAAUGGGGAGUUUUGUAUAAUUUUUAGGAGAAAAUUGACUAGAAAAAAAUUGAGCAUAAAUUAACAUUGUCUAUACUCGAUAUAGUUCAUAGGGGAAAUUGUGAGCAUCUAGUAGUAGCAAACCAAAUUUUUUAAAUUGAAGUUUGUUGACCUAUGUGAAAAUUUGAAAAAGGUUUGUUUAUUACUUUAAUAAUUUGUGCCCAACAGAGACUUCAAUUCAAUUCAUGUAGUGUAGGUUUUUAGCAUUUUCAAUGUAUUUGUUCUUCCAAAAAUAAUUAAAUGUUUUGAAGAGUCAAGAUCAACUUAUCAAUUUUGAAGAGAGAGAAAGGGGGAGUUGCAGCUUUGGUGACUGAGUUUGACAAAUUCGUUGGAGAGAGAGAUGUUGAUGUGACUCACUUAUUUUAGCAUUCUAAAUUUGUUAAGUGGCUGUUGAAUGUAUUACUAUAUAUAUAUAUAUAUAUUUGAAUUUUCCAACUUGAAUUUCAUGACUCACACCUUGACUAAUUAAAUUUGUAAACAUAUAUUUUUUUUCCUUCUUUUUGGGAAAAAUGUUGUGCCUACGAUGUCAUUUAAGGGACACCAACAAAUUAAUAGACUUAUAUGAGAACCUAAACAUCAAAAUAUCAGAACCAUAUUAAACACCGAACUUUUAAAAAUGACAUUUAGUGUCACUUUUGCAAAGAAUAUGACGUGAAAUAACUAAGAGGCCACUUUUUAUUAAGAAUAUGAUAGUGGGGUAAAUUGACCAGUUUUUAUACUUAGAUGGAGAUUUCUAUUAUUUUUUCCGUCUCACAACCGCUAAGUCAGGAAUAGACCUAAGUGUUAUAUAUAUUGUGGCAAAACUUACCUUGACUUUUGUUGAGGCCUAAAUAUAUUUAUAGCCUAGUACGACACCUAAUUUGGGAAGAAACCCAACUUGGGUAUGCAAGAGUUCGUCAUAUGCGCUUGCACACGUGUCACGCCAAGCAAAUAAGCCACACACCACGCUAUAAGCUUAAGUGGGCUCAAGCCACGCGAAUGCCUGGGGCUUGCUGAGUGGGUUAUGGUAUGGAUGGUUAUGAGCAUUCACGAUACUCAUUGAUGGGCCAAGAAAUGAAAGUUUUGGACUGCUUGGGAGCCCUAAAACUUGAGCCCAAAUAUGUGGAUAAGCAUGAAAGAGAGAAAAAGGUAGCCCAUUACCUUAGAAAAUUGGCCCAUCACCUUGGGAAAAAAUAGUCCAUCACUCUAGAAGGUUGGCCCAUCCCCUUAGUAAACUAGCCCAUUACCUUAGGGAAUGGCCCAAGUGGCUUAGAAAAAUCUGAAAGUCUCCAGCACAUGGCUAGAGACAAAACCACGAUAGAAAACCAAGGGAUAGAGACUUGCACAGGCGGCUGGGAAUCUCCAACACAUGGCCAAAGACAAAUUCCAACACAGGCCAUCCAAAAAAUCAAAAGAUACUUGAGCAAAACACCCUUCAAACAGCGUUAUUACCCACUCAUUUCUCCCACCAGCUCUUGCAAUAAAAUGAAGGAGAAAAGAAGGAGAAAGGGUAGUCCAAAAUAGGAGAUGGUCGCAGGGACAGUUGCAGAAGGCUCUAGAGCCUCCAAAAAUCUUGUCUUUUUGUGUUUGGACUAAGAAGGAUUUCAUAAAAUAGGGAUGAAUCAAAGGAAGAGAGGAUAAAUGGGGAGGGAGACUUGACUGAUUUGGGAAGAACUAGCUAGGGUUUCAUGGGAAGAAGGAGCUUUCAGCGCCUAUAAAAGGAGGCACCUUCUACCCAGCAAGGCAAGCAACCCCGUCCAAAGAGAGCAAGCAUCAUCUCUCAUCCCUGGAACCCUUCAAUUUCGAGCCCUAUUCCUCCAUCUCUUUCCAUUUUCUAUUAUGGCAAGCCAUUCCAGAGCCAGAUGAAGCUUUCGUCAAGCUGCCAAAAAAUUGCUCAAACCACCAAGUUUUCUUCCUUCAUAUCUUCCUCUCUCCCCUCAACAAAUUCUCCCAAAAACUCUCUCUUCCCCUUACUCUGGGCCUCUGUUUCUCAUAGGAAACCCAAGCCUUCUCUCUCUCAAGCUAAACUCACGAAUGCUCAGCUCUCAUGCCAAGCCAUAAUAUUUAUUUGUAAGCAACUAUUUGUUUUGUUGGUGAAGAAAGCCAAGGUGUUUUAUAAGGCUCCACGAACCUUUCGAAGCACUCUUGGGGCCUGAUUCUUGAACUCAGAUACAUGGGCAAUUCCAGCCAAUUGCUCUUUACAGCAGCCAAGGCCCAUCUGUAGUUGUCGAAACGAAAAAGCCCCUACAACUUUCUUCAAAACUUCACAAGGUUGGUCAAAUGAAGAUUUGAUCUAGAGGCAUUUCUAACAUAACUAGUCUUCAUUUUGGUGGAGAAACAUGACCAAGAGUUGUAAAUCAUUGUACAAAUAACAAGCAAUAUUAAUGAUUUAUGGAAAUAGAGUUUUUCGCUUACAACUUUUGUUCAUGUGAGUCAAUUUGGAAGUAGAGUUUUUUGCUUACGUUUGAUUAGGUUUAAAUAUGGUGAGUAUGGUUUCACAGUUAAAAUUACAUUUGUUUUACAAUUCAAUAUUUCCUUUUUGGUCAUUUUAUAUUAGGGUGAAUUAGUAAUUCAAUAAAAUAGUUUGAUAAUAGAUGUACUCAGUUAAUUAGGGUUCGUUUAACAACACCCUAUGAUUUGUUUAAUAAAUAGUUUGAGGGGAAAUCAUUUCCCAUGUCAUUCCCUAAGGAAUGGGAAAUGAAGAUUCAUUUCCCACGUUUGGUAAUACUGGGAAAGUAACUGGGAAAUAUCACUUUAUUUCCUUUCCCAUGUUUGUUUUGAGUAGGAAUGGAAAAUAAAGUUUGUAUAAAUUUUCAAUUAUACCCAUAUUAAAUCAAAUAAAAAAAGAAUUGUUAUAAAACUAGAGGGAGAAAAUGUAGAGAGAAGUGAUAUGCCAAAGAUAAAGCUUCACCAUGUUUUUCCUUUCUUAAUCUUUGGUAGAACCACCUAUUUAUAGGCUUACAAGAUAGAAGAUUGAAUACCAUCAUUUACAAUAUACCUAUAGGUUACAAGUACUAAUUACAAAUACUUAAUGCAUAGGUUACAUAAAAUCCAACGGUGGAAUAUUAAGAGGUAUGGUGGUCAUCCACCAACUCAUGCAUUUACAACACUCCCCCUUGGAUGUCCACCAUACAAUGACAUAGUUCUCUCAUUAAAAACCUUGCUUGGAAAACCCAGUGGGACAAAACCAAAGCGAAGGGAAAAAGAGUGAAACUUUCUUCUGAAUCAUUGAUAUGAUGUUGGAUGAGCUUAUAUUGCCUCGUUAAAACCUUGCUAGAAAAAACCCAGUGGGACAAAAACCUAGUCGAAGGGAAAAAGAGUACAACGCGCAUCUGCCUUGAAUGUAGUAGAAUUGGGAUGCUCCCCCUGAUUGAUAUCUCCCCCUGAUUAAUAUCUCUCCUUCUCUGAUUUGAGCAAUACAAGCAACAUUGUCUUCAUACAUGAUCAUCUAUCACACUAUUCAACCUGCUUUUCACUUUUCAAAUGAUUGAAAUCUUUAGGAGUAUCAACAACUAAUUUAGUAGUUAGAAUAUGUUACAACAAUAUCGAAUUUGAAUUCAAAAUACUCAAACUCUUAGUGUUAACUCUUAAUUAAGAAUAUUGUGGUACUUUAUAUCCUUCAAGAGGUUGCUUCAUCCGAUAUAUCUCAAAUAUUUCAUGAGCUUUGAGGAUUUCCAUGUACCAUAUAGUCUUAAUAAAUAUGCAUUUAACACAUACUAUAAGUUUUGCGUUAAAGUAACAACCGCACUUAUAGAAAUGUGGAUGCAUUUACGAUGAGAUUGGAGACUAAAACCACAUGUCUCUCCCAGGAAACCUUAUGUCAUAUUAGUGAUCUUAUUUCACUUCACAAACACCAAUUCGUAACCUUCAUACUGAACAUUUGUAAUUUGGUGUUUGAGUUAUAGGUUCAAUAUCCAACUCUUCUUAUUUAGUGAUAAAUGGAAUUGCCUAUUUCCAUUUUUUGGCCAAUCACUUAACUUGUCGACAUUCAUGAAACGUGAUUUAAUAUAAUCAUAGCCCUUGAUGAUUGUAGUAGCUACUAAUAAACCAAAUGUAUCAUCAAUUUGUGAUCCCACAAUUCUUAUGUGCAUGCACAUGCAUAAUUUAUAAUCAUCUCAUUGCUUUGGGGUACCAAUGCCUCUUCAGGGGCUUAUGUUGUCACUUAUGGGACAAACAUCUCUUUUACAAUGAAUUAUUUAGAAUAUGUGGAUCAUAACCUCCUAUAGAGCGUUAUUUUUUAUAGGGCUUGAAUUUUUCAAAUAAUCUCCAUUUCUAAGGAGUUAAGUCUUUAGAACCUAUAUUUCUGACAUGCUUCAGGCAUGCAUUAUAUAUAUAGUCACCAUGUUAAUGGAUUGUGAUACGAGAAUAUCAAUCCAUGUUAGCAUAUGUACAACUUAUAUAUGCAUUAUCUUGAUGAGACAAAAGCGGAUUGAUUCAACACUAUUUCACGACGUUCUUUAGGAAUUGUCAUUUCUCCCCCUAACGGCGGGAAAAUUGUCUCAAAAUGUAGGAAAAUAAACUCACAGUCGUUAUCAAAUAUGUGACCAUUUUAGUAGGCACAUUCAGUAAAACUGGUGAAGUGAUCCAUAAUUAGAUGUUGUAUAGGCUCACAAAUAUCCCUUUGAAUUAUUUCAGGAAAGAUGGCUCAAAGUCAAUUUUUGACUGAGAUGAUCUUAUGACAGCUUUUAUUUGUGAGCGUUCUUUGUAAUGAUAUUGUUGGACAAGACAAUAAUUUGAGUCUUUAAACGAUGUCCUUACAAAUUUAUAAAAAUCUUAUGCAUCAUUGUGGAACAUAGAUUGCCAAGAUAGUCAUGCCACAACAUAAAAGUUAUUCGGUCAAUGAACUUCUGGUUCAUGAUAUCAUAAUCUUCAACUAAUUUAAUAGUCGUGUAAUAUUGGGGCCUUAUGAACUUUUGGUUCAUGACAUCAUAAACUUCAACUACUUUAAUAGUUGUGUAAUAUUGGGGCCUCAUGAACUUUUGGUUCAUGACAUCGUAAACUUCCUACCCACAAAAGAAAGUAGGAAGUUUCUCCAAUAGACGCCUCUGGCUAUCAAUAUUGGGGCGGUAAUACAAAACAUUACCAUUGUAAAACGAAAUUAAUUAAUAACCUAACAUAAAUAAAAUAAAAUAUAAUAAAAUAAGUAAAGUGGUAUAAACAAGGAAUAAAAUAAAUCAAUUAAAGAUUAUGAAAUUCCAAGAUAAUCUAAUAUUAAUGUGGAUUCAAUAUGUAGAUAAAACUACAAGUUUAAGAAUUGGAUUUCCAACCAAUUCAGGUUCAUAUAGGCACAAAUAAGUAAUGAACUUCAAGUUCAUAUAUAGUAUUAAGAUCCAUGAAAAACUAUGAACUUCAGGUUCAUAUCAAUAUAUAUUCGAAACUUCAAGUACGAAUACGUAGAUCUAAAUAAAUUGAAUUAUUAGUUGUGCUUUGAACUUCAUACUCAAAUCGAUGUAUAUGCACUCGAAACUUCUGGUUCAAGUUCUUGACAUAUGUAGGCCUCAUGGAAUUCUGAUUUUGAUUAAUACAAAAUCGAGGAGUUUUAUGUCCUUAUGUGCUCUUUAAAUUCGCGGAACUUCACGCCCUCAAUUAUUUGGAAUCAAAGAACUUCAGGUUCUGAUUCAAUCAAAAGGACUCUAUAUCCUAAUCUAGUUAUAUUAUGAGGAUCAUGGAACUUCGGGCCCCUGAUCUUUUGUAUAAUUCAAACUCAUCAUAAUAAUUAAGAUCAUACUUAAAAUUAAAUAAACAAACAAAUAAAAACAAAAACAUGGCAUUAUAUUCAUGUGUAAUAAGAAUAAGAAUUUUUUUCUUAAACAAGCAUGAUGAAGUCUGAUGGUGAGUACAAAGAAACUCUAUACCAUGUGAUGACUCUAGCUCAUAUAAGAAGAAAGAAAAUUCAGAGAAAGAAAACAUACCAAGAGCAAUGUCGUGCUGAUAACGUGUUAUAAAACUAGAGGGAGAAAAUGUAGAGAGAAGUGAUAUGCUAAAGAUACAGCUUCACCAUGUUUUUCCUUUCUUAAUCUUUGGUAGAACCACCUAUUUAUAGGCUUACAAGAUAGAAGAUUGAAUACCAUCAUUUACAAUAUACCUAUAGGUUACAAGUACUAAUUACAAAUACUUAAUGCAUAGGUUACAUAACAUCCAACGGUGGAAUAUUAAGAGGUAUGGUGGUCAUCCACCAACUCAUGCAUUUACAACAAGAAUGCAUUUAAUGAUAUAUUGUAAUUCUAAAUUGUUAAUGGGGAUAAAAUGGUCAUAAAAAAUACGUAUUUAAUGCUAGUUUAUUUUCCCAAACUUUCCCAUGAUUAGGAAAAACAAAAUCCAAGUUGGGAGGAUGGCUUCACUUUCCCCUUACUUUCCCAUGAGCUGGACAACGAUUUCCCGUACUGUUUGGGCCUAAAAUCAGCACGCCAAAAGUUCAAAAGACAGGCCCAUGGUAAAAUUACCUGCCCAGCCCGAAAACUUGAGGAUAACAAGAUUAGGAUCCAGACAGGUUGGGCUUCAUGCCAAAAUGUCGAAAACAAAGCCCCAGCCCAAGAAAGACCAACGUGGAAACUUUCAAUUGGGCUUCAAGGAUCAGCCCAUAAUUUUUGUUAGGUUCAAACCCAAGGGAUUAAAAACACACCCACGUGACUACCUCAGCUUUGAAAAGUCAGCAAUUCCAACUAAGUUUAAAAUAUGAGAGGGACAUCUCUGAAACACUGCCAACAGAAGAUCAAAACCCAUCUGUGUUCGAGAUUUUGCUCCAAAUCAAUACACCAUCUUCCAAGGAAUUCACGGGUCACGCUUUCUAAGUUAGAACGGGAAACAGGGAGUUGUUCAGAAAAUACAAAAGAAAACCAACCGCCAUAACAUUUAGCCCGCACAGACGGUGGCGUUGGUUGAAAUAGAAAGCUGCCACCCAGGAAACCAGGGAAGGGACUGUCUUAGGAGGUGACUACUGAGAGCCUAUCUGCCUUGAUUGAUAAAAAUCCCUUUUACUUUACAUUAUGGAGAUCUUUUUACCGCCUAUUAUUAAAAUUUAAACAAAAGACCACCUCCCUAAAAAAGUCUCUUAUAAAAAACAGAAAUAGGCGAAGAAGAGGGGACACUCAAUUGAUCAAUUAAAAAAAAACAACAACAAGAAAUCAACCAAAAGCUCACUUGGAUUCCAAGGGAAACCAGCUUUAGAUCAGAAUUCCAAAGUUCAGACUUAGAAAAUAAGUCUUCUAAAACGAGAUCUUUCUCGUUACAAAUUUGGUUCAGUAAAAGCCAAGGCAAGCAGAGUUUGAGUUUUCACAAACGUGGAGACCUCAGCGAACUUAUGAAGAGUCCUGCUCAAGCAGAACAACACUCGUAGUGCAGUCCCUAGCCUACCAAACCCCCGAGAAUAGCCACUUCUGCCCCUUCAAACUGAAGAAGCUGCAGUUCUGCCCACUCAAAGGCCUCACGAAGCGUGAAGCAAACAUAAAGCUCUGCCAAAAUCGAACUUUGGUAUCGAUUAAUAGCUUAGCCUAGCAUCUGAAGUCAUGAGGCAGUACGGACCGGCCCAGGCGCGUCCAGUCCAGCCCAAACCAGAGCCUUCCAUCCAAGCAGAAGCAGAGUUCCGGCCAUCUUUUAACCCUCCUAGCGUUGAUAUGCAUAUUUAUUGUUUUGUAAAAGGCAGUUCUGCCUAAGACAGUCCAAUUUCUAUCGAAUAUUUCUGGCCAGAACAACCAUUUGAUACUGAGAUAAAUUAUGAAAGUCCUCACCAGUCUGAGGCAAGAAAAGAACUUACUUGAGAGAUAUUCCUCACCCAAAUUCACAAUCAUUUGUUUUAGAAGUCAGUAACUUGGGGCGCAAGUUAUCCACUCUAAAAAGAAGUCUGCUAGGAUUUACAUUGCUAGCAGUGGCACGCUCACACACCAAAGAAAGCUGACUUGUCGACCAACAAAUGGUCUCCAAGCCAGUGGGGAACUUCGCCCUUCCAUCUCAGGAGUAAACACAAAACGGGUGAACACGUACCUAGACUUAUCAAAUAUGAUAAAGCAAUUGAUUUCCUAUUUCCAAGUCUCAUUUUUCAUCAACCAAACGUGCCUAGGAGCAAAUAAGAGCAAUAGUGAAAGACAAGCUAACACGGGGAAUGGCCACAUGUGAUAAAACACCGACCAAAAUCAUCCAAUAUUAAUGACCGUUGGGGAAGUUGGCACAAUCCAAAACCUAUUAAUGACACCCAACUCGAAACCUCAACUGUACCAAUUAAUGCCUUUUCCAGUCUCUAUUGUCACGCUUUCUCCCUUCAAUGAUUCAAUCACAGCUUCAUCAUCGUAGCCUUCAUUUUCUCACCUCCAUUGCACUCUCUAGUGCCUAGCUAGUAGCUAGCUUCAACUUCUCAUCAUUAUAUCCACCGCCAACUACAAUGUCUGCCCUUGGACGGCUAGGAAUUUAAGUGAACGACCCAAUACACUUUUAUGACCAAAGCUUUGUAGUUUCCGACAAGGUUGGUAUUAUUGACCUCUCUCUCUCUCUCUCUCGUUUCUUUAUUUAAUUGCUAACUUGUACCAAGUGUUUUUGAAGUUUAUGGUUGGGUAGAUGAACAACCUCAGGCGGACAAAACAAGGAUAUAUUUUGAAUAUUGGGUUUCUUUUUUUGGCAUGUUCUUUGAAACUCUUAAACAGAGAAAGAGACCUGCAUGCGUAAAAAUCCUUUUUCUUGUUUGUCUCAGUUUGCUGAAUUUGGGUAGGAACAAAGCUUGAUUGGUGGGUCUGAAAAUCUGAGUGAAAAGACCAAAUACAGUGCUAUUUAUUGGCGGCAGAUUUUUGUCAUUUCAAGCAUAGAUUUCAGCAGUGUGUAUAGGGAGAGAGAUACAUAAAAAUCAAAGUGGGUUGUUCUAGAGAUCUAUCUAGAGAUUGGUAUUAUAGAAGAACCUGUAUACAGUAAGUGCAUUUGGUUGAUACCUUAGGGGAAUUUGAGUUUUCUCUGUUAUUGUUGAUAGUGUGAUUUUACUUGGAUAUAGAUGGUGGGGAGCAUUGAGACUUUGAAUCGUAAUUUGUACUCAAAUGGAUCUAUUCAGAACUGUAAUAGUUUGGAAGAGAAACUUGACGAGCUCCGGAGCCGCCUUGGCAAGGGUAAUGGUGAUCCAUUAAGAAUUGUUGGUGUUGGGGCAGGCGCUUGGGGCAGUGUUUUUGCCGCUGUGUUGCAAGAUAGCUAUGGUCAGUUUCGAGACAAGGUCCAAAUAAGGAUAUGGAGAAGACCAGGAAGAGCUGUUGAUAAAGCAACAGCUGAACUUCUUUUUGAAGUGAUCAAUUCAAGGGAGGAUGUAUUGAGGAGGUUGAUCCGGCGCUGUGCGUAUUUGAAAUAUGUGGAGGCAAGGCUGGGGGAUCGAACACUUUAUGCAGAUGAGAUUUUGAAAGAUGGAUUUUGUUUGAACAUGAUCGAUACGCCACUGUGUCCCUUGAAGGUUGUAACCAGUUUGCAGGAGGCUGUUUGGGAUGCUGAUAUUGUGGUGAAUGGCUUGCCUUCUACUGAAACACAAGAGGUGUUUGAAGAGAUUAGUAAUUAUUGGAAGGAAAGAAUCACAGAUCCUAUUAUCAUCUCUCUAGCGAAAGGUAUAGAGGCUGCACUAGAGCCUCUCCCGCAUAUCAUAACUCCCACGCAAAUGAUUAACCGGGCAAGUAUGUUUAUCUUCUUUUAAAUUUAACUGUCAACCUCUGGUAUCUUGGCUUUAAAUUUUCAGUGAGGUGGAAAAAAGGAAGGAGAGAUGGUUUUUUGGGUUUGGUUUUAUCUUUAGCUGAUAUAGUAAAUGUGAGUCAAUUUUGGGGAGUGGACAAUCUUAUAAAACUUUGCAAGUAAAUGUGAAGGUUUUAUCUUUAGCCGAAUUAGUAAAUGUGAGUCAAUUCUUGGUGUUUGUUCCAAAAUGUUUUCUUAAAGAAUGACAACUUUUCCAAUCUUAUGUUAUAUUGAAGUCCUGAUCAAAACACAAUCAAGAAAAAACUAUUCUAUAUAAGGAGUUUUACAAAAUCUAUCAAGCAGAAAAAACCAUUCUGCUAAGAAAACUCUACAAACCGUCAAUGAAAAUGGAGCCUCAAGAAAAAAUUGAGCUUAUCAAUACAAAAGCUGGAGAAAUGCAAUCAGAAAUAUAGACUCUUUAGUGCACCCAAAGCCGAGAUGGUAUGCUUGAUAAGAUAGAGAUCAAGGGACAAAUUCUUCUUGUUUUGUGUGUAUCAUGAAGUGGCAUCUUACACCUUAUACCAGAUAAUGUAUGCUGAUUGUUUGAACUGAUAAAUAUUAGGUUUGCUUCACAAAUUUAAUUCCAUAUUCUUUUCUAUAUGCCUGGCAGCUGGUGUACCUAUAGAGAACAUACUUUAUCUGGGUGGCCCAAAUAUUGCCUCAGAGAUCUACAACAAGGAAUACGCUAAUGCUCGAAUAUGUGGAGCUGAGAAGUGGAGAAAACCACUUGCAAAGUUUUUAAGGCAACCCCAUUUUAUCGUCUGGGACAAUAGUGAUCUUGUUACACAUGAAGUCAUGGGUGGCUUAAAGAAUGUCUAUGCCAUUGGAGCAGGUAAGUCUCAGGUUCAUUCUGAUAAAUAUAUCACAUACAAUAAAUGCAGCAUCUAAAUCGUCCAACCUCUCAAAUCUAAUAAAAAGAAAUGAGAUGUCUGAUAUUCUGCUUUGUAAUUGGUGUUCAGCUUCAUUUAAGUAGUGGUAACUGUUGUUCAGCUUUUCGGAGCUUCAUACACCUGAUACUGUAUAAAUGAGGACAGAUUUGAAGAUGUAGUGAUUUUGCAAAAACAAGACACUAGAUCAUAUAAAAGCAACAAUAAUUCUCUUAGAGUGCGUAUGUUAGAUUCAGAUGAGAGACUUACUGGGACAAUAUUGAUUUAUGCUAAGAUGGAUAAGUUUAGAUUUAAAUCAGAGGUUAUCCUGAAUCCCUGCUCUGAUUGAUGAGCUGGCAUUACAGUUUCACAUGGAAUAAUUACAAUUGGCUGUUCAUACACUGCCAGAAUAUUCUUGCCAGGACAAACAUGAAAUUUGUUGUAUGAGAACAGUAGUUGGCCUGCAUUCUUAUAGAAGCUUCUGGGAAUAGUGAUAAAUCAAUAAAAUCUAAAGUUAUAUGCUAUAAUAUUGGAUUGGAAUAUCAUAGCAUAUUAUAAAUGAAUUCUUCUGGUUUGCAACUUACAUCCGUUUUUCAUUUUGAUCAUCUCAGGGAUGGUAGCAGCCCUCACAAAGGAGAGUGCUACCAGCAAAUCUGUAUAUUUUGCACAUUGUACCUCAGAGAUGAUAUUUAUUACUCACUUGUUGGCAGAAGAGCCUGAGAAACUUGCUGGGCCUUUGCUGGCUGACACAUAUGUAACCUUGUUGAAAGGCCGUAAUGCAUGGUACGGGCAAAUGCUAGCCAAAGGGGAACUAAAUCGGGAUAUGGGUGAGAAUAUCAGUGGAAAAGGAAUGAUUCAGGUACCGAUUGUGAAUUACUCUUUCCUUCUAAAACCGCUGUAAGAUGCAUUCCUUUUAAGCUAAGGUAUUCGCCACAUUUAGAUAGCGAUGGUACUAGUUAGGGUGCGUUUAGAACCAGCCUGAAGAAGGAACAAAUGCUCAAAAUCAUGAUACUUAUAUUGGUUUAUUUGGAACUGUGAAAUCAAUCUUUAAGAUGUAGAAACUUUUUAUGUUCGUCCACACUGCCUAAUUAUUAGCAAAAACAAUGAUACAAUUUAUACUGCUAUAGUGAAGAUAGAUAGUUCUCACUCAAUGCUGGAAAUGACUCAUGCAGAUGGGAAAGAUAUGUGUUAUUAUUCAUUUAUAAGUUAUCAAUAAUUUCAUUUCUCAUUAUUCCGAGCCUCUCUGCUUCUAGGGUGUCUCUGCAGUCAAAGCAUUUUAUGAACUUCUCAGUCAGUCAAGCCUAAAUGUAUUGCAUCCUGAAGAAAACAAGCCAGUUGCUCCUGUGGAGCUCUGCCCCAUCUUGAAGACGCUAUAUAAAAUAUUAAUAACAAGGUAAUUUCUGGCCAACUUGUAAUCCAUUUUCUUACCUGAAGGCAUUUUGUCAAACAUAAAGGAUAAAAAAUAUUCACCGUGAUAAAUUAUACUAAGAGGUGUUUGUGUGAUCCGAAAGAUCACCCUGCAUUACUUGGUGUAACCUAAAUCUUGUUUGGCAGUUGUCUUGACCUGGCACAAAGUUUGUGUUCCUCCUCCCCUUCUAUUCUUAAAUGUUGUGCCUAUGCAUCUGCAAAUUAAGGCUAGAUUGUGUCUUUUCUGUUAAUUUACUAGUAUAUCAAUUCAACCAUGCAUAUUGCUUGAUCUCCAGGGAGCAAUCAUCACAAGCUAUUCUUCAAGCGUUGAGGGAUGAAAACUUGAAUGAUCCCAGGGAACGCAUUGAGAUUGCACAGAGCCAUGUCUUCUAUAGGCCCUCACUUCUUGGGCAGCCUUUGACUAGUUUUCCAUUGCAAGAUAAAGUGGCAAUAUAACCUUGUGGAAGCAUGGUAUUAUUGGACUUGCAUGGUGAAAACAAGCGCAUUGGUUUUCGAUACAUGUUUAAUUUGAUAAAUAAAUAAAUAUAUAUAUGUUAAAUGGACUUAUUUUUAGCUUCCUAAGGAUAUGAUAGUUGAGUGAUGGACUGAAGAGGAGCAAGUCGUUGUAAUCUGCAACCUGCAAUCUGUUUGGUGGCUCUGGUUGAUUUGCAUGUAGCACACUAAUGCAAUGGCAAACCCGAAAACUUCUCUAUAAGGUGCAGCAAACCGAAACUUCUCUACCCUUGCUUUUCGGCUGCGAAGUUGCCGUCAGCCCAAGUGAUUGUCAUAACUGUUGAGUUUAAGAAGUUGCAGUGGCCAAGACGGUUGUAUAGGGAGCUGGAUUUACAUUGUAUCGUGCAUUAUAUUAUAAGAUGCCAAAAACGAUGUAUCUCAUAUUUGUAUAGACUUGCCAUGGAAACAGAAAAACUUCCUUUUCACCUCUAUUUCUUAUGUGUGCACUCCUGCCCCAAUUUAUCGUCAAUAGCAACAUAAUAUAUCACCAAGUUGAUCAAAACCUGUGUCCAAAUCCAUUAAAAAUAACUUCCAUGAAAUCCCAAUAGGCCCAAGCAAAGGACUCUAGGUCUUGAUUUUGAUUGUUGAGCCCCUCCCAAAGACAUACUUUGGUCAUGUGUGGCAGAAGAUCCCUCAUCGCUGAUAGUAGGAGUAGGCUUGAACAUUUUUGUAGGGUUUGGGGGCUGUACUUUGAUCUUGUAUGGGAAAUCCAAGAAAUAUACACGUCAUUAUUUAAGAGGGAAUGCCAGGGCACAGGAACUUGGAGGUGGUGUUGGUGUUUAGGCCCAGGUUUGGGUUCACCCGUCACACUGAAAAAUUACUUGAUUUGAAGAAGAGCAAAGUCAUUCUGGGCCCCAUGCUACCCAAAUCCCACGAUUAGCAGAUUGAGCCAUAUCAAUUCUUCUAACCCUACCAGUGUCUUUUCAAGGUAUAUGAUAAUUGAGAAAGUAAAGAACAAAACGGGCACAAGAGAGGAAGGAUUAAAAAACCACGAAACUAUAUACCCAGUAGUAGUAGAUAGCAAUACUUAAUUAUCUUCCAAACUUGGAGAUUGUAUACAACCGCGAAUCUUCACCCCUUAUGUACCACUUCUCUAAUGGCGAUGGAGUUCACCAAUACAAUGGGCUUCGCCUCUAUUAAGAGGUCGUACACAAGAUGGUCUACGUACCAUUUCCCUUGUUAUAUUGCUACAUUUUAAAACCGCACAUCAACCAUAGGAUCUGGGUUGGGAAGUGUACAGGUAGCAGACAUAUACGGGCACUUGAGCUUGCAAUCAGUUGCGUUUAGUUACAUUAAUUUUCGUUAAUGUUCUGAAUUCAAGGUAAAAUCAUUGCAAACUUGAAAAAUAAAAUUUAUCGUCCUUGUCCAGCAAAGAGCCAGUGCUUGAUAGAUAUAACAAAAUGUCUGCCCUAAAGAAAGACUGACCCAAAACAAACCACCAUUACACUUUACUGCUAGAAAAAUAAUCAUAAGCUCCAAAACACGUUCUACUCAAUAAAAUACGAAUGGAAUAUGAAUUAAAUAGCGAGGUUAACAGAAAUGAAAUAGUUGUAUACUGUCAAAAUUAUGACCAGACCAUUUCAGUAAACACAUGAUACAUACAACAAUUUAGAGCACAGAAAAUUCAGGCCUGACCAGUGAUAUCCAUAGCUUGCAGUAUGAUCCGGUAAAGGCGGUUUGCUUUCUUUUCCUCUCAAUGGCAAUACAGUCUGACAACUGAGUCUGCACCCGCAGUGAACAACCAUGGCUGCCUUGGAUGGAAUUUACAGUCCAUUACACCUGCAUACAACCAGUCAAUAAAAGAUUUAGGUCUUAUUUUUAGUUUGAAUUACACCCAGAAACUGAGUUGACUAUAAAUUUGGCCUGCAACUUGGAACGUUCUAUUCGCCAACUCCUAAUCGCAUAUUAUCAAAUCCGAAUUCUAGAGAAGGGGCCUUGAACAUAUCAUACGUUAAAAAACAUUCACGCUGGUGAAAGUAUGUUUAAUAUGAUGCCCAGCAUUCAGUUAACCUUUUUACCCAAUCACUGGCAGCAUUUCUUUCAUCUUGUUAAAAUACCCAACAGAAUACAAACAAAAUAAAGCUAUAGGGCGCACCUCUCCCAUUCGUGCUCGAAUGACCGCGGAGUAUUUCCAAUGGAACAAUAAGAGGGUUCUGGUUAAGAUCUGAAUAAACCAUCCCAUGGAAAACAUAUGCGGUGCAAUCAUCUGAGCAUGUUGCAAACAGGGGGUACGAGCGAUGGAAAGACACAUUGUUGAUGUCCUUCUGAUGCAACCUGAUAAAUGUUCAAAAUGUCAGAAGAAAAACAAUAUAUGAGCAAAAAUCAGGCAAAUAGAAUUUGAUGUGUAUGCAUAUUUGGUUUGAUGUUUGUGUAUCUAUUAGAUAACAUCUUCCAGAAAUCUACGCAUUAUCCAUUUCAGAGAUUGUAAAAUUUAAAGUAAACCAGUGUCAUGCAAGAAAGUAUUAACCCCCUCUCCAAAUAACCAAAAGAAAAGACCCUACAAUUCAUUUAUUUAUUUUGCAUAAUUAUUUGAAAAAGAAAUGUGUGACAUACUUGAGAGUUUUGUAGGGUUUAGAUGAAAGGUCCAUGUCGAACCAACAUAGUUUUCCUUCUCCGCUCCCCACAAUUAUAUGAUCACCUGCAUUAACAGUACAACCAGAUAAAUCAGAGUACCGUUCACACACAACUGUUACGAAGAAUAGAACAAAGAAUGGACUCAAUCCAUUCAGUUGAAUAUAGUUAGCAAAAUUUAAUUAAUAAAUAUAUAUAUAUAAUAAUAAAAACUACCAGAAGGAUGAACUGCAAUAGAGGAGAUUUCACGUAGUCCAGUCUCAAGUUUUUUGACAAGCUUUCCCUCCUUCACCAGAUCGUAAACACGAAUAAUCUUCUUUGUUGAAAUGAAGAAGAAGGAACGUGUAGGAUGAAAAACUGAAGUAACAGCAGGCCCUUGCAACUUGAAUGAAAGUGUCUGGGUAAACUUCUUAGAGAGCUUGUGUAUAAAAAUAGCUCUUGAUUCACGUAAAGCCAAAGUCAAGAAAAUCCGAGGAGAUGACUAAUUUGAUGUAACUUUGUUUUGUUAUCAGAAAUUUAAUAAUAACUCAUGUACAAACAACAAAUAUAAACCUCAUUUCCCAUACAUGUCUAAGAAAUAAAAACACAUACCUAAACCCAUCUGUGUCGUGCUUAAAGUAGCAUAUAAUAUAAAAAUAUGUGUAUAUAUGUGCAAAAAGGAUAUCCGCUGGCAUCACUGUCGAAAAGUAGUCUCCUUUACGAUGCCAUUCUACUGCAGUCACGGUCUGCAGGAGCCCAACAAAGAAAGCAGUUAGAAUUCUUUGUAGAAAGACCAACCUUCUAAUCUUGACUUCAGCUUAAGAAACUUAUAAACUUCCACAACCACAAAUAAAUUGGUGAAGGAAAAGGCCAAGUACCUUGGAGUGCCUUAACCUGAUUCCCUCGAGUUUAUCAUCUUGAAGCCAGCUUACACUGGAUGCUGUUUUGCCUAUGUAAGCAGAACAUAUUUUGCAAAGGUUAGAAACCAUUCAUUUGAUCUAUGAUACUGAAAGCUAUGACGAUCUCACACUGACCAGAGUCAUCUGGCAUAGGCAUCUCAACAGAGAGAAGUUCUUUUGUACUUUUCUGUACUUCUUCAUUCCCACAACCAGUGUUCAAAAGAAGUACGUCUUGUCCCCUAAAAUUUACCGACAGUUAAUUUACAGUUAGGUAGCAAGAUCCCCAAUGAAACAAAUGUAAAUGAAAAAUAAACCCAAAAAUAAAUGCAGCCUUACGCAGAGACAGCCAGUAUAGAAUGCUCGGGAUUAGGAUUCCAAGAAACAUAUUUGACGGCUUCACCAAUCUUCCAGUGUUUUAGACAUCUACCAGUUUCAACCUCCCAAAUACGCACAGUUCCAUCCAAUGAACCUGUAAGAAGAACAGAUGAUGAGACCUACAUCCGAUUUCAAUUAUGUUACUGAAUGCAGCAAAGAAUUAAGAAUGUCAUCCACACCUGAUGCAAUCCAUUGCCCUGAAGCUUCUACAGAAAUUGAUGUAACUGCAUCUUCGUGACCUCUAUACUCAAGAUAACAUGAUACAGGGUAAGGCUUGAGAUCAUUUCGGUUUGGUAGCUUGGGCUUCAGAGACUCAGGAUCGAUAUUAAGCUGGAACAUUAAAGGAUAUACUUUGAAUAAUUUGAUCCUUGUCCUCAUAUGAGUAUAAGUAGAUUGUACAAAUUGAAACAUCUUGCAAAACAAUCAAAACCCAAACAAAUAAUCACUGCGGAAUCUUUUCCUCAAUCAGGAUUAUUCACUUACGCGUUUUUUCCGGACUCUGGGGCACAAAUAUAGAUCCAAACAUCUUUCAAAGCAUUCCUUAACAGCAUUCUCAUAUGCAGGGAUGCUUCUCAUAGAUGUAAACCUACCAAAUAUGAUAACAGUGUGCUUAUUAGAUGCUGUAUUAUCAGAAAGAGUAGCAAAUUACGAUUAGUCCAAAUUUCAAGUCACAUUGAAUAUUACCUUUUAGGUAUAAAUUUAGGACGGUCUUCCUCGUACAUUAACUGAUAAGAAUUGAUCUCUUCUUGUGUUGGGAUGUAUUCUAAAGAAGGAUUGAAGGACUCCUCAUGACCUAAAUGCAAAAAAUAAUUUCCAUCAAGUCUCAAGUUACUUCAUGCCAGCAAAAAAGAAUUGCUCUAUAUCUGACUUUUCACAAUCCUCAUAAUAUGGAAGAAAAUUAAUACCAGGCAAUUUUGGUUUUGGUGCAGGAAUGUAAGAUAGAUGAUCAUUCUUUCCCGUUGAAUUAGAGUCAUCUCCCCACAAGGGAUAAACACUUUCUUCUUCUUCUUCCUCCUCUUUGGACUUUUUAGGCUUAAUUAAACCCUUACGAAUGGCCAACUUGAUCUUAUUAACCUGUAGAUUCAUCAGAAGAAGUGCAUAAGACGAACAGGAAACCAUGUUAAAUUAAAAUAAUAAGUUUUCCAAUCAAACAAACUCUAGUACAUUUGUUUAACUCAGCAGCUGAGUUGAAAAUAAAAUAAAGCUACAGAAGAAAGAAAAAGGAAAGAAAACACCCAACAGGAGCAAUACAUUAAAAAUGCCUUACCAGUUUACUUUCAGAUUUUGAAGGAAUGAAUCGUCUCUUGGGUUCAGGUGCAUUUGACAGUGGAUGCUUGGAGUCGUCCCAUUUAAACCAAUCAACAUAUGGCUGCACUUGAAACAUGGAGAAUUUAACUUCAACUUAAAAUGAGGAAUUCAUUUGUAAGAAAGUUCCUAUAAAUAGCCAUGUACUGCAGUCAUAUGAAUAUUACUAUUUAAACAAUGAGAAUAUCAUAUUAAUUAGAAUUGGAUGAGUGUUAUCUACAGACCGCAUAAGGAUCAAAGUCACGAUGCGGAGCCUUUCCUUCGAGCAAUCUACUUAUAGAUUUGAUAUCUUCUUUCGUGAGUUCUACAUCCUCAUCGUUAUAUUCAUCAUAAAUUUUGCGCCUGAAAAGUAACAAAACCAGAGUAAACAAUAUACACUUGAAAAUUGUAGAUAUUUAACAUCCUUUAAUUGAAUGCUAUCAACAUAUUAGAAAUAAAAGCACACCAGUUCUUCGAAUCAUCAGCACUAGCAAGAAAGGAUUGCAAUUUAUCUUCUUUUUCCUUCUUCUUUAUCUUCUUCCCUGUAAUGUCAUAACCAAUAUGUUUCUCAUCCCGAUACCACUCCAAGGGGACAUCACCAACUGUAUUUCGAGGAACCACCUAUUAAAAACAGAAAAAAGGAGAGAGAAGUCACUUGAGUGCAUUCAGGUAACUAUACCAUAUAAAAUCACAUUUAAUUUGCUUAUGAUAAGAAUAAAACAACAGACCUCAUCUUCAGAUGAAUCACUCUCCUCAACUCCUUCAUGAAGUUCAGAACUAUCACUUUCGUCAUCAUUACCAUGAUCAUUGUUGCUUGUGUUGAGAACGUCCUGCCAUGGUUAUAGUUAAAAAUAUUAACGCACAGUCAAAACAACAAACUUCUUGAAUCAAACCGGCUUCAUUGUUCUACCAAAUCAUGGAAAUUAAUUACCUAUAGUGUAGCUUUAUAAUAUUUGAAAUCAAAGUAACAGCUAAAAUGGCAUGGAAAAAUAAGCCAUAUCUUUACAUCUUUAAACCUUUUUUUUCCUUCAUAUUUCCACUAACCUCAUUUCCAGAGGAACCACUCUCUUCAUCUUCUGAGUCUGAGCCUCUGAUUGAUGGAUAAUCAUCCGAGUCAUAUCCUUCGCUAUCAGACAUAUCCUAUAAUCACAAAAAGCUAGCUCUUUCAUUUCCUUGAAAACAAAGCUCAGUAGUAGGAAAAGAAAAAGGGUAAUUCCUUAUGUCAAAUUGUAGGUUCUAUUGAAAAAUUUCCAAUUUGGCAUUAGAAUCAAUGAUCACAAUCUAAAACCAAAAAAAAAUGCGAACCGCUCGUAAUUAAGCUAAAUUGUUGUGCGAAGUGAUAGAGCCGGGAUUCAAAAUUGGGGCGUGCUGAUCUUCAUAACUACUUCUUUUUAACAUUCCCAAAAUUACAUUUACUCAUUUUCAUAUCUAUAUACAUAUACAAAAACUUCACCGUACAACAAGAAGCAAAGUUUUGAGAAAAAAAAAGAAAAAAAAAAGAAGAAAAAGCAUACGCCUAGCCAGAGGAGAGAAGGCAGAAAAUGGAUAGAAGCAGGCGAGAAGAAACUGAAGGCACACCUCUGGUUUUCUGGUACAGCGGCUGCAAACUCCUCUCUUCUCUCUCUUCCCCUUCUCCUCAAUCAGAGACUAUGAAAACUGAAAAACCCUAAACCCCAAGGUAAGAGAAGAGACGAGAGAGGCUUAAGUUUGGGGGAGGCGCUGCGCUGAUGUUUAAUGAAUGAUUUUUUCAUAUUACCAAAAAUACCCUUUAUCAACUUUAGAAUUUACAUCAAUUGCCCCCAAGUAUAUUCACGUUCUCUCUCUUCCUCGUUUUCUCUUCAGUGCAGAGCUCAAUUUCUCUCCCCCUUCUCUUCCAUACUUUCUUGGCUUAAUUACACCAAUGCCCCUGAAAAUUUGAUCAAAUCCCAUUUUACCUCCUCAAACUUAAAAUGGCCCACUUUUAUCGUUUGACCGAGGUUUGGUAUGGUAACCCACUUUGCCCUUGCCGUCAACUCCAUCCAAAAGUAUGUUAACUUUGAUGAUGUGGCAUGUGUGUUUUUGUAAUUUUGUACACAUAGAUCAUUAUCCACCAAUUGAAUAGGUGAUGUAGCAAGUGAAACCCAACCUGGCUCGGCCCGUUAGUUAGUGGGUUGGGAUUAGGCUUGGGCUAGAGGAUUUAAAGCCCAACCUGGCCUAUAAACUCGACCCGUUUAAGCCCAAGAAGAUCCAUCCUUGCCCGCCCAUCAAACCCCGGCCCGCAGGCUCGCCCAUCAAACCUCGGCCUGCAGGCCCAUAUAUAUAGGAUUUUUCAGAGCCCAAUAUCUAGAAUAGCUGCUAUUUCUCUAAUGCUUCAAAAAUUUUAUUUCAACUCAAUACCUCUCCAUAUAAAAGUAUUUAUUACAGAUAUCCCUUAUCAUCUCUAAACCUAAACUAGCUGCCCCCUUCUUUCUCCCGUCUUUCUCCUUAAAUGCUAUAUGCUUGUAAGAGAGAGAGCUUUGUCUCUCUCAUCUCUCUCUUGCACUCAAAGAGAGCUCUGUUGUGUUGACUGCUAAGAAGAUGGUGACGUUGAUGACUUCACGGCAGAGAGAAACACCAUGACAUCUCCAAUAAGCAGUUAUCUACCAAUUUUCACCAUUGGAAAGAAGAAAUAUGAGUGUGUUUUCAUCUUUUUGAAUCACUAACUCUCUGUAUUUUAUCUUAUUGAUUCUGGUUCUUAUGUAAUAAUAAUAAAAAAAGUAUUAUUGAUUCUUGUUCUUGGAUGCUUGUUUAAUAAUAACUCUCUAUAUUUGGUAUCAGAAAGGGCGAAAGACAGACAUGAAAUCGGUUUCCUUUGAUGUGAAUUUCUUAGGUCUCUCAUCCUUUGAAUUGGGUUCACUUCUUUCUUAAAAUUCAUUGUGGCGUUCAUAUCACUUGUUGGAAAAUAUUCUAGCUAUUAGUAGCAACAAACCAAGUCUUUUAUGAUUUUUGAGAGAACACGUUACACUUAGUUUCAUCGCUUCUGAGAUGCAACAUAAAUAAAAAAUGAAGGUGUAAUUCAAAUUUUUUUGUAAUUUAAUUUUCGUUCUUAUAUAUAUUUUUGUUAUUGGGUUGUAAUUUUAAAUUUAAUGUUUGGUUGUUUUAUUAUUUUUGUCUAAGGCAACUACGAACAUAGAAAAAAUGGGUAUAACAUAAAUAUAGGAAAACGGCAAAUAAGUAAAAAUAUAGAAAAAGAAGAGAAGAGAAGAAAGGAACAAAAAAAGAGGAGAAAAAACAUAUUAAGCCCAUUUUGCCCCGGGUCAAUAGGGCCAACCUAUUAGAAUAUAUGCCCCAGAAGCCAAUAGAAAAUUGGAAAUUCUAAGGACAUAAUAUUAAAUAACUAUAAUCAAUAGAGCAUAAAAAAUUCUUUAGGAAACUUAUACAAACCACAAAGUAACAAGUCCAUGGAUAGGGAUAUAAAUGGAAAGCAGUCUAAAGAAGUUAGAUUCACGACACCUUUCAAUCAUAUAAAUAUAUAUAUAUAUAUAUAUCGUAUCCUAAAAUGUUCCUAGUCAUAGGAUCACCAAUUGGACAAAGGUGACCUGUAAAGACUGGUACACACCACGUCUGCUCAAUUGGGAGGAUGACUAGUCUCAUGUCAUUAGUGUGGAGACACUAAGAUAAGUGUGUAGGUGCUCUAUAGAGAUGGAGUUCACUAAGAAUUCUUGUAUAGAAGUCUUACUCACAAGUGUCAAACAAGUAAUUCUAAGUUGCGAUAAUACAAAUUAGUCCUCAGGUCCUCAAACCUGAGACAUCACAGUUGUCUUGUGUAUGAGUUGUUUGUCUUUAAAAACACUAUACAGUCAUGUCAAAAGGAUGUGACCUAAAGAUGCUCCUCGGGAUAUCCAACAUAUCCACAGAGGCAUGUGAAUGUACAACAAUGAAUCUCUACUCUUAAUGAGAAGAGAGAAUACUGUAGAGAUAUGAUUCAUUGAAUCUUUGACCAAAGUAUAAGAUGAGAAUUAAAACAAUAAUGUUUGCAAUUACAAGUUAAUCAUAUAACCUAGAAAUGUUGUAUUAGGGAUUUGACGUGAGUUAACCAUAUCCCAACAAUACAACAUAUAGUAUUGUGUUAAAGAAUGACCGAAUUACAUUGCAAUCACAAACUGACUAGGUUCUCUAAAUGAAUUCUAUUUAGCUUGAGUAACCAUGACAUACUACUAGGGGUCACUUUUAUGGAAGCCAUGUAAGGACUAAUUAUAAUUAGCCUUUGUCAAUAGGAGAAUUGCUGGAGGGAUGCAAUUCACAUUUGAUUUAGAAGAAAUCAUACUUACCCAUGACCUCUCUAAUUAGAACCUAUAAGAUUAUACACCAAAAAAGAGUGGAUUGAGAAUUAAGAAGAGAAUAAAAGAUUAUGAAGCUUGGUCAAAGUCAAAGUCAAAGUCAAACUGUUGACCCAACAUUUGACGUGGUCAACAAAGGUUGACUAUGAACAACCGUUGUUAGACAAGUUAGUUACUUAAUUUAUUAAAUCAUUAAACUAAUUAAAUAAAUUAGAAUAGUUUAACUAUUCAAUUGAAGUUAUGGAACUUUGAUUGGGUCUCACAUAAUUUAAAGAGUUAUAGAAAUGGACCGUAUGACUUUAGCCAUGUGUGACACAUUAUAGGAUAAAUGUGAAUGACCUAGAUAGCCCAAAAAUAGGCCACUAAAGGGGAGAUGCGGUACAAAUGUGGGUCUAUAUAUAGAAGGCCAUAGCAUCAUAUCAUCUUAGGGUUUCAAGUUGGAAAUUUGGAAGAGAGGAAAUAUCACACAUCUCUCUCAAUACCCCUUUGGCAGGCCACUUGGUGGACAAUGAGCUAGCACUUUCUUCUCUCCAAGUUUUCUUGUUCUCUCAUCCCAACCAUCCUUGGUGAAGAGCUUUGGGGAGGUGCACAUCUUUAUACCCAUUCGAAGAACCAUAGUAUAGAAUCAACAACAAAGAGAUAUAGAAAUUGUUGGUGUGGGAUCAUGACGUACGUCUCAGAAGCAAUUAUAUCAAUUAGGCUAAUGUAGUCUGGGGUGUGACUGAUGAUAUUGUGGGGAAGCUACCCAUUUGCAUAAUGAGUUUGUUUUCUUCUUAUGGUAUCGGCCUUUGGAUAUUGGAGUAUGCUUGCAACAUUCGUGCACAAGGUGAAACGGUCUAUUUUCGUUUACAUGUGCGGUAUGCUUUCCUAUUAUCCUAUAUUACUGCAUAUUUAGUAUGUUAUUUAGGGUGAUGAGAACAGGGGACGAGGGGAUAAGCCAAAUGGGACAGGGAAUGAGGUUGAUGAUGGUCAUGAUGAUGUUGCAGUUGUUCCUGUUGUCUUCACACAACUAUCUCUCCUCCAUCAAUGACUAUUUCUCCUCCACCAGCAGCAACAUGAACAACAUCAUCAUCACCGUCACCAUCAACAACCCCAUUCCCUGUCUCAUUUGGCUAAUCCCCUUGUCUCCUAUUCCCAUCACCCAAAAUAACAUACUGCAGAUGCAGUAAUAGAGUAUAAUAGGAACCCCUAAUCUCUUGGACCACAGGGGUCCAAGAGAUUAUGGUCACCCAUCAUUGGAUUUUAAUCUAACGGUUCAAAAAAAGUUUCUUAAAAUGAGUGCAAGAGUGAGUGAACCGUUGAAUUUACAUCCAACGGUGAGUGACCACAAAUCUCUUGGACCCCUGUAGUCCAAGAGAUCAGGACUGAUAAUAGGAAGGCAUAUUGCAUGCACAAAAAAGAAUAGACCAUAUCACCGGGUGCAUGAACGUUGCAAGCAUACUCCAAUAUCCAAAGGUUGAUACCAUAAGAGCAACUCCACCCAUUUUCCAUGGCAAAGGGCAAGGGAGGGCUAGGGCAGAUACUAUUCACAUGAAUAGUGGUUGCCCUUGCAAAAAGCAAUGUGUGUUUCCACCCUUUGCCAUGGCAAAGGGCAAAUACUAUUCAUUUUUCAUUUUUUUUUAUCUAAAUAAUUAAUUAUGAUAAUAUUUUUGGAUAAGAUUUUUGAGUUCGUACGUGUCAAUAUUUAUUAUAAAUUUCAUAUCUCUUAAUCGGAUAAAAUUUUCGAUUUCAAAAUUCAGAUAAAUUUCAAAUUUCAAAAUUUAGAUAAAUUUCAAAUUUCAGAUAAGAUUUUGACCCUUUAAAAUUGCUCAACAUGUCAUCUCUAUCUGCCUAAAUUUUUCUAUAAAACCAGAGGCUUAGCUCAUACCUCUCACACCAGAUCUUCUCUAUAUUUUCAUUUCUCAGAUUUUUGAAUUCAUACUCCAUUCUCAAUGUUAGACAUGAGGAGAUGUUUGGAGAGGUAAUAGCGAGAAACUAAUGAAAAAAGGCGUAGACGAGCUGAAGGCAAAAGGGUGCAGAGAGAACAUGAUCAACAAGUUAUCAUAGCAAUGACUUUGCUUGAGAAGAAAACCAAGGCCACCGCUAUGGUUCACAAGUUGGCCGUGGCCCAAAUGUGGACAGACAUAGGCAUUCUCAGGGUAAGAAUCUUUUAGAUGUAUAAAUGUGGUUUUUUAAUUUGGUUAUGUUUUAUUUUUAGUUAUGGUUUGGUUGUGUUUUAUUUAUUUAUUAUGCUCGGGUUGUGGUUUUUCCUUUUAAUUAUGUUUUCUUUGAUGUAUGGAAUAUGUUGAACAAAACGGUAUUUUAUUGAAUGCUUUGUUUAUUAAAUAAAGAAAGCCAACACAAGUCAUUAAGAAUUACUACUAAUUAAAUAAAAUACAUGAAUUACAACUACUUUGAUACAAAACAUGAAAAUACAAUUAAAUAAAAGGUAUGCCAACUAACUUAAUGGUUUUGAUCAUUUAACCAAUUCGUGUUGCUAGGUCCAUCGUCACAGAAAAGUCUUCUUCUCAUAACAUCUCCUCGUUCUAGCUUCCAAAAUUGUUUUGUUUCAGGGGACAUAUGGCUUGUAUCCAUGGCCAUGGUUUCCCGAUCCUACUUGUCAAUGUUUUCUUUGCACAAAUACUCCCUUUCUUUUGCAUAUUCUGCUUGAAUUGCCCUCUCGUCUGCUUGGGUUUUCAGGCCCAUUUCAAAUCUUAUGGCGCUCUGCCUUUCAAUUUCCUUCAAAAAAUUUGAUGUGUUAUUGCUAGAAUUACUCCCUCUCUUCGCCUUCGCAGCCUUUCAACCAAUGGGUCUCGGCUUCUUUUCGAUGGGUGAGUCUUGACUCAUCGGGGAAUCCAAAGGUGAAUCUGAUGCCGGUGAAUCAUGGAGUGGCGUCUCUUUUAACACAACAGGCGGACUUGUGGGAAUAAUUCUGAAACGUUUGCAAUUUUUCACCACCUCCCAACAUUCUUGAUGGUUGAAAGAUUUUUUACCUUACCCAAUUGCACCAAACCACAUCUGUGCUUGCAUAAUCUAUCAACAACAAAAUAAUGGAAAUGCAAGACACAUUAAUAAAAUAUUAAAAAUGCAAGAAAUAUUAAAAAUAUAUUGAAAAUGCAAGUAACAUUACAAAAAUGGAAAUGCAAUUAACAUUACAAAAUAUAUUGAAAAUGCAAGUAACAUUACAAAAAUAUUGGAAAUGCAGGAAACAUAAAAAAAAUAUUGGAAAUGCAAGAAACAUAAAAUUUAAAAUAUUGGAAAUGCAAGAAAAUAAAAAAAAAAUAAAAAAAUUUAGGACAUUACAUUUAAUAAAAUGGAAAUUACAAAUAAUUUAUCUCAUCGCUAAGAUUUUCACCGCUUUGAACAUUGUCCCUCGCUUUUGCUAAAGCAUCUCUCCAUUUCCCCAACUCUUUAUUCAAUAUUUUCCACCUACUACUCAAUGCCAUUUUCGUACGACUAGAACCCGAUCUUUCACAAAAUUCGGCAUGAAUUUUUCUCCACAUGUGAGAGAAUUUCAUCUCAUUGCUUGUGACCGGACAAUGACUAACAUGGACCCAACUCUCACACAAGCGAACAUCUUCCGUGGUUGCCCACACACCCUCGGCUUCGAUUGAAGAUGCCAUGAGAUGGUGAAUAAAAAAAGAAAAUUGGAAGUGAUCAAAAUUUUGUGUAGAAAGUGGAAAACAAUAGAAUUUAUGAAAUUGUAUGAGGAUUUGGUGUUGAAAGUGAAGAAGAAUGGUAGGUAUUUACAUAAAAUAAAAUAAAAUAAAAACUUCAUAAUCUUUUGGAAAUUUUUUAAAAAAAAUUUGAAUUUUUUUUUCCACAUUUUUUUGCCCAGAAAGCCCAGCCGUUGGAUUUGAAAAGAAAAAAAAGCAUCAUCGUGACCAGAACAUGAACACCUGUCAAGUUACUGUUGGUCGACGUCAGCGCUGACGUCGACGUGCGGUAAUUCAAAUUUUUUUUAACGUGCGCCAACAAUAAAAAAAAUUUGAAUUACCGCGUGUGACGUCACUUCUCCUUAAGCUGCUUCUCUCCGCGGGCUGGCCCUGUUGCGUAGGACUCGCACCUUGCUUGGGCUGCCUUGGCCCCUUGGAACGCACUGCCUGGGCUCGGGCCCUGUCCUGUCUGAGCUUGGGUUUGUUGCUGGAGUCGCCCUAAGGAGCAAACAAACCCAUAAUGCAAUAGCAGCCCAACAAUAUCAUCAGUAACACCCCCAGACCAUAUCAGCCUAAUUGAUAUACAUGUUUCCGAGACAUAUGUCAUGAUCUCACACCAGCAACUUCUAGAUAGCACUGAAGUUUGGUUUGGUUAAGGCACUUACAUUCUUGGAGCAAUAAAGGAUUUAUCCCAGCUGAGUAUAGAAUGGCGAACACCACAAUCAUCACCAUGAGUAGGGUAUUCCUUUUUACCAUGAUGCUUUCGAUGUCUGCAUUGCUCAACUCCCUCGUAACUUAGAAGUCGUCAAUGGGCUAGGUCGACUAUCCUGGCCCAUAUUUGGUGUGCUUGGGCCAAGUCGGGCCGGACUUUACUAAGGAGAGAGAAAAUACAGAGUUGGGCUGGGCUUUUACAAAAAAUUGAAAGCAUGUGCCAGUCCCAUGGGCCUGGGCUUUCUCAGAAGCCAAAACAGGCUCAUAUUUCUUCUUCCUAGUGGUGAGGAUGAAUCAAAUGAUUGCUUCUCGGAGAUGUCGUGGUGUUUCUCUUCGCCGUGAAGUCAACGACGUCAUCGUCUUCGUAACCGUCAACACAACAAAGCUCUCUUUAAGCCCAAGAUAGAGAUGAGAGAGAGACAAAGCUCCCGCUUACAUGCAUAUAACAUUUAGGGAGAGAGAGGGGUGAGAGAAGACGAUGAGUAGUUUAGGUUUAGAGAUGAUAAAGGAUACUUAUAAUGGAUACUUUUAUAUGGAGAGGUAUUGGGCUAAAAAAAAUUGAAGAGAAAUAGCAGUUAUUCUAUAUAUUGGGCUAUAAUAAAUCCUAUAUAUCUAGGCGUGCCGACCGAGCUUUGAUGGGCAGGCUGGGCUUUAAACCCUCUGGCCCAAGCUCAGCACACUAACUAACGAACUGGGCUUUUUCUCGAUGAUUCGGGCAGGCCUCAUCUGCCGAUGAGCUCAUGGGACAAAUGAUGACCCCUAGAUGUGGUGUGUCACAUUUUAGUGGAACGAUGGACUAAGAGUAGCAUACCACUCCAUUGUUUGAUACAUUCUUUAAAUCUUAGGUAAGUAUUAUGUUCUUCUUUCCUUUGAAAGUAUUUAAAAUUUACUUUUAAUCUUGUGAUUAUAAUUUUAUAAAAUGAUAUCAUUUUUUACUUUUAGAGUCUAUAGUCUACAAUAGGUGCAAGAGGAUCCUAUUCGUGUUUCUCCAUACCAAGAUGCCGAGAUUACAAGGGAAAGAAAAAUGUGUUUUGAGAAAUAUUGUUUGGAUGAGUGGGCUAAAAGAGAUAUCAAUGUGGAGUAUGCCUCUUUUUCAAUGUGCUUGGAUGACUUUGGAGUUAUAGAUGCUAUGAAUGAUAGGUUUCACGAGGAAUCAAUGGUGUGGUGGAUUGUCUAUGGAGCUUCCACACAAACUCUUCAAUCCAUAGCUUUGAGGCUACUUGGACAACCUUGUUCCUCCUCAUGUUGUGAAAGAAAUUAGAGUACAUAUAGUUUCAUUCACUCUUUAAGGAGAAAAAAGUUAGCACUCAAAAGAGCUGAAGAUUUGGUAUUUGCGUAUAGUAAUCUUCGUCUUUUAUCAAGGAAGAGCCCAAGCUACAAAGAAGGUGUUGAUCAAAUGGGGGAUGUUGGAGGAGAUGGAUUUGCUAGCAUGAGUGAAGAAGGUGUUGGGAUGCUUGAAAUUGCUAACCUUUCUCUUGAUGAACCAUCAUUGGAGGUUGCUUUAUUUAUCGGGGAAGACAUUACAAAUAUUGUAGUUAAUUGAGACUUGUGUUUUUCAUUUUUCUAGAUUUUAAAUUUGAAUUUGUUUGAAGAAUUUAAAUUUUUAUGUUUUUUAAAAUAUGUUUUAAAUUAUAUAUAUUGUUAUUAUUAUAUUUUAAUAUAUAUUUUUGAAUACCGUAACCAUGACGUAUCGUAUUCUAGUUUUUGAAUAUCCCCGUGUAGUGUCAUAUCGUAUCACCGUAUCUAUAUUCGUGUUCGUGCUUCAUAGAUUGAGAGCGAUUUUGUUAUAAGCAUAUUUAAUUUUUAUUUAAAAUUCACAUAUUUCACAAAUGAAAUUGGAAAUGUUUUGUGAGAUACACAUUGAUGAAGGUUGCUUUAUUUAUGGGCUUAUUGAAAUUCUUUAGAAUGACAUCAUUUGGAUGGAGGGAUAUCAUAUUGGUUUAGAUUGUAUGGUAAAAUUGUGUGUACAAAUUAUUACAAUUCAUGUACACUAAGAUUUGACAAGAAAAAGUGAUAAAAAAAUAAAUGAAUUUCAAAUGACUGAUUGCAUAUAAUCAUUUCAAAUCUAUUUCAUGUACUACAUGUUUUUAUUUCAAUCUAAUGUGGCAAAUUUAUCAUUGUUGUCAUCUAAUCUCUAUUUACAAUUUUACAUUGAGUUCUACAAAGAGAGCAAAUGAUUUUACUGAGUAAAAGACAUUAGCUACAUUUUGCCUCACGAGUGGAUAGUUUGUAUUUUUAUGAAUAUUGCCUUUUAAAGUUGGUCGUGUGAACAAAAUUUUUAAUGAAAUGUAAUGAAAAAAACCAAAUUAAUGUGUGAACCAAAAGAUUAUUAAACACCAAAUAGAUUGAUUUCGAAGUGUGAGGACUGAAAUGAACACUUGUAACAAGUUUAGGGACAAUUCCAGAAAAAAACCUAAAUUUGUAUUAAACUAGCGAAAAUGUUGAGUAGGCCCCAUUGUAUACGCUUAUAUAAACCUUCGUUUUGGUCAAAAUUUUCAGCCGAAGCUAUUCUGAAGAAUCUGAGGAAACCCAUUGCCGGACUUUUCGUCUUAUUGGAAAGUCUUGGGCACCAAACUCCAAAGAUGGCGUCUGAGAAUCUAAGCGUUCUCGAAGAGACCUUGAAGCCCUUUUACCAGAGAGCCUCUCAAGCCGAGGUUACCCACGUUUUUACUUGCUUAUACAUAAAUACAUCUAUACAUAUAAUUUUUGCUUUCAUAGCUUUAAACCUUGAUGUCAUUUAUAAUAGGCUUUCUUUGCUUCUCAACUGUAAGACAAAAAUGUGCAUGCAUAUAUAUACAUGUGUGUUCGAAUCCUGUCAGUGUACAUAUGGGGUUUGGCUGAAUUGUGAAGGUGCGGGUCAAUGGUGUCAGUAAUUGGUGGUAGUGCUAGUGAUUCGGGCUUGAUUGGUUUCAUAAUUGGCUUUUAUCCCAAUAAGUUUGUUUGAGAAUUUUUCUUUCUGAGCUGGUUUCUACUGGUUGUGGGAAAAAACAAAAUCUAAAUGUUGCAUUUUGUGGUGUGGAUUUCGUUAUCAAUAAUGAAAUUGUACUUCAUAGAGCCAUUAUGCAGUAUGCUAAAUAAGCGCGUAAGUGGUUGUUUUUGUUUCUUUGGUUCCUAAAGAACGGAAAAUCUAUGACUCAACACCAAUUCUGUUUCUCAUCAGAAAUAAGGAAACAAUAAUGCUUUUAAUCUUUCAAGUGGCUUAUGCAUUUGAUGAGUACCAAUCUGAUAUUCCUUUUAUGAAGCAAAUGAUUUCUAUGGUUUCAGCUUCGUCCUCGGUGAAUAAAGAUUUGUCUACAACUUCUCCCACUAAGUUCUUAGAUUAAUAUACUGCUCUGUUUACAAGACUUCAGUAUCAGCGAAAAUGUCCAAUUCUGUGUAAAAAUAUGCCACAAGUCCAUGAUUGUAACAACCGCCGCAUAGCAAUUCCAUAAUUCCUGUAUAUAAUUUUUAUUUUUAAUUAGUUAAAAAACGGAAGGGUAACAUUUACUGUAAUUCAUGAAUAUCAAAAAAAGUCUAGCCUUCACCUUCAGAUGGUACAUUGUCAGAUAGUACUUAACUACUUUCCAUGUCAUAGUUGUGAAGCUUUCAAAGCUAAAUAUAUAGUUUGGAGUCGUUGGUUUCAAGAUCUUGUCCCUAAAUACGUAGCAUUGGAAAAUUUUCUAUUCACUUUGUCUUUUCGUCCAAACUGUGGGGGUAUACCGCCAUUUUCUUAUUGGUUUUGCCCCAGCUGAUCUGACAGAAGACUUGAUGAAACCAGAAAUAAACCUCUCCGUUGACGGACUAAUGAUGUGCUGAUAGAUGAUAUCUGUUUGAUUGAGUUGGGUGCAAAUGAUACUAGACAUAUGUUUUUUUAUGAUAGAUAUUCUUUCAUAUUUGGAAUAAUUUUCUGUUUUAUUGCUUCCAAUAUAGUUCUAAUAAUUUUUGUGGAUGAGUUGAUUCUGAUCAAAAGUAUUAUGCAUCAAGUUUAUAUGAUUUUGUUUGAUGAUUGAAGCUACUGGUUUUCCCCUGUAAUCUUGCUAACUUGGCACCAUUGUUAUAAAGGACCGAUUAGCAAGACUUGAGGCCGCCCUUGCAGCCAAGAAGGGUCAUCCUGCAGAUUCGGCAAAUGAUGAUUAUUCUGAAUUGAUCAAUGAAAUCCAGUCAAAGCUAAAAGAUGCAUGUGCUGAGAUGGUUUUAGAACAAGAAAAGGUAUUGCAUCAAUGUCUCUUGUAUCUUGUUUUUGUCUCAUUUGGGAAGUAAUGAAUUAUCUAAAUUCUUUCUUUGUUUUUUUGGUGACUUGCAGAACAAGAAGCUUGCUGCAGAAAAUGCUAAACUCCAAUACCGGAUACAUCAUCUUGUUCAGGCAGUGAGAGAUGCUGAUGACAAAUUGGAGAAAAAGUGAGUUAUAACUUGUAACUCAUAAUGAUUGUGGGAAAAAAGAUAGUGGGAUUUUAUUUUCCUUUCAGAUGGGGCAUUUUCUUCUUUUAAAAGGGAGAUAAAAUGAACUGUAUUUAUUUUUGCACUUGGCAAAUGAACUGUAUUUAUUUUAUCUUAUCCACUCAAUUUGUAAAAUUUCUUGCAAACGAUAGAAAUAUAUAAGUUAGGAUCAUAAAAUUAUUGGACUUGUUGGACACAUGCAUUUUCCUAUAUGGACUUGUUAGCAUAAUUUGUGUGGUAAAAAAUGAUAUGCUUGAGAGUUUAUCGCCUUCUAGUUACUGUGGUGAUUGAUCAUUCUGAAAUUUUCUUGUGUUUUGUAUGUGCAUGUGUGUGUUGCAAAAAACUCGACUGUGUGUUUUCAGAGCAUGUUAGAAAGCUAGAAUUUAAUGAAACUCUACAUAGAAGUCAAACACGCCCUAAAGAGAUCAAUCCCCGGGUUUGCCAGAGUCAAAUUUAAAUAGUUUGAAUAAGUCUGGAAAUAUUUAUGGAAGAGAAUAGUACCAAGUAAGUCUGGACAUUGAUAAGCUAAUGUUUUAUUAAGCCUAUUAUCACCUGAAGCUUGGAGGUGCUAUAGUUUAUUUUGUUCGACUUUCAUGUGAAAAAUUUCACAAAAUUCAUCUUUUUAUUAUUAUUUAUUUUUAAUACUUGAUCUUUUGGCCAUUGCAUCUGCAAGAAGGGUCUUAAGGACUAUUUAUCAUUUAUUUAGAUAUUUUCAGUCCUUUUUAGACGAUUGGUUUUGUUUAGCAGUAUGUCACACACAUCCAAUUAAUUUGGACUUCUUAGCAAAACAAAACAAAAACAAAACAAUAACAAAAAAAUUAAUAUUUGACUUGGUUCAUGUUAUUCCUUUUGUUUCCACAGGUCGUGAUGCAGAAGUAACUGGAGACAUGGAAGUUGGAUUCAUAAGAUCGUGAACAGAGAUUCGUAGUUUUUAGAUUUGAGCAGGAUUAAUAAAUUCUGCUACAUUAUAGGUUUUUAAUCAUAGAUAAUGUUGAUGCUGGAACUUGGGUUAAAAUUUUUCCUGUAGUAUCUUACAGAACCUGCAUUCAGUGAUUUCUUUGGAGAAAAGCAUUAAAGAACAUACGAAGUGUUAUAUGUUUGUCUCAGGGUUUAACUUAUGCCCUCCCCUCUUUUUAGUUUUUUGUAUUGCCUUUCUGCAGAAAUUAAAAUACAGAAUGCAGCCUCAGCGAGUACUUAAAUUGCUUCUUUGAUUGUUGCUUCACAUUUAUUUGUGUUUGGAGCGUCAGAAAGCAGGGAGGAAAAGAAGUAUCUUUUCGAUGACCCUACGGGACAGCAGCCACGACAAGAAAGGCCGGCGAAUGGACUUGGCCAUCACCGGCACACAGCUUCUUCACCAACCAAAAGUAACACAUCAGCUUGCCACUACCAUUAGACCUCAGCAAGCACAUAACCAGCAUAUAAUUCACAAGCUCAUCCAAAAGUAGGCCUCAUUCAUUUAAAGCAUACUCACAUCAGAAUUGUGACCAAACAAUGACCUUUCUUUUUUAAUACCCAACAAUAACCAUUAACUCAAGCAAAUAUGUAAAAAUGAGUAGAGAGAUGAUUUGAUUGAAACCCACAUUAACAAAUCGAAAGGAGAUCAUGAGUAAGAAACCCCCAAGGUCCUCAGGCGAGUUCUCUCCACCAAUUGUGUCCUGUUGCCUGCAGAAAUGAAAAAUGAAAUAGAAAAUAGUUGUGAUCAUUGAACAAGUCUUCAGACUGAAAAAAAAAAACACAAACAAACAAACAAACAAACGACAUCCUUGAAAAUUACAAUAUUGUGGUCAAAAUUCAAGUCAAAUUUAGGGAGCACAAACAACAAAUUAGCAUUACAAUUCAGAACCCAAGAAAUAAUUCUUUGAGAUAAUUUCAUAGAUUAUCAUUUCAACCGUUAAUCCAACAAAUUGGAUUAUGUUUAAUUUAAUUUUAAUAUUCUUUAGUUCUAACAAUGUCAAAUGACUUAACACUUUUCACUAAUCAAACUCCUAAGAGAAACACUUGACACAUGACUGACACUUGCUACUUGCGGGAUGGGGGCCUAGAGGGCCUUGAGGGAGAGAGAGAGGGUCAGGGAAUGGUAGUAUUCCACAUUGCCAGGAUUUACCCGGAAGCCUCCUUGCAUACCCAACAAGGACACUUGCCUGUAGGACAAUGCUUGCAGAAGUUAGGUGUAACUUGAACUUUGUGACCCAGUCUUUGGUUGGACGCAUUGAGAAGAUGAAGCUAUUGUUUGGUAAUAAAUGUAGUGAGUUUUAGGAUUCACAUGAAUUGAUUUUACACAUAAAUAAACGGCUUAGAUUGACUAUACCUUAUUUCAUCUAACGAUUACGGUGAAAACAUUAUCUUAUCAACUUCACAUUCCCUUAUCAUUUCUAACUAGGAGGAGGCCUAUCUUCAUUGAAUUUCAUAUAUUGUCUGCCUUCAUAGACUUCGAAAGUUAAAAACAACAAAUUGCUCCAAGAACUGAUUAGUUCUCAUCAUAUGAGUCAUUAGUUUACCCACUUGGGCCAAAGUUUUACUUUCCUCCCAAUCUGUAAGGACUUUGUUUGUGUAACAUUUCCUCGCAUGGGUACUCCAUGCUUGGAGGGUUGCACUUGCACUUAAGGACGCUUGUUUAUAAGACUAUGUUUGCCAAAGUUGGAGUAACUUGAACUUCGGGAUCCGUCUUAGAAUUCGGUAAUAGAUGGAGUGAGUUUUAGGGUUUACGUAACAUCAAUUUUAUACAUAAAUGAACGGUUUAUAUUGAUUGUACUUGAUUUCAUCCAAUGGUUACAAUGAAAAUAUUAAAUUAUCAAGUUCAGAUUCUUUAUCUUUUCUAACCGAAACAGAAGUAUCUUCAUUUCAUUUCAUAUAUUGUCACUUCUUACUUAUUUCAUGAGAAAGUUAACCCUAAAAAUAGUAGAUUUUGAAGACAAAAGUUCAUUCCAUAACCAUAAAUUACAAACACACUGACUAAAAACAAUCAAUACAAUACCAUUGAAAAUAUAAACCAAUGGAACAACAUGACUCAUUUGCUUAUGGGGCUAGCCAACUCAUUUAAUACAUACUCCUUUCAAGAUGCUUUAAGAGCACUUUCACCCGUAAGGGCUAGCCAGGGCAAAAAAGGGGGCGUUUUUAGCGGGCUUCAGUGGCCCAGGCUGAUGGUGGGGGCCACCAAACCGGGCAAGCCCAAAAGCAUAUCUAGCCGGAGCUCGUGCCUGAGGGCUGGUGACGUCGGCGCUAACACCAAGCUGACAUCAGUGUAAGUGAUUCAAAUUUUUUUACUGUUGGUGCAUAUCGUACACACGCCAACGAUAAAAAAAAUUUCAAAAUCCCGUGCAUUGACGCCAGCUUGGCGUCAACCCUGUUUUCCCCAACAACUACAAGCCAUGUGUCGAGCCCUGGUGUCUAUGAUCCUAAUUUUUUCCUGUCAAAUUUUUUUUUUUAAAAUUCGAAUGUUCUUCUAUAAAUACCUACCAAUAUUCUUCACUUUCCACACCAGAUCUUCGUACAUUUUCUUCUUCUUCCAAUAUUAUUCAUAUUUUAGAAAACACAUUCGUUGCUCUCAAUGUCUUACAUGAGGAGGUUGUUGGAGAGGCAAGAGUGAGAAAUUGAAGAAAUAAGGCGCAAACAAGUUGAAGAAGAAAGGGAAGAGGUAAGAAGAAGAUGAUCAAGUUGCCAUGGCAGUGGGUAUGCUUCAUCAAUCAAGCCAAGGCCACCAUGGUUCACAAGUCGGCUGUGGCCCGAACGCAUUCUCAAGAUAAGAAUCUCUUGGAAGAUUACUUUAUCCCAAAUUCGUUGUACUCUACUGUUGAUUUUCAAGGGCGAUAUAGAGUGCAGUCUCAUUUAUUCAAUAAAAUUAUGCAUGAUGUUUGCACUUUCGGAGUAAAAGUUUACAGCUUCUUAAUGGAUGCUGGCAUUUGGCGCAUCUGCAGACCAUGUGGAUAAGAUUGCUAGGAGGGAGAAAUCCACUUUCCUAGAGAGCUUGGUUAGAUUCUGUGAUGCAAUCGAAACUCUCUACACAAGGGAUUACCUUCGCAAACCUAUGCCUAGGAACCUCUAAAGGCUUCUACAAAAAGCCGAGCCUCGAGGUUUCCCAGGCAUGAUUGGAAGCAUCAACUGUAUGCACUAGCAAUGGAAGAAUUCUCCAACUGCCUGUCAAUGAGAUUAAGGGAAUAAGAUGUUAUAAAAAAUAUAGUUUUCUUCUUUCUGUAAAGUCAAAUACAAAAACCUUUAUAUUAUAAAUAACAUAUAAACAAAUUGGAAAGCUAUUAAGGUACAAUGAAACUGAAGAAAAACAAAUUUGUUGGUAAGUAAAAGCAAAAUAAAUUAUAAGUAAGAAGGUGAGAUUGAUACGAUGAAGCACGUUAAAGACGUUGUCCUAAAGUCUUUGUAGCCUCCCUACGUGCAGGUACUGACGGUCUACAAGACUCCAAGAAACGACCCUAAUAAAAAAACUCAAGAUCCGCUAUAAGCACGUUCACAGACAGAUAUGUUUCCAAGUCACAUAACCAUUGCCCAAAAAUACUAAUAGAAAGUAGAGAAUAUAUAUAAAAGUAGAAAAGGAGAGAAUCAGAUUGUGGUGGUGAUUGUGGUAUGUGAUAUACUGAUGGUGUUGUGGUUGUUCAAAUGUGAAGGAGGAGUGGCCUUUUAUAGGCAUCCAAUAACAUGUAACCUUCACCACAUUAAACUAGAAAAUUAAGGCAUUCAAUAUAGAAAUAAAACCUGAAAAUUCAAUAUUUAUAACACGCACAAUAAAUAAAAUAAAAUAGCCAAAAUAAUAAAAUAAAUCAAAACAGUUAAAUUUUUUAAACCUUUUAAAAAUUCCAACAAUCCCCCACAAGGUUUUCAAAAUUUAACCAUUAAAACAAAAUGGUGAAAAUAUAUAUUUAUGUAUGGGCAACAUAAUACUAUGCAAUAGGUGUAGGUGCCUUCUGGGCUUGAACCUUCACUUAGUGAUGAUAGUUUCCAUUUGAGAACCUGAGUGUACGAAGUAUUGAACUCGGCACCUUUGACCAAAUUUCAACAUAUCCCACACAUAGUAUUGGUUGAGACUUGGAUGCGAGGUAGCGCUAUUUAUGGCCAUGUGCUAAUCUUGAUUCUCAUGAGAGUUACUAGAGAAUAGCCCAAUUCUCACAAUCGCGGCCUCACGACGUCUCUUACUUAGGUGAGUUCUCCAAGAGUACAUGUGACCUGUACCCUGGGGGAGUUUGCCCGCCUCGAAACUCAUUCAGGGAUAAAUCACUUCCUAACGCCACAUAAAAUAGCACUUUUGCCUUACGGAUGAGCAGAAGAAUAUCUCAAGGAUAUCUCUAUAGUUUUAUGAGUGCUAUAUGAGUCACGCAGUAUGAAUUGUUUCUACCACAUUGAACUUCCUUCAUGGGAUCGCCAAUCACAAAAGUUGGGUUACCUCCCUAGGUGACUCUCUUAUGGGCUUAAGCACAUCCCCCUCGACAUUUUGCAUUAAUAGCCUCCUCCACAAGGCAUGCAUACACACACAUACACACACACACACACACACACACAUAUAAUGUGGUUCACGUCUUUGUUCUCCACUUUAGUGCGCUCUAAACUUGUAUGUUAUUAGAAAUAUUUCCUAUAUAAUCUUGCAUACAAAUAAUUAGUGGAUUUCACCUCAGUAUAAUUGGAAAUUAUAUACACAUUGGUAUACAUUAAAAUAUAAUAAAAAUUCCACUAUAUAUAAAUUCAUAUAAUCUGAAUACCUCUCAAAUAUUGGUACUCAAAUAUGGGUCUGCAAUAGUCUUUGAAACUUUUUAGUACACCAGAUGAAGCUAUGAACAAACUAUGCAACGCUUAAUGAUAAAUUUAAUUAUAAAUACAAAGUAUUUCAGGAUACUCUUACUCCCUUUUUGUGCACUCUAAGUGACUGAAAUCAUGAUCACAUAUCUAAGUUGAAAUUAUAUCUUGUCGAUUCUCAAUAUGAACCUAUAAGACAAUAAGAAGUCUCUGCCAAAAUUUUAUACUAAGGCCAUCAUUAGUUGCACACCCACUUUCAUAUCAAAAUUGAAGACAAGUUAGUCUUAUAAUAAAAUUUUAUAAUAAAACAAAUUUCACACAGACACAACAUGUUUGCCAAGGGUAAUAAUGAGUGAAAUUAACAUUACAGCCAUUAUAUGAGUAUAAUGAGCAUUUCCCAUGAGAAAACAAGGAAAUUGAAAACACACUCAAAAUUUGUGGGAAUGAGAAGUGAGAAGAAAAUUGCGCGAUUUUCUCCAUGUCACCAAUUAACAAGUAAGUUUAUAUAAUUUUAUUAGUAUUAUUAUUAUUAUUAUUAUUUUGAAAGAAAGGAGUUUAAUUAAAUGAUUGUUGGUUACCUCUAAAAAGACUACGAGACUAAGGCAAUGCAAUUAUACUACAUUAAAUGAGUCUAACGUUUUUCAACAUAAAACAAAAACUGCUCAACAUUAGCCACACAUAAAUUAUAGCAUUAAAGUUCCCUUUGAAAAAAAAAAAAAAUUUCAACUCCCACAAAAGAGGUCCACAUGGUUUUAAAAUAAAUAAUAAUCAUUAUUAUUAUCAAAAGCAAAUAACGUAAACAUUUAAGGGCUAAUUAAAACAAAAUAAGAUAUAUCCCAAUAAAAGAGAUAUCAAAACUUAUAUAAUAAAUGUACAACAUAACGUCAAUUUCAAAGAGGUAAUCAAAACCACUCAAAAUCUAAAAAAUUAAAUUCAACAUAAAAUAAGUAUUGAGAUUAAUUUUGUAUUUGAAAUAUCCACAAAAAUUCCAACAAUUACCCACAUAGUUAAGGAAAAACUCAACCCCCACAAAGUAGGGAAUUCUCAAAAUAUAUGAAGACUGUACCAAAAUUUUAUUUAUUUUUAAAUUCAUAAGAUAUGCACUCACAAUCAUCUUGAUAGUCAUUGUAAAUAUAAUAGUGAAACCACCGAAAGUGUCACAAAAAUAAAUGAAAAAACUGCCUCAAAAAAUUUAGGGUUUGAAAGCCUUACACCAAAACUCAAAAUUAAAUGCCACUUACAGUGAUAUAAUUUAUUAUUGGGUGACUUUAUUGGCACCCAAAAAUUUUCUCUUUGCAUCCCAUAUUCUCUUUACAGCCCACUGAAUUUUAGUAAAAUUUAAAAUUACUCACUACACCCCAUUUUUCUUCCUAAAUUGUCCUCAUGAACCCUAUCCAUUAACUUACUUGUGUAAAUCCCACCGAAAUCAUUACCUUGUUUCAGUAGUAGUCCACCGAAUUUAUUUCAGUUUUCCCAUGGCUGACCACCAAAUGUGUUUCCUUUUUUCAGUGGUAGUCCACCGAAUCUAUUUUAGUUUUUCAGUGGUAGUCCACCGAAUUUGUUUUCGUUUUUCAAUGGUAGUCUAGUGAAUUCAUUUCUUGUUUCAGUGAUCAUCUACCAAAUUUGUUAUUGAGUUUGUACUUAAUAUUGUUUUUUAGAUAUGAAGAAGACUUGUAGAAGUACUACUGAGGCUUCAUCAUCUCGACUUAAUAGACAGCGUCCCACAGUCUCAACAAUGAGACAUAGAGCGAUGAGGUUAGCCUCUCAAGAGGACCAGCCCCAACAUGGUCCCCAGACCACUUUGAGGAUACUACAGAGGUUGAAGAUGUAGCCGCUGAUAGAAAUGUUGAUGCAAAGGUUGAAGAUGUAGCUACUACUCAUGAUAGUAAUGUUGAGGUAGAUGCUGAGUCUAUUGAGCCAUCUUCAGUAGGUCUCAUUGAUCCAUCUUUACUUACGAGUUUUAAAACUCACAUAGCAGCUACAUUUUGGAAUAACUAGGUAAGUCGUUUUACUGUAACAAUAGAAGGCAUAAUAUAAGUCUUAUUCAUGGUAAUUAACCUAAAUAUUUUUUUUUUGUAUUUGACUAGGAACCUGAGCCCCUUAGGUGCAUGUCGAAGACAUCUACCCUUCGUGAGUGGAAUUGGUGGGCUAAUCUAAAUAAUGGUAUAUUCAACAGGUACAUUCAGAGGUCUGGAUUAGAGUAACUUAUUAGGUGUUCUUAUCGUAAUGCAGAUAAAAUUAUUGUAUCUACCUUCGUUGAGAGGUGGCAUCUUGAAACGAACACCGUUCACAUGCCUUUUGGUGAGAUGACCAUCACAUUGGAUGAUAUGUCAUCUAUUUUAGGAGUGUCACCUUGUUUUUGUUCCUUCAAUGAGAGUAAGGUCAAAAUAGCUUGCAUUAAAUUUGUGGUCGACAAUAAGUUAUUGAAAAAAUAAAUAUAUUUCGGUUCGUUGCCACUGAAUUGUAGGUAAAAAUUCAGUAAUACACCAUCAAACACCGUUCCAUGUUACGUUGGAUCUCCACCGCAUCUUAAGUUAAAGGCCGGUCAAACACAACCGAAAUAAGUGCAAUGUUUCGGUGUCAUCCCACUGAAUUUACCUAUCGCGUUUGGUACUGGUGUGCUAAACGCAACCAGCGACCAUCGUGAAAUCCUAAACUUGAAAAAAGGCCAAAAAAUAAACUCAUACCUCAUUUCGAAGCCUCUCUAACUUCAGUCUUACCCGUCAUGAAUAAAUACAAGAUAUUUUUUUACCAAUAUAAGUGUAUAAACCUUGUUAGGGUUGUAGGAACAUGAUGGUUUGAGAAAAAAGUCUAACUAGGAUUGUAUGAACAUAUGUGAGGUGUAGUGAGCAAAUUUUUUUUUUAAAAUUUUUUUUUCCUUAACGGUAAUUAUGUACAAGGAUAAAAUAAAUUAUUCAUGUUUAAAAUUAGUAUGGGGUGCAAAGAGCAAAUAAUGGGGUGCCAAUAAAAUCACCCUUUACUAUUUCAUUUCAGUUUUCUCAGGAAGAUUUCACAAUGUACACUUUAUGGCAAUUAACUCAAUGUGACAUCUAUCAAGACUUCACAAUCAAAAAACAUUAUUUCACUCAAUAUAUAUAUAUAUAUAUACACAUAUAUACAUAUCGAGAUUAACUCAAGUCAAUAAUAUGAAGGAUUUAACAAUUGGGAUAUAUGGGCGUUGGCAUGAAUCCAGGACAUUAAAGCAAAGAUGUAACUAAAGAUGCAUAAAAAAUAAAAAGAUCUCGUAAUUGAAUGCAACGCAAAAAGCUUUUAAAUAAGUAGCAAUUAACCACUUUUGGAACCAGAAAAAAAAAAAAAAACUAACGUCCAAAACCAAUUAUAGCAUAUUGGAAUACUUUAUAUCCGGGAAAUUGAUCUCAACAUAAAAUAAGUAAUGAAAUUUUGAAACAUAUACGCAUAUGCACAAAAUAGGAUAAUCAAAUUUAAUUUCUCCAUAAAUAUAAAAGUUCUAAUUCUCAAUAUUGAUGUAUCAGCCAACUAGCUAAGGCUUUAAAUAGUAGUGAAAUCAAAUCAACACAAUAAAAUCAAAUGUAUAUACUUGUCCUCAACCGUUCAGCAUUGGAUAGCAUUGAAUGUUUCACCGUAAAUUGAUUAAUGAGUAAUAAUUAAGUAAUUGGUAACAAAACAAUACAAGCUAUUUUUUUUUUUUUUUUGAGAAGGUUGAAUUCAUUCCAUUAGAAGGGAGGAAUACAAGGCAUGUCAUGCGUGGCCUCGUUAAAACCUUCCCGGAGAAAACCACAAGGGAAAAACUCCGGGGUAGGAAAGAGUACCACAUAUGCCCAAAACGUACACAACAGGAAAAUUACAUUACAUCAAUGAACAAAACAUCUUGUAGGAAAUCUGGGGGAUCAGUAACCCAUUCUGCCACUCCCUGAGAGUGUAGAGCAUAUCGAGCCAACCGUGUUGCAACCCCAUUUGCACUCUUCUCUGUAACCCUCAAAUAAACAUGCUCUUGGCUAGCCAAAAGUGUUUGACAAUCCUCCGUUAGGCAAGCAAGAUGGGACAGAUCAGUUUGGCCCCGUUGUAUUGAAUGUAAAGCGCCUUGAGAAUCCCCUUCUAUAUGACAUUCCAGAUUGGACCACUUGGCAGCAUAGAUUAAGCCUUCUCUUAAUGCAACCAGUUUGGCAUGCAUGGGAUUUGAAAUCCCAUAUAGCACAACCAACUUGCAUGCAAGAAAGGCACCUGUAGAACUACGAACCACCAAACCAACCCCACCAAACCUGGAUUCACCAUGAAACACUCCAUUCACAUUUAUUUUAAUAGCUCCAGGCGGUGGCCGCACCCAUUUAGCAAUGGGACGUGAGGUAUGGGUCUUUGGAGGGGGGUGUACUUCCUGAAACUCUUUCAAACAGUGCAUUGCUCCACUAACAAUUUCUGUUGCACUCCGUUGACGUCCUGCCCAGGCCAUUUGAUUGCGCUCAUACCAUAGCAUCCAUAAGCACACCAUGACUUUCUCUAGCACAUGAAGUGGGUGGUCUGCAGCAAAUCCUUAGAACCACAUCUUGAACUCCUCUGUGGCAUCAGUAUUAAAGUGUGCCCAGGCCGGAAACAAAGACCAAGAGGCAAUAGCCAUGGGGCAUCGGAGAAGCACAUGGGCCACAGUUUCUUCAGCCCCACAAAAAACACAGCCUCUCAAUUCAGAGAUACGACGAUGAAUCAAAUUAUCCUUGGUGGGUAAAAUAUUCAAGAGAGCGCGCCAGAUGAAUAUACGAACCUUUGGUGGUACUCGGGCUUUCCAAAUCUUCUUCCAGACCUGUUCACAAGCUACAAUGGGUCCUCCAUUCAUGUUGGUGUCGUCCCCGUCUUGCUGGAGCAAAACUCGACGAGCGACAUCAUGGCCGCUCCGCACUGUGUACUGACCAUCUCUCUCAAAGUGCCAAAUCAAGAUGUCUGGUGGGUGUCUGAAGCUUAAAGGGAUGUUUCGAAUGCAAUUCACUUCCUCGGCCGAGAACCAAGCUUGCAAAAGGUCCUCCUUCCACUGCAGAGUGACUGGAUUAAUAAGAGAGUUCACUUUUGCCUCCUCAAACCCCUCUACUUGUGGUGAGGAAACUUGGAAAGAUUCAGAGUUAGGGAGCCAUCUGUCUCCCCAUAUACGCACACUGUGGCCAUUCCCGAUUCGCCACCGAGAUCCUUUUUCAAUAAGGACACGUGCUUUGCAUAAGCUUUGCCAAAUAUAGGAGGGGGAAUGUCCGAUUUGUGCCUCUAAAAUAGAGCAAUUCUUGAAGUAACGGGCUUUCAGGAUGCAUGCCACUAAAGAGUUUGGGGUUUGAAUCAAGCGCCAUAAUUGUUUGGCCAAGAGCGCCAUAUUGAAGGCAUAUAAAUUACGGAAACCAAGCCCACCCUCCUGUUUGGGCAAGCAUAAUUUGUUCCAGCUGAGCCAGUGUAUUUUUCGUUGGCCAUCUUGCUCAACCCACCAGUAGCGAGCCAUCACUUGUUGAAUUUCGUUACAUAGACAUUUAGGGAUGAGGAAGCAAUUCAUCAUAUAAAUAGGCACAGCUUGU
rnacentral:lncRNA from 1 species